UUCCAUAUUGACAAAAACUCCACAUUCAACUAUUUAGUUCACACUCAUUUAAUGACACGACAAGUUUAAAUGUUAUUAUGCAUGGCAAGAGGUGAGGCGUAAUUAAACUAUUUAUCUAGGCUUUUUAAAUGAGGCCGGAAACAACUUAUAGUAUUUCUGAAACGACCCAUAUGUUAAUUUUGAAAUUGGCCAGAUAUGAAUUAACAUAUUAUAAUAAUUAAUAGGAACAAAAUGACACCNUAAAAAAAAAGUGAUACUAACGUACUAGAAGAAUACAAUAAUACUUACUAAAGUAAAAAGAACGUACGGUUACGUACAAUAAGAACAAUACUACUUACUAGUAGNNNNNNNNNNNNNNNNNNNNNNNNNNNNNNNNNNNNNNNNNNNNNNNNNNNNNNNNNNNNNNNNNNNNNNNNNNNNNNNNNNNNNNNNNNNNNNNNNNNNAUGUUGUUCGUCUUGUACUCUCCGUACGGAACUUUAGGGGUCGACUCUUUGUAAGUUACUUUGUUGUUGGAUUGUAACAUGAUGAAUACUGAAAUUAGUGUCAUGCAUAUCUUNUAAUCAAGCCCACUGGGUACGUUGUGGUGACAUUGGAGUAUCUAGGUGACAUUUGGUUUUUGGUAUGAUGUGUAUCUUAAGGUGUUAUUUUAGUUACGAACUCUAGGGCUGUUCGUGACACUUAUAGGGAUAGCUCAUAGAUUGAUCAGAAAAGAUAACUUUGAGGUUGUUUCGUACCCUACAAUAAUUUCUUCGUUCGUUCUCUGCUAUUUGUGACGUCGGAGUUUAGUGAACUCUUUGUUCGCACGUGAGGGAUUUAUAUAUGAUCCAACUAUGUUAGUAUUGUUGGGAGAACUUGCACCAUUGAAAGUAUGGACCCUAGGCCUUGUUUGCAAGCAUUUAUACAACGUUUUUUCUCAUUGUUUACUAUUUUUUUACCUUGUUGUUUUAUAUUUUUCAUAUUACAAAAACCUAUAUCUACCAUCCGUAUUACACUUGUAUCACCAUCUCUUCGUCGAACUAGCGCACCUAUACAAUUUACCAUUGUAUUGGGUGUGUUGGGGACACAAGAUACUCUUUGUUAUUUGAUUGCGAGGGUUGCUUGAUAGAGACCAUUCUUCAUCCUACCGCCUCCGGAACAGGUAUUGUAACUAAAACCCUUAGGUCCUAUCCCGUAACGUUGGAACGGGUAAAACUUUUACGGUCGGUAGGGUUNNNNNNNNNNNNNNNNNNNNNNNNNNNNNNNNNNNNNNNNNNNNNNNNNNNNNNNNNNNNNNNNNNNNNNNNNNNNNNNNNNNNNNNNNNNNNNNNNNNNCGACACGACGGAACGACGAAGGACUUCGUAAUAGGUCGGAAAAACGGUAAGGUUUUUGGUUGGGGUUGACCGUUGGGGUUUCUUGGGAGUAUUUGUAGGAGUUUAUAAAAAUACAAGAGGGGCGAUGAGGAGACCAUGACCAUAAUGAUGCUUUGCUCUAUACCUUCGUACGAUUUUUGGUGACUUGUUGCCAAAAGGGGGAGAAUUUGUAUAGAUCAUAGGGAUUCGAGAGAGAGUCUUGAUUUUUGGUUGUUCUUCUCAUUUUUAAAACAUUUGGCCUAUAUUUUGUUCGUCUAGAAGUUUGUGGUGUUUGAUCAUAUGCUUUGUGAUUGAUGUUACUAUUUCAUAUCCUUUUGAUAUUCAUAUUAUGAUCAUUCACUCAUGUUUGGUGUUAUGUGCAUUGUAAUCCAUUCAUAUCAUUUAUGUGCACCACCAAGAUGUAUGUGACAUGGAAGAGUCUCCCAUGAUCCUAAUCGAUUGUGCUAUUUGCUAUUMMAAAUGAACUAAAAAUUUUAAAAUAAGUGACUAACUAAAAGUUUARGGRAAGUACGUMCUUACUUUAACUUAUACCAACUAUUACUUCGUACAAAGUGAACUAAUUGUUAUAUGUAGUCGUGGUGUNNNNNNNNNNNNNNNNNNNNNNNNNNNNNNNNNNNNNNNNNNNNNNNNNNNNNNNNNNNNNNNNNNNNNNNNNNNNNNNNNNNNNNNNNNNNNNNNNNNNUCCUUCGUGGGUUCGUAACAAUUCCACUAUUACCACUUCCUAUCUUUAGUAGAUUGCUACGAUGAUUCCUUGUACUUGGGAGUUAUCAGUCCUUGCCCUCCMMUGGCUCCCGUACGGGAGAGAGCCCUCCGAGAUUGGAUCUCUCUAUCUAUCUAUCUAUCUAUCUAUCUAUCUAUCUAUGUUUAUCUCUGUUUUUAAUGCUGCUUGUGGCCAUUCACCAUUUCUUAAAAUUAUCUUUCUUGCGGCAAAAGAAUGACCCCAACCAACUUAAGUGAUGGUCAAAAGGUAUCAGGGCUCAACCACCCCCCUGGUCACACCCUGUUAGCUUCUCUGUCCCUCGGGCACCAUAUUGUGUUAAUUCUUCCUCCCAAAAUUCACAUAUAUUACAAAAAAAUCUCCAUAAAUUUUUAUCGCAUUUGGACUUUGUUUGAUAUGGACUUUCUGACAAAACAAAAACAGAACAAAAAUAGGAACUCACACUCGGCACUAGAUAAGUAAGUUAGUACCCAAAAAUAAUAUAAAAUGUUGACCAAAAGUAUAUGAAAUAUGUAGAAUAUUGGCAUGAAUACUUCAACAAAUUAUCGAUACAUUGGAGACGUUUCAGCACUCCCCAAGCUUAACUGCUACUCGUACUCGACUUAGGUAAUGAAUAAAAGAAAUUACUUUAUGAAGUCUGAAUGCUAGCAUAGUCGUGGUGUNNNNNNNNNNNNNNNNNNNNNNNNNNNNNNNNNNNNNNNNNNNNNNNNNNNNNNNNNNNNNNNNNNNNNNNNNNNNNNNNNNNNNNNNNNNNNNNNNNNNCCCUAUCCCCUGUGUGCCUUGACUCAAAGUAUGUUGAGAGGUACAGAGAGUGAUCCAUGAUUGAAUCACUAGCAGCGGUCGAAAUUUAUCCUUAGUAACUAAUGGACUAAGGAAUUUUUCUCGAUUGUGGAGGUGGUUAAAGAGUUUGUCGUAAAGGGUUACGUCAAUGCAAGCUUUGACACUAAUCCGGAUAACUAUGAGUAGUGAAACGGAUUCGUAUAGUAGAGUAGAUAUUUGGAGCAUUUCCGAAUAGCACGUAGUAGCAGCAUCUAUAAGAUGACAUAAAGAUUUGUAAAGAACGCACGAAUCUGAAAGUUUCAGAACCGUUGACUAAAACCUCUCUCACGAGCAAGACGUGAUCAGACCCCAUAACUAUAUGGGUGUUGGAUGCGUUGGAAUCACAUGGUGAUGUGAACUAGAUUAUUGACUCUAGUGCAAGUGGGAGACUGUUGGAAAUAUGCCCUAGAGGCAAUAAUAAAUUAGUUAUUAUUAUAUUUCUUAGUUCAUGAUAAUCGUUUAUUAUCCAUGCUAUAAUUGUAUUGAUUGGAAACACAAUACUUGUGUGGAUACAUAGACAAAACACUGUCCCUAGUAAGCCUCUAGUUGACUAGCUCAUUGAUCAAAGAUGGUCAAGGUUUCCUGGCCAUAGGCAAGUGUUGUCACUUGAUAACGGGAUCACAUCAUUAGGAGAAUCAUGUGAUGGACUAGACCCAAACUAAUAGACGUAGCAUGUUGAUCGUGUCUAUUUUGUUGCUACUUGUUUUCUGCGUUGUCAAGUUAUUUACUUCCUAUGACCAUGACGAUCAUAACUAACUCGACGUGGGCCGGACCGGGAAGGUAACUUACGUUUGGUCGGNNNNNNNNNNNNNNNNNNNNNNNNNNNNNNNNNNNNNNNNNNNNNNNNNNNNNNNNNNNNNNNNNNNNNNNNNNNNNNNNNNNNNNNNNNNNNNNNNNNNUACAUACAAACAACUAAAUUUAGUUUUUUUUGKUUCUAACUAGAAAAUUAAAACUUUAAAUAACAGAGAACUAAUAUAUAAAUUUAACCAAGAUAAAAUAAAGUACUUUUCACAAAACUAUUUCAAAGUAUUUCCAAACGGGAGUUGAAACACUAGAGAAAUCAAUUGCAAGUUAUUAGGGAACUAGAAUUGAUUUUCUUGAUAACAAAUAAAAAUAAAAAUAAAAACUUGUUGCAAAUCUACUGUUAACUAACAGAAACAAAACAUAAUAUUUUUGAAACAAAAAUAAAAUACUUUAAAAACAACUAAAGAGAGAGCUAUAGUCAAAAUCCUAAAAAGAAGUGAAACAGAAACUGUUUCACAUGAAAAAAUGAGUUAAAAUGCCCAAACAAUUUUGAAAUUUUUACCACUGAUAAAUAAGAUCACUAGUGAUCACUAAGAAAAAAUAAUUAAUUAAAAAUCUAUUUUAAACUCCUAGAWWAGCAAAACAAGGUUUAAAUUAAAUCUGAUCUAAUUCAAAUUUGAAANNNNNNNNNNNNNNNNNNNNNNNNNNNNNNNNNNNNNNNNNNNNNNNNNNNNNNNNNNNNNNNNNNNNNNNNNNNNNNNNNNNNNNNNNNNNNNNNNNNNCCGACAUCCUCGUCGGCCAUAGGAGCAUUCCCUCUUGGUACAACGUCUGUGCAUCCAGUCCAGUCAUGUACCACUGUCCGUGUGCAUGACAGGUCNCAACAUCAUGAACACAUGACCGCACACCUGUCCGCAAACAUCCGUGUAACCGCGAGAACCUGGCUCUGAUACCAAACUUGUAACGCCCCAAACACACCCGCCGACGGUUGUUACUCAUGGCGGGAUCUAGACUGGCCCCACAUAUCAAUACUAGUCUUUUCUACGCACUUUGUCCUCACUCAUGCGCACCCGGGAUGAACUUCUCGGUCGGUCACCCAUCCUAGAACUACUCCAAGCUGAGCACACUUAACCUGAGAGUUCUGUCCGAAUGGGCUCCUCGAAAAGAAGGAAUUCCUUAUUGAUAUGAGUAGUCUAUCAUCCCUAAUAAGCCAGGCUAUCACGGGCGACCUUGCGUACCAGCUCGAGCUUCCGUCAACAUUUUGCAAAUGUCCAUGAUGAGUUCCAUGUUUCUCAGCUUCGGAGGUGUUUCAAGACCCCCAAGCGCACUGUGCAUCUUCAAGAUAUCGACCUUCAGCCUAACCUUUCUUAUCGUGAGCAUCCAGUUGCGGUUCUCGAGGCGACUGAGCGCAACGACCCGUAACAANNNNNNNNNNNNNNNNNNNNNNNNNNNNNNNNNNNNNNNNNNNNNNNNNNNNNNNNNNNNNNNNNNNNNNNNNNNNNNNNNNNNNNNNNNNNNNNNNNNNAUCUUACUUGGUAGUCUAAUUUUAAUUGGUCACAUAAUAUGUGUUUGUCAUAGAGUCGUAAUUUUAUUUUGUUAUUAUUUGCUUGUUGUUACUUAUAAUCUUGUUUGGAAUGUUAAAAAGUUCCAGGUAUUUCCUUUAGAAUGCUUGAAUUGCCUGUGUGAGGUGAGCUAUAUAAAAACAGAAACUUUUGUUGUAGUAUUUUAAUUAUAAGAUUUUACUAGAACGUGCAUAGUUUUUGAAAGUUUUAUACAGUAUUGGCAUACCAAGUCGUUAGCUUUUCCUAAAGUUUUAGAAUUUUUGGACAUACAAAACUACAACGUUUAAAUGAAUUGCUACAGACUAUUCUGUUUGGAUAUAUUGUUGUCAUAGUUUUGUUAUCUACUUAUCCUAGAGCUUUCAUGGCUUAUAUUGGUUGAUAUAAAUUGUGGAAAUGAUAGUAUAUAGUACCUAACAUUUCAAAAUGGUUAUGCAACUUGUCUUGGUAGUACAUGAGGUAUAGAUUUAUUCUUAUGCAUACUAACCUAUCUCAAGAGUUCUUUUAAAGUUUUGUGUGGAUGAAGUUUUUGAGACUUAGGUGAAACCGGGAUAUGAGAGAUUUGAACGGGAUACAAGAGCUCAAGCUUGGGGAUGCCCAAGGCACACAGGGGAUAGGNNNNNNNNNNNNNNNNNNNNNNNNNNNNNNNNNNNNNNNNNNNNNNNNNNNNNNNNNNNNNNNNNNNNNNNNNNNNNNNNNNNNNNNNNNNNNNNNNNNNACACAAGUAUUGUGUUUCCAACUCAAUACAAUUAUAGCAUGGAUAAUAACGAWUWAUCAUGAACUAAGAAAUAUAAUAAUAACUAAUUUAUUAUUGCCUCUAGGGCAUAUUUCCAACAGUCUCCCACUUGCACUAGAGUCAAUAAUCUAGUUCACAUCACCAUGUGAUUCCAACGCAUCCAACACCCAUAUAGUUAUGGGGUCUGAUCACGUCUUGCUCGUGAGAGAGGUUUUAGUCAACGGUUCUGAAACUUUCAGAUUCGUGCGUUCUUUACAAAUCUUUAUGUCAUCUUAUAGAUGCUGCUACUACGUGCUAUUCGGAAAUGCUCCAAAUAUCUACUCUACUAUACGAAUCCGUUUCACUACUCAUAGUUAUCCGGAUUAGUGUCAAAGCUUGCAUUGACGUAACCCUUUACGACAAACUCUUUAACCACCUCCACAAUCGAGAAAAAUUCCUUAGUCCAUUAGUUACUAAGGAUAAAUUUCGACCGCUGCUAGUGAUUCAAUCAUGGAUCACUCUCUGUACCUCUCAACAUACUUUGAGUCAAGGCACACAGGGGAUAGGNNNNNNNNNNNNNNNNNNNNNNNNNNNNNNNNNNNNNNNNNNNNNNNNNNNNNNNNNNNNNNNNNNNNNNNNNNNNNNNNNNNNNNNNNNNNNNNNNNNNCUAUAGUCAAAAUCCUAAAAAGAAGUGAAACAGAAACUGUUUCACAUGCAAAAAUGAGUUAAAAUGCUCAAACAUUUUUGAAAUUUUUACCACUGAUAAAUAAGAUCACUAGUGAUCAGUAGCAAAAAUAAUUAAUUAAAAAUCUAUAUUUAAACUCCCAGAAUAAGGAAAACAAGGUAUAAACUAAAUUCAAAUUUGAAACUUUCAAACAUAGGAAAAUAAUAUGUUUUUGAAAACUACAGGAAAAUUGUGAUCUACUGGAAAAAGAAUCAACCCCAUUGGAGUUGUAGAUCAAAAGUUAUGAGCAAAAGAAAAUUUGAUCUGCCUCUGUUUUUUGAAUUAACACUGAAAACUGAAUAGCUAAUUAGUGAGCGGGGGUCCACGUGGCGUGUUGUGAUUGGCUCUGGGAUGUGUGUUGUAUAGGCAAAACAGCGGAUGGCUGCUAUAUAAGAAACCGCUUCGGCUAAACUUACUAAUAAAAAUAAUCGCUGGUUCUUUUAAAAGAACCGAAGGGGUAUCUUCAGAUCUAAUCUCACGCGUAGGAUUUUAAUCGAACGACUAAGAGAGGGGAUGGGGUUGCUCACAGAGGUGGCUGCCGGUGCUGGCUCUUCCCCGGCGAACAGGGAUAUGGUGGUCGACGGGGACGAGGCUCCGACGAGUCUCCGGCGGGUCCGACGGCACCAUAGGAUGGCGGCGAGGCUCCGGCAUCCGAGGGAGGUGACGGCGAGGCGAGAGGGAGCGGGGGGCGAGCAGGGGGAGCUCAGGGAGGCUCGGUGGUGGCUGGGAACUCCGGCGAGGCGCGGGGUGGCGAUGGAGUGGAGGGGCUAGGGUGCAGGGGGAAGAAAUGGGGCGCGGCGGCGGCGGCGAGCUCGCUGGUGGGGUCGGACGGGGUGGGGAGGCGAGGGUGGCGAGGCAGGGCGAGGAGGGGCUUCUCUGGAGCUUUUGCUCCGGCGAGCAGUAGGGCAGGGGCAGGGGAACGGGGGCUCGGGCUAGGGCAGGGGAACGGGUGCGGUGGCGAGGGGGAAAGCUUUAUAGGAGAGAGGGGGGGGGGGGCUCGGGNNNNNNNNNNNNNNNNNNNNNNNNNNNNNNNNNNNNNNNNNNNNNNNNNNNNNNNNNNNNNNNNNNNNNNNNNNNNNNNNNNNNNNNNNNNNNNNNNNNNNNNNNNNNNNNNNNNNNNNNNNNNNNNNNNNNNNNNNNNNAUCGGGCUCCGGCGAUCUCGGCUGAGAGAAGGAAGGAGAGAGGGAGCGGGUGUUGGGGGUGACCGAGGGUGGGGGAGGUUUCGGGCGGUGGGGCCCGCUGGCAGGGAGAGGGGUGCUGGGGAGCUUCGGUCGGUUGACCGAUUUUGGAAGGAGAGAGGGAUCCCGGGCUGAGGGGAUUCGGCCCAGAGCACUAAAUGCCGCCCAUGCGCUUUCCUAAAAAAACAUAUUUCCUAUUUUCUAUUUUAAUUAAAAACAGAAAGAAAAAUACAAAAAAGGAAAUAAAAUAAAAUAUAGAUAUAGGGGGUAUUAUAUACAAAAAUUUUCAGAAAAAUAUUUCCUAUUUGUUUAUCAUUUUUCCAAGAGUAAAAUAAAAAAAUUUAAAAAUGUUUUUUCAGAAAAAACCCCUAAAGGUUUUAUUUUCUUUUGUAAUUAUUUUCUCAAUAAAACUCUGGUUUUCUUGGCUCAAAAAUAUUUCAAAAAUGCCCCUGAUUUUGGGAGGGUCAUUUUCCUCCGCUCUUUCUUGCUUGCAAGAAUUUAUUUUCGGGGUAUUUUCUCGGAGAAGAAAAAUAGAAAUGCAGAAGCAAAAUUUGAAAGAAUUCAAAUGCAAACUCCAUUCAAAUUCUUUAUAGUUGAAGAAGUUAUGUCAUCUUCUCUCAUUGCUUUUGAAUUUGAAUUUACCGGAGAAGGGGAAAGUCAUUUUAUUCCCUCUCGUUCAAAAGUUUUGAAAAGUUUCAAAUUUCACUCAAGCUUCAAUCACUCAAGCAAACAAACAAACAAUCUAAUAAUUUUUUUUAACAUUCCAANNNNNNNNNNNNNNNNNNNNNNNNNNNNNNNNNNNNNNNNNNNNNNNNNNNNNNNNNNNNNNNNNNNNNNNNNNNNNNNNNNNNNNNNNNNNNNNNNNNNUUUUUCGCAAGAUGUCAUGGCACGUCUCCAUGCAUCCCGGGUCAUCCACUGGUUUCUCCAGGGAGCCGUUCAACCGUCCUUCACCCAGAGUUGCAUUGCAUCACGAGGUCUUGAAAAUCUUGACUUAACAGGUCUUGGUUAUUAAAUUAUUCUCGCAUCACUCGUGAUAUGCACUCAACCAGAAUCCCGUCUACUCAAGCAUAACAAUAUGAAAUUUGUCGUCCCGGGCCAAGUAACGGGGUUGUUGGGCGCCUACCACAUGAUACUACAAUAUGUAACCAUAAUUUCCAAGUACCUACUCAGCAUGUAAUUGGGUAUAGGAUGGUAGAACUACAAUGCAUAAAACAUAGGUAAGACAUGAUCAAAUGACUUGCCUGGUGAGGUUGAUGAAGAAGAAUUAUCGUUCUCGAGAAAUAACUUGAUAGACUAUUUGUCACUCUCCGAUGAAAUCUAUAUAACAAACAUAUCAUUCACAUAAGCNNNNNNNNNNNNNNNNNNNNNNNNNNNNNNNNNNNNNNNNNNNNNNNNNNNNNNNNNNNNNNNNNNNNNNNNNNNNNNNNNNNNNNNNNNNNNNNNNNNNNNNNNNNNNNNNNNNNNNNNNNNNNNNNNNNNNNNNNNNNNNNNNNNNNNNNNNNNNNNNNNNNNNNNNNNNNNNNNNNNNNNNUUUUUUGUUCUAACUGAAAAUAAAACUUUAAAUAACAGAGAACUAAUAUAUAAAUUUAACCAAGAUAAAAUAAAGUACUUUUCACAAAACUAUUUCAAAGUAUUUCCAAACGGGAGUUGAAACACUAGAGAAAUCAAUUGCAAGUUAUUAGGGAACUAGAAUUGAUUUUCUUGNNNNNNNNNNNNNNNNNNNNNNNNNNNNNNNNNNNNNNNNNNNNNNNNNNNNNNNNNNNNNNNNNNNNNNNNNNNNNNNNNNNNNNNNNNNNNNNNNNNNAAGUUAUUAGGGAACUAGAAUUGAUUUUCUUGAUAACAAAUAAAAAUAAAAAUAAAAACUUGUUGCAAAUCUACUGUUAACUAACAGAAACAAAACAUAAUAUUUUUGAAACAAAAAUAAAAUACUUUAAAAACAACUAAAGAGAGAGCUAUAGUCAAAAUCCUAAAAAGAAGUGAAACAGAAACUGUUUCACAUGAAAAAAUGAGUUAAAAUGCCCAAACAAUUUUGAAAUUUUUACCACUGAUAAAUAAGAUCACUAGUGAUCACUAGAAAAAAUAAUUAAUUAAAAAUCUAUUUUUAAACUCCUAGAAUAAGCAAAACAAGGUUUAAAUUAAAUCUGAUCUAAUUCAAAUUUGAAAAUUUCAAACAUAGGCAAAUAAUAUGUUUUCGAAAACUACAGGAAAAUUGUGAUCUAAUGGAAAAAUAAUCAACCUCAUUGGAGUUGUGGAUCAAAAGUUAUGAGCAAAAGCAAAUUUGAUCUGCCUCUGUUUUUUGAAUUAACACUGAAAAACUGAAUAGCUAAUUAGUGAGCGGGGGUCCACGUGGCGUGUUGUGNNNNNNNNNNGUGUGCGUUGCAUGGGCUAAACAACGGAUGGCUGCUAUAUAAGAAACCGCUUCGGAUAAACUUACUAAUAAAAAUAACUGCUGGUUCUUUUAAAAGAACCGAAGGUGUAUCUUCAGAUCUAAUCUCACGCGUAGGAUUUUAAUUGAACGGCUAAGAGAGGGGAUGUGGUUGCUCAGAGAGGUGGCUGCCGGUGCUAGCUCUCCUCUGGCGAAUAGGGACGUGGUGGUCGACGGGGACGAGGCUCCGGCGAGUCUCCGGCGGGUCCGACGGCACCAGAGGAUGGCGGCGAGGCUCCGGCGUCCGAGAGAGGCGAUGACGAGGCGAGAGGGAGCCGAUCUAAUAAUUUUUUUUAACAUUCCAAAAUUUGGGAUGUUACAUAAAGUAUCUUGGACAUCUUCUUUGAUUGUGAGCCCCCAUUAAUUAUUUUCAAACUUGAUCAAGUAGUUGACGUUGGACAAGCAAGAAAACGUAAUGGUUAUGUUUGCUUAUAUUCACAUAGAAGUUAUAUUAUCAUGGAUCCUCUAACAUGUGGUGCUUGCUUUAGGUCAUUUGAUAGACCAAAUAUUCGCACUAAGUAGAGAUACUACUUGUGAAUCCAUAACCUUUGAACCUAGUUUCUUGCGAUGAGAGUCUAUCGUACCUACCCAUGGAUUGAAUAAGAUCCUUCAAGUAAGUUGUCAUCAGUGCACAAAGCAAUAAAAAUUGUUCCUAAACAUUUAUGAUCUGUUAUUGUAUGGGAAAAUAAUAUUUAUAUGAUCUUCUGAUGGUGAAGAAAUAAAAGCGACGAACUGCAUAAUAAAGUUUGCUAUCACAAGGGGCAAUAUAAAGUGACUUCCUUUUCAUUAAAAGAUUGCAUAUCCAGAAAUAAAAAGAGCAUGCCAACCUUUGCUUCCCUCUCGGAAGGGCCUAUCUUAUACUUUUAUGUAUUUAUACAUUUACUUUUAUGCAAGAAUCAAUAAUGUUCAUUCCUAUUUGAAAAUAUUAAUUCUUUAGUUGGCAAGCAUCAUGUGGUGUGGCAAGAUCCAAACACAUAUAUCUAACUGGAUAUAUGUGAUCAUGAUUCGUUAUUGUUGACAUUAUCCCUGAGAUAAAUAAGUUGGGAGGUGGAACAUUAAGCCCUAUCUUCCUAUGUGUUUGAUUGAAACUGCUUGUUCUAAAAGUAUUCCUUGAGUGUGAGCAAUCAUGGAAGACUAAAUGAUAGUUGAGUAUGUGGAAUUUUCUAAAUCAAAGCUCUUACAUAGACCCUUCCUGAAAUAAGAUGAAUUGUAACUGUUUGAUGACGGAAAAUGUAGUUUACUAGUUUUCAAGAAAGUUUAUGGUCUAUACUUUAACAUGUGAAUAGGUUGUUACUUGAUCAUGAGAAGUUCUAUGAGAAAAUAGUUGUUGUUUUAUGGUGCUAGAAAAAGUGACAUUGAUUAAAUUUAUAUACUAUGCUAGCAUUCAGACUUCAUAAAGUAUUUCUUUUAUCAUUUACCUAGUCGAGUACGAGUAGCAGUUAAGCUUGGGGAUGCUGAAACGUCUCCAAUGUAUCGAUAAUUUGUGAAGUAUUCAUGCCAAUAUUCUACAUAUUUCAUAUACUUUUGGCAACAUUUUAUAUUAUUUUUGGGACUAACUUACUUAUCUAGUGCCGAGUGUGAGUUCCUAUUUUUGUCUGUUUUUUGUUUUGCAGAAAGUCCAUAUCAAACAAAGUCCAAAUGCGAUAAAAAUUUAUGGAGAUUUUUUUGUAAUAUAUGUGAAUUUUGGGAGGAAGAAUUAACACAAUAUGGUGCCCGAGGGACAGAGAAGCUAACAGGGUGUGACCAGGGGGGUGGUUGAGCCCUGAUACCUUUUGACCAUCACUUAAGUUGGUUGGGGUCAUUCUUUUGCCGCAAGAAAGAUAAUUUUAAGAAAUGGUGAAUGGCCACAAGCAGCAUUAAAAACAAGAGAUAAACAUAGAUAGAUAGAUAGAUAGAUAGAUAGAUAGAUAGAGAGAUCCAAUCUCGGAGGGGCUCUCUCCCCUACGGGAGCCAUGGAGGGCAAGGACUGAUAAUCCCCAAGUACAAGGAAUCAUCGUAGCAAUCUCUAAAGAUGGAAGUGGUAAGUAUGGAAUGUUGAACCCACAAGGAGCUAAAGGUAAGAUCAAUAUUCUCUCAAGUCCUAUCUGCCACCGAUACGACUCUACGUACACCAAACAUUAGCUUCAAUCUAGUAACGGGAAAUAAAAUUGCGUUGUGGGUAUAAAGAUGAUAGAUUUGCAUGAUAUUGGAGAACAAAAAUAUGAAAAUAGUCGCUACCUAAAAAAAGCUAGAAUAUAUUGCAAAUAGCAAGCAUGGAAUAAUGAUGGUAUGGUUUGCGGAAUCAUCCUAGACAAGUGAUAACAAGAUCAGUAAUCAUUAUUAUAAUUUAAUUUGAGGGUGAGGCAUGAGCUAACAUACCUUCCAUAAUUGGAUCAUAUGAACUUAUGAUUGGACCUCUAUCAAGCAUCCACGACUACCAGAAAUCAUUGAGGUAAACUCAACCAUAACAUUAAACAUCAAGUCACCUUUGCUCACAUACGCAACAAUCCCCUUACUCGGGUGUAAGCUUCUGUUACUCUAGUCACCCACUAUAAGAGAAUCAUGAACAUAUUGCAAACCCAAGAGUGAGAAUUCCCUCAUGUGUGCGUGACAUGAAGGGCACCAUAGGACAACACCAAAAUAAAACAUACACUCAAAUCAAUCAAGAUCAUCAAUCAACCCAAAGGACAACAUAAAUCUACUCAAACAUCAUAGGAUGGCAACACAUCUUUGAUUAAUAAUAUGUGGCAUGAAACAACAUGUUCAGUUAGGGGAUUAAAGUGGGGUGCACGAGAGUGGACCGCCAUAGAUGGAUGAGGGAAGGUGGUGGAGACGGUGAUGUUGAUGAGGACGAUCAUUGCGUCGAUGGUUCUCCCGCUGGCACUCCGGCGCCACCGAAAGAGAGAGUGAGAGACUCUCCCCCUUAGGCUUCUUCCUACAUGGCCUCUCCCUAUAUGGGGAGAGGUUCUCCCCUCUGGUCCUUGGCCACCUUGGCUCCCAGAGGGGCGAGAGCUCCUUCGGGAUUAGAUACCUCUGUGUGUUUCUCUCUUGUUUUCGCCAUUGUUUUCUCUCCGCAUUGGUUUUUCGUUGAUAUUGAGAGUUCCCAUGGUGAGGCAGAGAGUCUCUCAUAAUUUCUGAGGGUUUCUCUAUUUAUAGGAUUUUUUUGGUGUUGGAAUCACGCAAGAAAGAAUUACGAGGGCCCCACAAGCCAUCAGGGCCCUUUGACCCCCCCUCUGCGCGCCCUGAUUGCUUGUUUUCCAGAAAAUUCACCAAAAAGUUUCGGGCGAUUCCGAGAACUUCCAUUUUGUGCACACAAAAAAUGUCACCAUGGCAAUUCUGCUGAAAACAGCAUUAGUCCGGUUUACUUCUAAUUAAACCAUCAAAAGUGCAUCAAAGCCAUAGAAAAGUAUUGUAAACAUAGGUGAAUAUGGCAUGAAUACUUCAUAAAUUAUCAAUACGUUAAAGAUGUAUCAGCAUCCCCAAGCUUAAUUCCUACUCAUGCUCGAGUAGGUAAAUGAUAAAAGAAAUAAUUUAGGAAGUGUGAAUGCUAGCAUAGUCUAUAAGUUUGAUCAAUGUUACUUCCAAUCACUUUUUUCUAGCAUCAUAAACACGAACUCUUCUCUUNNNNNNNNNNNNNNNNNNNNNNNNNNNNNNNNNNNNNNNNNNNNNNNNNNNNNNNNNNNNNNNNNNNNNNNNNNNNNNNNNNNNNNNNNNNNNNNNNNNNUCAUCAUUUAAUCUGUUUGGUGAUGUUAACAUUUUCAAACAUGUUUGAGAAUAUCAAAAUCAGAUUCCUUCGAUUUUUCUGAUACUUUUUCAUAUAUAAAUUAUUUUCAUUGGAGUUACAGAUUAUUUUCUAUGAUUUUAAGAAGUUUUGGGCAUUUUCUGGAAUUCUUUUAAAUCAAAAAAUCUCUUUAUUGCGUCAUAACCACGUCAGCACUGCGUCAGCAGGUCAACCGACCUAGUCAGGUCAAACCUGACAGGUGGGGGCCACUGGUCAGUGUCUCAGGAGUUAAUCCCGCACUGACCAGCCCCUAAGUGGGUUUGACCCACUGCUAGGGCCCACUGUGAGUGGCUAAUUAGUGUUAAACCACCGGGAUUAGGCCGGCCACGUCGUCCCCCGCCGAAGACUGGCCCGCGGCGACCAGAUCUGCGGCGGAUCUUCGCCGGAGAUGCACCAGAUCUUGCUAGAUGUUCGAAUCAAGUGCCGAGAGCACUGGGAUGAUCCCCAGGCUCGGCCUCAUUCACAACGGUCGUCAGGAGGGGCUAUAGGUGGCCGGAGCAUGCUGGUGACGAGCCGAGGCGGCUGUCGGAGCUAGGGCUCAUCGGUCCCGUGGCUAGAGUGCCGGAGAGAGAGGGGAAACAGAGGGGAAAUGCUCGCAAGCUCAUGGUGGAGACGAAGCUGGGCUCAGACUGCUCGGGGAGGGGUUGUAGUCGACGAUCCAUCGUCGAUUUGUCGGCGGCCGGAGGUUGAAGACGGCGGCACUGGGGGCAUUGCAGGGCUCGGGGAGGACGGUUCCGUUGACGUGCGCGUCGAGCUCAACGUUGCGGAGAGGAUGGAGCACUCGGGGGGGNNNNNNNNNNCUGUAGCCGGCGAUCCACCGUUGAUUUGCCGGCGGUCGGAGCUUGAAGACGACGGCACUGGGGACGUUGCAGGGCUCGGGGAGGACGGUUCCGUUGACGUGCGCGUCGAGCUCGAUGUUGCGGAGAGGAUGGAGCACUCGGGGAGGGGGGGCUUCCCUAUGGCCACGGAGCACGGGCUCCUCGAGCUCAAGCUCCUGUCAAUGGCGGUAGGAGGAGAGGAAAGAAACCGAGAGGAGGGGGAGGAAUGGAGAGCGGGGAUGGAUAGGGACGCGCUCGGCGAAGUCAUCCCCAUUGUCGCGCUGUCCUGGGGGCACCGGAGAAUGCCAUGGCGAAGCAGGAGGUGGAGGAUGCCGCCGUGGUCGAUCUCUCCUUUGCUAGAAGGCAGAGGAAGAAGACGACCCUGCCCCUGGUGGGCUGGGCCUCGCAGGUGAGCGUAGUUUAGGGUUUUUUCUUUUCUUCUUUUAUUUGUUUUCUAUUUUACUUGUUGACAUUGUUGUCAUUUAUUUUUGCCACUAAAUCAAAACUAAAAUUAGUUUGAAAAAUGCUUGGGUGUUAGUUGGAAUAUUUCCAAUCACCCAUAAAGUUUUCAACAAUUUUGAAAACUUAUACAUUUUUGAAUUCAAAUAUAAGUUUGAAUUCACGGACUUUGCUGGUUUUAAAUAAAAUGCCAAAAGUGAUUUAAAAAUAGUAUUCUCCCCUGAUAAUUUGUUUUCAAUAUUUAUCAGAAAUAUUGAACUUUUAAGAAGNNNNNNNNNNNNNNNNNNNNNNNNNNNNNNNNNNNNNNNNNNNNNNNNNNNNNNNNNNNNNNNNNNNNNNNNNNNNNNNNNNNNNNNNNNNNNNNNNNNNAUACAGCCUGUAACACAUCGCAUCUCUUUGCGGUCUCACGCACGGUUAUCCCCACGGCUGCAGCCUUACCUUAGUCGGGACCGUUUGCGCCUUUUGACUCGCGUAUGCAAUUGUGUCACUAGCAAUCCAAUGACAAAGAACCCGGAUCGACAUGUCUAGUCAUAAACCAAAGCGGCGGUUCCGCAUAGGGACAGGCAUACAUGACCCAGCAAAGCAGGUGUCGGUCACCAGAGAAUGUAGACGAGUCAUAGCAAGCUAAAAGGACUCCAUUACAUCACGUGAUAUUCCCCAAAGGGGACAGACACAGCAGCUAAGAAGGACAAAUGCCGGUCAACCAAUGUGUCCGGAGCAGUAGCGAACUACCAUGGCUCGUUGGAUCACAAAGGGGCAUUUCACUGUAAAGAGUGCUCCUAAGCCUACGACUAGGUAAUCGAACCCCAUACAUAUCAAGUACAACACACGUACGCAUGGCAUACCUAUAUGUAUAGAUACAUCGAUGGCAUCACAACAUAACCAUAAACAUACAAACUUUAUUUAGAAGGCUCGGAAGAGCCACACACAUAAUAUUACAAGGUAGGGGUCUCACGACCCAUCAUCACAAGUCAUACACGCAAUUCUUACAAACCAGCGGAAGAGUAAAGCUGUCUAACUACAGACAGAUGGAAAGAUAAAGGCACAUGGCCUGACUAUCUAUAGACCCAUCCUAGGGCCAAAUCGUAGCUGGGAUACCAUCUACUCAUCGUCGUCGAUGUCUAGAUUGAACCCUCCAUUAGGGUCAUUAACAACCUCUGCAACAAUUAUUAAGCANNNNNNNNNNGGGCUGUAGCCUUAACUUAGCCGGGACCUUUUGGCCUUUUGACUCGCGUAUGCAAUUGUGUUGCUAGCAAUCCAAUGACAAAGAACCCAGAUCGACAUGUCUAGUCAUAAACCAAAGCGGCAGUUCCACACAGGGACAGGCAUACAUGACCCAGCAAAGCAGGUGUCGGUCACCAGCGAAUGUAGACAAGUCGUAGCAAGCUACAAGGACUCCAUUACAUCAUGUGACAUUUCCCCAAGGGGACAAACACAGCGGCUAAGAAGGACACAUGCCGGUCAACCAAUGUGUCCGGAGCAGUAGCGAACUACCAUGGCUCGUUGGAUCACAAAGGGGGAUUUCCCUAUAAGGAAUGCUACUAAGGCCUACGGCUAGGUAAUCAAACCCCAUACAUAUCAAGUACAACACACGUACGCAUGGCAUACCGAUAUGUAUAGAUACAUCGAUGGCAUCACAACAUAACCAUAAACAUACANNNNNNNNNNNNNNNNNNNNNNNNNNNNNNNNNNNNNNNNNNNNNNNNNNNNNNNNNNNNNNNNNNNNNNNNNNNNNNNNNNNNNNNNNNNNNNNNNNNNNNNNNNNNNNNNNNNNNNNNNNNNNNNNNNNNNNNNNNNNNNNNNNNNNNNNNNNNNNNNNNNNNNNNNNNNNNNNNNNNNNNNNNNNNNNNNNNNNNUGUAAAGCUGUCUGAGUACAGACAGAUGGAAUGAUAAAGGCACAUGGCCUGACUAUCUACAAACCCAUCCUAGGGCCAGAUCGUAGCUGGGAUACCAGCUACUCAUCGUCGUCGAUGUCUAGGUAGAACCCUCCAUUAGGGUCAUUAACAACCUCUGCAACAAUUAUUAAGCAAACAUGAGUACAAAAGUACUCAGGAAUACUUUAGGAUAAGCUAUCUACUCAUGCAAUGUAUCAAUAAGGAAUUGUGGGGUUUCAUGCGGAAAGCCAGCAUUUGACUCGUGGCUAGACAACUUGCAUUUUUAAAUAGUUUUGACAACUUUGAUUUCUCGCACACGAGUCCACUAACACCACAACAAUACUCCAUCGUGGAAUCAUUCCGUCUCCAUACGGAAAAGCCGUCCACGACACUCAUGCUUAUCUUGACAAUUUUAUGAGUAGCCAUUAAAGUUAUCUAUGAACAACAUAUGUCUCCAACUAGUCCAUAUCCGCGGACGCGGCUAUUCGAAAAGAUCAUAACCCUGCAGGGGUGUACUUCUUCACACACGCUCUCGCCACUUAUCGCCAUGUGCACGUCAUGCACCUCGGCAACCUUCAAGUGGAAGCCCAGCGAGGGAGUCAGCCACGACCGUUAACCACGCUAAUACUUAGUCCUGGUCUAUCGCCUAUCUGAGGGUAACCCGCACGGAAGUCCGGCCGAGGUUUCCGCCACGGCCCCAAACGAUGUGCGCAGGGUUUCCAAGCCCACCAUCCGGGUGCCACUUGGUACACCGUGCCACUGCCUACCUCAUCAUAGCCCACCUCUCAGGUCAGCGCUACGCACGGCCUCCAGCAUGACUGUAAACACCAGAAACUACUUGCAACUCCUGGACCGAGUACUAAGCGAUUAAUAAGUCGAGAGGGUCAAUUAAGUAUCCCAACGUGUGGUACUAUCUAGUCAUAGAUUACAUACACGGAACUCAGUUCCUAAGGACGGUUCCAAUGAAACAANNNNNNNNNNNNNNNNNNNNNNNNNNNNNNNNNNNNNNNNNNNNNNNNNNNNNNNNNNNNNNNNNNNNNNNNNNNNNNNNNNNNNNNNNNNNNNNCUGUUCAUCACCCAGAUGACAGACCAUACACAACUCUAAGCAUACGAUGCAUAGAGGAUAAGGCACAUCAUGGCUCAAGCAUCUACCAGGUAUGCUAGGUUGNNNNNNNNNNCCCGCCAUGUACUCCUACAUAGCCAUUCACCGAUACCUUUACCAAAUCAGGUUCAUCACACAACCUUUACUUACUGAACACAUUCUCACAAUUUUGUUCAUCACCCAGAUGACAAACCAUACACAACUCUAAGCAUACCAUGCAUAGCAGGAUAAGGCACAUCAUGGCUCAAGCAUCUACCAGGUAUGCUAGGUUGCAAGGUUCAGCUAUUCACUGUGACAAGGACAGGUCAUGCAAAGGAAGUGGGUUCAACUAACGUAGUAAAAGCAGUGAAAGCAUUUGCCCUAAUGCAAGAAAUACAAGUAGGAGCGCGAACAUGGGAUUUAUCGGGAUGAUCAAAAUUGGUUGCUUGCCUUGUUGCUCAGCAGAGGGACAAUAUCCGCCAGUCGGAUAUUCGGUGGAAUCCGGAGGAGCGGGGCCUAGCGGUAAAACAAUAUCAAUCAAUAACAAUCAUAUGCAACAAGAUGAUGCAUGAGCAUGGNNNNNNNNNNUACUGUGACAAGGACAGGUCAUGCAAAGGAAGUGGGUUCAACUAAUGUAGUAAAAGUAGUGAAAGCAUUUGCCCUAAUGCAAGAAAUAAGAGCAGGAGCGAGAACAUGGGAUUUAUCGGGAUGAUCAAAAUUGGUUGCUUGCCUUGUUGCUCAGCAGAGGGACAAUAUCCGUUAGUCGUUUAUUCGGUGGAAUCCGGAGGAGUGGGGCCUACCGGUAAAACGAUAUCAAUCAAUAACAAUCAUAUGCAACAAGAUGAUGCAUGAGCAUGGCAUGGAAAUUAAAGGUGGUAGGCUAAUGUAGCUACCAUUUCUUAAGUUGAAGUUGAUUUGAAUCAAGUUUCAAAUAUCACUUCAAACAAGGUAUUUUCAAACACUCUUUUAAUUGAUUCGACCUGAUGCUCAGGUAAUCUUGUUUUAGCAUGCAUGAUGAUGGUAUGUUGGGUUGCUGGUUGUUCUUGAUCAUGGUUUGGUCAUAAUAUUUGAAGUGGAAUUCAAAUGGAUUUCAAAUUCCAACUCCAAUUUAUUUAAUAAGGUUAUCCUAAUCAUCAUUUAAUCUGUUUGGUGAUGUUAACAUUUUCAAACAUGUUUGAAAAUAUCAAAAUCAGAUUCCUUGGAUUUUUCUGAUACUUUUUCAUAUAUAAAUUAUUUUCAUUGCAGUUACAGAUUAUUUUCUAUGAUUUUUAGAAGUUUUGGGCAUUUUCUCGAAUUCUUUUAAAUCAGAAAAUAUCUUUAUUUCAUCAUAACCACGUCAGCACUGCGUCAGCAGGUCAACCGACCUGAUUAGGUCAAACCUGACAGGUGGGGGGCACUGGUCAGUGUCUCAGGAGUUAAUCCCGCGCUGACCAGCCCCUAAGUGGGUUUGACCCACUCCUAGGGCCCAUUGUGAGUGGCUAAUUAGCGUUAAACCACCAGGAUUAGGCCGGCCACGUCGUCCCCCGCCGGAGACUGACCGGCGGCGACCAGAUCCGCGGCGGAUCUUUGCUGGAGAUGCACCAGAUCUUGCUGUGGUGCUCGGAAUCAAGUGCCGAGAGCACUGGGAUGAUCCCCAGGCUCGGCCCCAUCCACUACGGGCAUCAGGAGGNNNNNNNNNNAAUUUCUUAAGUUGAAGUUGAUUUGAAUCAAGAUUCAAAUAUCACUUCAAACAAGGUAUUUUCAAAUACUCUUUUAAUUUAUUCGACCUGAUGCUCAGGUAAUCUUGUUUUAGCAUGCGUUAUGAUGGUAUAUUGGGUUGCUGGUUGUGCUUGAUCUUGGUUUGGUCAUAAUAUUUGAAGUGGAAUUCAAAUGGAUUUCAAAUUCNNNNNNNNNNNNNNNNNNNNNNNNNNNNNNNNNNNNNNNNNNNNNNNNNNNNNNNNNNNNNNNNNNNNNNNNNNNNNNNNNNNNNNNNNNNNNNNNNNNNGUCCGGAAAAAAAAUCAAGGAGAAGAGUUCAUCGCAUUUUACGAUAGGAGGCGCCGCCACCACCUGUUCUUCCUCUGGAGGGCUGAUCCGGAGUCCGUUCUGGGCUCCGGAGAGGGGAGAUUGUCGCCAUCGUCAUCACCAACCUUCCUUCAUCGCCAAUUCCAUGAUGCUCUUCACCAUUCGUGAGUAAUCUCAUCGUAGGCUUGCUGGACAGUGAUGGGUUGGAUGAGAUCUAUCAUGUAAUCGAGUUAGUUUUGGCGGGGAUUGAUCCCUAGUAUCCACUAUGUUCUGAGAUUGAUGUUGCUANNNNNNNNNNAGUUUGCCAUGCUUGAUGCUUGUCACUAGGGCCCGAGUGCCAUGAUUUCAGAUCUGAACCUAUUAUGUUCUCGUCAAUAUAUGUGUGUUCUUGAUCCUAUCUUGCAACCUGUAGUCACCUACUAUGUGUUAUCACCCGGCAACCCCGGAGUGAAAAUAGCCGGAACCACUCCCGGAGAUGACCAUAGUAUGAGGAGUUCAUGUAUUCACUAAGUGCUAAUGCUUUGUUCCAGUUCUCUAUUAAAAGGAGAACCUUAAUAUCCCGUAGUUUCCAUUAGGACCCCGCUGCCACGGGAGGGAUGGACAAUAGAUGUCAUGCAAGUUCUUUUCCCUANNNNNNNNNNNNNNNNNNNNNNNNNNNNNNNNNNNNNNNNNNNNNNNNNNNNNNNNNNNNNNNNNNNNNNNNNNNNNNNNNNNNNNNNNNNNNNNNNNNNAAGCACGACGGCGUGGUGUCGAUGGAGAGACGAGGUCUCCCGGCACGGCUUCGCCAAGCACCGACACAGAGGAGGAGGAAGAAGGGCAGGGCUGCGCCGAUGGAGAGGGAGAAGUCUAUCUCCCAAGGGCAAAAACCCCUCUCUAUUUAUAGGAGGAGGGGGAAGGGGGUGCACCACCCCUAGGGUUCCCCCUUAGGUGGUGCGGAAGCCACCAGAUGGGAGAGGGGCGCCGGCCAGGGCAGGGAGGAGGGGUGGUGCGCACCCCUGGUGGGCCUUAGGCCCACCUGCCUUAGGGUUUGCCCCCCUUUUUCUCUCCCCUGCGCAUUGGGCUGAGUGGGGAGGCGCACCAGCCCACCUAGGGGCUGGUUCCCUCCCCCACUUGGCCCAUCUUACCUCCCCGGGUCGUUGCCCCCCUUUGGUGGACCCCCGGGGCCACCUCCGGUGGUCCCGGUGGUCCCGGUACGUUACCGCUGAUGCCCGAAACACUUCCGGUCGUCCUAUAUAUCAAUCUUUACCUCCAGACCAUUCUGGAGCUCCUCGUGACGUCCAGGAUCUCAUCCGGGACUCCGAACAACUUUCAGUAACCUCGUAUAACAAUUCCCUAUAACCCUAGCGUCAUCGAACCUUAAGUGUGUAGACCCUACGGGUUCGGGAGACAGGCAGACAUGACCGAGACACCUCUCUGGCCAAUAACCAUCAGCGGGGUAUGGAUACCCAUGGUGGCUCCCACUUGCUCCACGAUAAUCUCAUCGUAUGAACCAUGAUGUCAAGGAUUCAAUCAAUCCCGUAUACGAUUCCCUUUGUCUGUCGNNNNNNNNNNCUGGAUACCCAUGGUGGCACCCACUUGCUCCACGAUGAUCUCAUCGGAUGAACCACGAUGUCAAGGAUUCAAUCAAUCCCGUAUACGAUUCCCUUUGUCUGUCGGUAUAGAACUUGCCCGCGAUUCAAUCGUCGAUAUACCAAUACCUUGUUCAAUCUCGUUACCGGUAAGUCUCUUUACUCGUUCCGUAGCACAUCAUUGUGUGACUAACUCCUUAGUCACAUUGAUCUCAUGAUGAUGUUCUACCGAGUGGGCCCAGAGAUACCUCUCCGUCACACGGAGUGACAAAUCCCGAUCUUGAGUCGUACCAACCCAACAAACACUUUCAGAGGUACCCGUAGUGCACCUUUAUAGUCACCCAGUUACGUUGUGACGNNNNNNNNNNAUAGCACGUCAUCAUGUGACUAACUCCUUAGUCACAUUGAGAUCAUGAUGAUGUUCUACCGAGUGGGCCCAGAGAUACCUCUCUGUCACACGGAGUGACAAAUCUCGAUCUUGAUUCAUACCAACCCAACAGACACUUUUAGAGGUACCCGUAGUGCACCUUUAUAGUCACCCAGUUACGUUGUGACGUUUGAUACAACCAAAGCACUCCUAUGGUAUCCGGGAGUUGCACAAUCUCACGGUCGAAGGAAAAGACACUUGACAUUAGAAAAGCUUUAGCAUACGAACAACACGAUCUAGUGCUAUGCUNNNNNNNNNNNNNNNNNNNNNNNNNNNNNNNNNNNNNNNNNNNNNNNNNNNNNNNNNNNNNNNNNNNNNNNNNNNNNNNNNNNNNNNNNNNNNNNNNNNNGCAUAUUUCCAACAGAAGCUAGCGUCGACGUAACCCUUUACGACGAGCUCUUCGUCACCUCCAUAAACGAGAAACACUUCCUUAGUCCUUUUCAGGUACUUAAGGAUAUUCUUGACCGCUGUCCAGUGUUCCAUACCGGGAUCACUUUGGUACCUCCCUACCAAACUUAUGGCAAGGUUUAUAUCAGGUCUGGUACACAACAUGGCAUACAUUAGAGAGCCCACGGCUGAAGCGUAGGGGACAUAACUCAUCUUCUCUCUAUCUGCUGCCGUGGUCGGUGACUAAGUCUUACUCAAUCUCAUACCUUGCAAAACUAGCAAGAACCCUUUCUUUGAGUUUUCCAUAUUGAACUUCUUCAAUAUCUUGUCAAGGUAUGUACUUUGUGAAAGACCUAUGAGGCGUCUCGAUCUAUCUCUAUAGAUCUUGAUGCCUAAUAUGUAUGCGGCUUCUCCAAGGUCCUUCAUUGAAAAACUCUUGUUCAAAUAGGCCUUUAUGCUCUCCAACAUUUCUGUAUUGUUCCCCAUCAAUAAUAUGUCAUCCACAUACAGUAUGAGGAAAGCUACAGAGCUCCCACUCACUUUCUUGUACAGACAGGCUUCUCCGUAAACCUGUAUGAACCCAAACGCUAUAAUCACCUCAUUAAAGCGAAUGUUCCAACUCCGAGAUGCUUGCACCAGCCCAUAGAUGGAGCGCUGGAGCUUUCACACUUUGUUAGCACCCUUAGGGUCGACAAAACCUUCUGGUUGAAUCAUAUACAACUCUUCCUUAAGGUUCCCGUUAAGGAACGCUGUUUUGACGUCCAUUUGCCAAAUUUCAUAAUCAUAAAAGGUGGCAAUUGCUAACAUGAUUCAGACUGAUUUCAGCUUCGCUACGGGAGAGAAAGUAUCUUUGUAGUCAACUCCUUGAAUUUGUCGAAAACCCUUUGCGACAAGUCGAGCUUUGUAAACGGUUACAUUACCGUUUGCAUCAGUCUUCUUCUUGAAGAUCCAUUUAUUUUCUAUGGCUCGCCGGUCAUCGGGCAAGUCCACCAAAGUCCAUACUUUGUUCUCAUACAUGGAUCCUAUCUCGGAUUUCAUAGCUUCAAGCCAUUUGUUGGAAUCCAGGCCUGCCAUCGCUUCUUCAUAGUUCGAAGGUUCACCGUUGUCUAACAACAUGAUUUCCAUCACAGGGUUGCCGUACCACUCUGGUGCAUAGCGUGCCCUUGUGGACCUUCGUGGUUCAACAGUAACUUGAUCCGAAGCUUCAUGAUCAUCAUCAUUAACUUCCUCUUCAGUUGGUGUAGGCGCCAUAGGAACAACUUCCCGCGCUGCGCUACUAUCCUGUUCGAGAGGGGGUGUAAUUAACUCAUCAAGUUCUACCUUCCUCCCACUUACUUCUUUCGAGGGAAACUCUUUCUCUAGAAAGGAUACGUUCUUGGCAACAAAGGUUUUACCUUCGGAUCUAAGAUAGAAGGUAUACCCAAUAGUUUCCUUAGGGUAUCCUAUGAAUACGCAUUUCUUCGCUUUGGGUUCAAGCUUUUCUGGUUGAAGUUUCUUCACAUAAGCAUCGCAGCCCCAAACUUUAAGAAACGACAACUUAGGUUUCUUGCCAAACCAUAGUUCAUACGGUGUCGUCUCAACGGAUUUAGACGGUGCCCUAUUUAAAGUGAAUGCUGCAGUUUCUAAUGCGUAUCCCCAAAAUGAUAGUGGUAAGUCGGUCAGAGACAUCAUAGAUCGUACCAUAUCUAAUAAAGUGCGAUUACAACGUUCAGACACUCCGUUGCGUUGCGGUGUGCCAGGCAGCGUCAGUUGUGAAACGAUUCCACACUUCCUUAGGUGUGUGCCAAACUCGUGACUCAAAUAUUCUCCUCCACGAUCAGAUCGUAGACAUUUAAUUUUUCUGUCACGUUGAUUCUCAACCUCACUCUGAAAUUCCUUGAACUUUUCAAACGUCUCAGAUUUGUGCUUCAUCAAGUAGAUAUACCCAUACAUACUCAAAUCAUCGGUGAGAGUGAGAACAUAACGAUAGCCACUGCGAGCUUCAACGUUCAUCGGACCACACACAUCAGUAUGUAUUAUUUCCAGUAAGUCGGUUGCUCUCUCCAUUAUUCCUGAGAAUGGAGUCUUAGUCAUCUUGCCCAUGAGCCACGGUUCGCAUGUGUCAAAUGAUUCAAAGUCAAGAGACUCUAACAGUCCAUCAGUAUGGAGCUUCUUCAUGCGCUUAACGCCGAUAUGACCAAGGCGGCAGUGCCACAAGUAUGUGGGACUAUCAUUAUCAACUUUACAUAUCUUGGUACUCACACUAUGAAUAUGUGUAACAUCAUGAUCGAGAUUCAUCAAGAAUAAACCAUUCACCAGCGGAGCAUGAUCAUAAAACAUAUCACUCAUAUAAAUAGAACAACCAUUAUUCUCUGACUUAAAUGAGUAGCCGUCUCGCAUUAAGCAAGACCCUGAUACAAUGUUCAUGCUUAAAGCUGGUACUAAAUAACAAUUAUUAAGGUUUAAGACUAAUCCCAAUGGUAGAUGUAGAGGUAGCGUGCCAACGGCGAUCACAUCGACCUUUGAACCAUUCCCGACACGCAUCGUCACCUCGUCCUUGGCCAGUCUCCGCUUAUUCCGCAGUUCCUGCUUUGAGUUGCAAAUGUGAGCAACAACACCGGUAUCAAAUACCCAGGAGCUACUACGAGUGCUGGUAAGGUACACAUCAAUAACAUGUAUAUCACAUAUACCUUUAACGUUGUCGGCCUUCUUGUCCGCUAAGUAUUUGGGGCAGUUCCGCUUCCAGUGACCCUUUCCCUUGCAAUAGAAGCACUCGGUCUCAGGCUUGGGUCCAUUCUUUUUCUUCUUCCCAGCAUCUGGCUUACCGGGCGUGGCAACAACUUUGCCGUCUUUCUUGAAGUUCUUCUUACCCUUGCCUUUCUUGAAACUAGUGGUCUUGUUGACCAUCAACACUUGAUGCUCUUUCUUGAUUUCUACUUCUGCAGACUUGAGCAUCGAGUACAACUCGAGAAUGGUCUUCUCCAUCCCUUGCAUGUUGUAGUUAAGCACAAAGCCUUUGUAGCUUGGUGGGAGCGACUGGAGGAUUCUGUCAAUUAUAGCAUCAUCCGGAAGUUCGACUCCAAGUGAAGUCAGACGACCGUGUAACCCAGACAUUUUGAGUAUGUGCUCACUCACAGAUCUGUUCUCCUCCAUCUUACAACUAAAGAACUUGUCGGAGACUUCAUAUCUCUCGACACGGGUAUGAGCUUGAAAAACUAGCUUCAGCUCCUGGAACAUCUCAUAUGCCCCGUGUUGCUCAAAACGCCUUUGGAGCCCCGUUUCUAAACUGUAUAACAUGCCACACCUAACCAGAGAGUAGUCAUCACUCCGCGUUUUUCAGACGUUCAGAAUGUCCUGGGCUGCUGCGGGAGCGGGAGGGUCACCUAGCGGCGCAUCAAGGACAUAAGCCUUUUUAGCCGCUUCAAGGAUGAGCUUCAAGUUGCGAACCCAGUCCGCAUAGUUGCUACCAUCAUCUUUCAACUUGUUUUUCUCUAGGAAUGCGUUGAAAUUGAGGUUGACGUUGGCCAUCUACAAUAUUUAUAAAGACGACUUUUAGACUAAGUUCAUGACAAUUAAGUUCAUUUAAUCAAAUUAAGUAUGAACUCCCACUUAAAUCGACAUCCCUCUAGUCAUCUAAGUGAUACAUGAUCCAUGUUGACUAACCCGUGUCCGAUCAUCACGUGAGACGGACUAGUCACCAUGGUGAGCAACUUCAUGCUGAUCGCAUUCAACCAUACGACUCAUGUUCGACCUUUCGGUCUCUUGUAUUCGAGGUCAUGUCUGUACAUGCUAAGCUCGUCGAGUCAACCUAGGUGUUUCGCGUGUGUAAAUCUGGCUUACACCUGUUGUAUGCGAACGUUAGAAUCUAUCACACCCGAUCAUCACGUGGUGCUUCGAGACAACGAACCUUCGCAAUGGUGCACACUUAGGGGAAUACGUUCUCGAAAUUUUAAGAGGGAUCAUCUUAUUAUGCUACCGUCGUUCCAAGCAAUAAGAUGAAAAACAUGAUAAACAUCACAAUGCAAUCAUAUAGUGACAUGAUAUGGCCAUUAUCAGCUUUGCCCUUUCGAUCUCCAUCUUCAGGCAUCGCAUGAUCAUCAUCGUCAUUGGCGUGACACCAUGAUCUCCAUCAUCAUGAUCUCCAUCAUCAUGAUCUCCAUCAUCGUGUCUCCGUGAAGUCGUCACGCCAACUACUACUAUCACUACUACUAUAGCUAACCGUUAGCAAUGAAGUAAAAGUAGUAAGCACAUGGCGUUGCAUCUCAUACAAUAAAAUAAGACAACUCCUAUGGCUCCUGCCGGUUGUCAUACUCAUCGACAUGCAAGUCGUGAAACCUAUUACAAUAACAUGAUCAUCUCAUACAUCAUACAUGCAACAUCACAACUUUGGCCAUAUCACAUCACAUGUCAAACCCUGCAAAAACAAGUUAGACGUCCUCUAAUUGUUGUUGCAAGUUUUACGUGGCUGAUUUGGGUUUCAAGCAAGAACACCUUCUUACCUAAGUGACAGCCACAACGAUGAUAUGCCAAAGCUAUUUACCCUUCAUAAGGACCCUUUUCAUCAAAUCCAAUCCGACUAGAGUAGGAGAGACAGACACCCGCUAGCCACCUUUAUGCACGGUGUGCAUGUCUGUCGGUGGAACCAGUCUCACGUAAGCGUACGUGUAAAGUCGGUCCGGGCCGCUUCAUCCCACAACACCGCCGGAAAAUAAUAAGACUAGUAACGGCAAGCAAAUUGACAAAUCAUCGCCCACAACUUUUGUGUUCUACUCGUGCAUAGAAUCUACGCAUAGAAAACCUGGCUCGGAUGCCACUGUUGGAGAACGUAGCAUAAAUUCAAAAUUUUCCUACGCCAUAUUCAGAUCUUCCUAUGGAGAGACCAGCAACGAGAGAGGGGUAAGAGCAUCUUCAUACCUUUGAAGAUCGCUAAGCGGAAGCAUUGCUAGAAUGCGGUUGAUGGAGUCGUACUCGCGGCGAUUCAGAUUGCGGUGUGAUUCCGAUCUAGUGCCGAACUACGACACCUCCGCGUUCAACACACGUGCAGCCCGGUGACGUCUCCUGCACCUUGAUCCAGCAAGGAGGAGGGAGAGGUUGGGGAAGAACUCCAGAAGCACGACGGCGUGGUGUCGAUGGAGAGACGAGGUCUCCCGGCACGGCUUCGCCAAGCACCGACACAGAGGAGGAGGAAGAAGGGCAGGGCUGCGCCGAUGGAGAGGGAGAAGUCUAUCUCCCAAGGGCAAAAACCCCUCUCUAUUUAUAGGAGGAGGGGGAAGGGGGUGCACCACCCCUAGGGUUCCCCCUUAGGUGGUGCGGAAGCCACCAGAUGGGAGAGGGGCGCCGGCCAGGGCAGGGAGGAGGGGUGGUGCGCACCCCUGGUGGGCCUUAGGCCCACCUGCCUUAGGGUUUGCCCCCCUUUUUCUCUCCCCUGCGCAUUGGGCUGAGUGGGGAGGCGCACCAGCCCACCUAGGGGCUGGUUCCCUCCCCCACUUGGCCCAUCUUACCUCCCCGGGUCGUUGCCCCCCUUUGGUGGACCCCCGGGGCCACCUCCGGUGGUCCCGGUGGUCCCGGUACGUUACCGCUGAUGCCCGAAACACUUCCGGUCGUCCUAUAUAUCAAUCUUUACCUCCAGACCAUUCUGGAGCUCCUCGUGACGUCCAGGAUCUCAUCCGGGACUCCGAACAACUUUCAGUAACCUCGUAUAACAAUUCCCUAUAACCCUAGCGUCAUCGAACCUUAAGUGUCUAGACCCUACGGGUUCGGGAGACAGGCAGACAUGACCGAGACACCUCUCUGGCCAAUAACCAUCAGCGGGGUCUGGAUACCCAUGGUGGCACCCACUUGCUCCACGAUGAUCUCAUCGGAUGAACCACGAUGUCAAGGAUUCAAUCAAUCCCGUAUACGAUUCCCUUUGUCUGUCGGUAUAGAACUUGCCCGCGAUUCAAUCGUCGAUAUACCAAUACCUUGUUCAAUCUCGUUACCGGUAAGUCUCUUUACUCGUUCCAUAGCACGUCAUCAUGUGACUAACUCCUUAGUCACAUUGAGAUCAUGAUGAUGUUCUACCGAGUGGGCCCAGAGAUACCUCUCUGUCACACGGAGUGACAAAUCUCGAUCUUGAUUCAUACCAACCCAACAGACACUUUUAGAGGUACCCGUAGUGCACCUUUAUAGUCACCCAGUUACGUUGUGACGUUUGAUACACCCAAAGCACUCCUACGGUAUCCGGGAGUUGCACAAUCUCACGGUCGAAGGAAAAGACACUUUACAUUAGAAAAGCUUUAGCAUACGAACAACACGAUCUAGUGCUAUGCUUAGGAUUGGGUCUUGUGCAUCACAUCAUUCUCCCAAUGAUGUGAUCGCGUUAUCAAUGACAUCUAAUGCCCAUGAUCAGGAAACCAUGAUCAUCUAUUGACUAACGAGCUAGCCAACUAGAGGCUUGCUAGGGACACAUUGUGAUCUAUUUAUUCACACAUGUAUUACUGUUUCCUGUUAAUACAAUUAUAGCAUGAACAGUAGACGAUUAUCAUGAACAAGGAAAUAUGAUAAUAACCAUUUUAUUAUUGCCUCUAGGGCAUAUUUCCAACAGAUGGCUCCACUUGAGUAGAGCAUUGUCCUUCUCUUUGAACCACAAGGGGUUCCUCAAUGGGGAGUAUUUGACAAAUCCCCAUUCUUCUUAUGGCUCGAGGAGGAAUUUCAUCACCUACAUCACAAAUACCACUUUGCUCCACUUGGGAGCCAUUAUUUUAAUCAAACUCUACGUUACACGUCUCCUCAGUGAGUCCGGUAGACUUGUUGAGAACACGGUAAGCAUGAGAGUUUGUAGAAUAAAGAACAAAUAUGCUCUCAUGAGCUCUAGCUUCGAAUUUAGACAAACAAACACCUUUCUUGAGUAUGAAACACUGACAACCGAACACCCUAAAGUACUAGAGGUUGGGCUUGUUCCCACUAAGAAUCUCAUAUGGAGUCUUGUUCAAGCCUUUGCGGAGGUAGAGCCAAUUGGAUGCAUGACAUGCGGUGUUAAUGGCUUCGGCCCAAAAGUUGUACGGAGAUUUGAACUCCGCCAUCAUGGUUCUUGCCACAUCCAUCAAUGACCGGUUCUCCCUCUCUGCCACACUGUUUCGUUGAGGGGUAUAGGAUGCUGAAUAUUGGUGCUUGAUCCCCUUAUCACUAAGGAACUCAUCCAAGGUGUAGUUCUUGAACUCGGUGCCGUUUUCACUUCUAAUCAUCAAUAUGUUUGCUUCAUGUUGACAUUGAGCUUCAUUAGCAAAGUCUAUGAUGGUUUGUUGAGUCUCACUCUUCCUCUUGAAGAAGUAUACCCAAGUGUAUCUUGAGUAGUCAUCCACAAUCACCAAGCAAUACUUUCUUCCCCCAAGACUAGAGGCUUUGUUGGUAGAGGUGGUUUUGCCCUUCUUGGCCUUGUCACCCACUUCCUUCUUCUUCAUAUUAUUAUGACUACUCUCACCCUCUUUGACAAAGAUUUCCUUGAGAGGGGGAGAAAGCUUGGUCUUGUUCUUCUUUUUCUUCUUAGACUUGGGUGAAAACCCAAGUCCCUCCUUUCGUACAACUUCCUUUUGAUUACUCAAAAGGUCAUUUAGAUUCUUCUCGCCUUGGAUGCAUGACACAAUGCCCUUUUCAAGUUGUUCUUUCAACUUGGCAUUCUCCUCCACAAGAUGCACAUGCUCACAACAAGGGUUAGUAGCACAAGCAUUAUCAAUUAGAACAAAAGGAGGACAAGUAGAAAUCUCCUUGGUUAGUUUUACUUGGAGUUGAUCAUGAGACUCCUUGAGAGAGAAAUGAACACCUUUCAAGACCUUGUGGGCCUUGUCAAGUGUGUCAAAUUCCUCCUUGAGUCUAUCAUGGCCAACCCCAAGUGCAACUUUCUCGAAUUUAAGCACACGUGUAAGAACAAUAGAAUGAUCAAGAUCUUUUUGCAAUUUAGCAUGAUCAACAUUGUGUGACUCCUUAAUAGCCAAACAAAGACCACAUUCUUCCUCUAGAGUAAUGGAUAGUUCCGCAAUCUCAUUGGCGUAAUCACGACUAUGUACUUCCAACUUGGAGAUAAUAUCCUCAUGAGUCUCUAUGAGAUCAUUGGCCUCACCAAGUUGUUCCAAAAGAGCAACAAAGUGCUUCUUGGAUUCACCUUUGAUCUUACACAAGAAUUUCUCAAACUCAUUAUCAUCAUGCUCCACUACUUCACUAUUAUCAACACAAUCUAACAACGAAGGAGAUGUAGUGAUAGUGGUCUUGAUGUUGGGGGUUACCUUAUUGAUACCUUUGGCCAUGAGGCACUUGGCGAUGCGGUUCUCAUUGGUGGCGCCUAAGAGAGAGACCUUGGGGGAGGAAGUGGCAAUGGCCACAGUAGCCGUUGCCAUCCCCUCACGGCAUGUAUCAUCUUCGUCAUCAUCGUAGGUGUACUCUUCAUGGGACACCAAACCCCUUGGAGGAGUAUUCUUGGUGAAGAUGUUCUUGCUUGGGAAAGACGUGGCUUUGUCUUUGUGAAUGAGCUUGCCCCCGUUGUCUUCCCUCUUCUCAUAAGGACAAUCCGCCACAAAGUGACUCACAUUACCGCAAUUGUAGCAUGUCCUCACUCGUUGCUUGUUCUUGGACCCACUUGACUUAUUCUUGGAGAAGUUGGGCCUUGAGUUCCUCUUGUUGCCCCAAAAUUGCCUUGAUGCAAGAGCCAUGUGCUCGUGAUAAGCAUACUUUGUGUCUUCGGGGCAGCCCUCUUCUUCCUCUUCCUCUUCUUCAUACGAAAUGACCUUGGCUCUCAUGGCAAGGUUGGGUGAGGCUUUCUUUGAUCGGACACGAUCAAGAGCAUUGUCGGCGGUCUUGUUCAUGAUAUUCAUGGCAAUGAACUCAUCCAACACUUCUCUUGAGGUCAAGGUGUGGAAAUCUAGCCUUUGACGAAUGACGGAGGACAUGGCUUUGUUGAAUGGCAUGAUGGCCUUGAGAAACUUGCACUUGAUCCAAGUGUCAUCUGUAUCCUUGAUCCCAUGAUCUUGGAGAGCAACGACAAGAGUAGCACCCUUCUAUAGAGAUCACGUGGGUCCUCAUCUUCUAGCAUCACAAACUCAUCGGCCUCAUCAAGAACCACUUCAAAGUUGGACCGUUGAAUGCUUGAGCUCCCCUUGUAAAACACCAUGAUUUGCUCCCAACAAUGCUUUGCAUGGGUGAAGGGGCGCAAGUGAGAUAGAUCUUCGGGAGGAACCGCGGAUUGAAGGAUGAACAAUGCAGAAUGAUUGUAUUGAUUAUCCGCCUCUUCUAUUGGAGUGAGGUUGUUUGGAUCAUGUGGGUAAAAGCCUUGUUCGAUGAUUGUCCAAAGAUUUGUUGAGCUGUGAUUCAAAUGAGACUUGAUGCAAAAUACCCAGUUAGCGAAAUCACCUUUAACAAGUUUAGGGGAGGACCAAGGUUAUUAAUAUGCAGCGUAGGGACCGGUCCUCCAUAGACCGGGGGAGGAGGAACCGAGGCAAAGGUUCCCGUCCCAUUCUUGUCAAGAGGGGAAGAAGUUUGAGCACCUUUAGUCGGUUCCUUUUCGGAAUUGGCCUCCGACUCCGAUGUGGUGGGUUUAGCCACAAGUAAUGGUUCGGGAGAAUUCUUCAUCCCCUAAAGUAAUUCUUUAAGCAUGGACUUGACUUUGGUCGUCAUGGACGUCUUGAGUGAGGCCAUAGCCUCAUUCAAGUCAUCCCAUGUGAUCGAACUCAACUCCACGUCCUCGAGCACUUCGUGCCCAACCUCACCAUCGUCAACCAUACUCUUCGAGUGGUCAAACCCUUAAUGAAGAGAUGUGACUUUGAUACCAAUUGAAAGGAUCGAUAUGCUUGACUAGAGGGGGGUGAAUAGGCAACUACCAAUUUUUAGCUCUUCUUAACAAAUUAGGGUUAGCAACAAAAGGUUCUCUAGAUGAACAACUAGGUGAGCAACCUAUAUGAUGCUAACAACAACGACAACAAGUGCAAGCAAGGAAUACACCACAACAAUAAUAAGUACAAAGUAAAGGUAAGAGAUAACCACAAGUGGAUUCGGUGGAGACGAGGAUGUGUUACUGAAGUUCCUUCCCUUUGACAUGAAGUACAUCUCUGUUGGAGCGGUGUGGAGGCACAAUGCUCCCCAAGAAGCCACUAGGGCCACCGUAUUCUCCUCACACCCUCACACAAUGCGAGAUGUCGUGAUUCCACUAUUGGUGUCCUUGAAGGCGGCGAUCGGACCUUUACAAACAAGGUUGGGGCAAUCUCCACACAAAGUUUGGAGGCUCUCAACAAGACCACGAAGCUUUGACACGUCUCCAUCGUAUCUACUUUUCCAAACUCUUUUGCCCUUGUUUUGGACUCUAAUUUGCAUGAUUUGAAUGGAACUAACCUCGACUGACGCUGUUUUCAGCAGAANNNNNNNNNNNNNNNNNNNNNNNNNNNNNNNNNNNNNNNNNNNNNNNNNNNNNNNNNNNNNNNNNNNNNNNNNNNNNNNNNNNNNNNNNNNNNNNNNNNNNNNNNNNNNNNNNNNNNNNNNNNNNNNNNNNNNNNNNNNNNNNNNNNNNNNNNNNNNNNNNNNNNNNNNNNNNUUUCAGCAGAAUUGCCUUGGUGUUAUUUUUGUGCAGAAAUCAAAGUUCUCCAAACGUCCUGAAAAUUUACGAGGAGCAAUUUUGGAAAAUAUGAAAAAUAUCUGCACCAAGUUCCACCUGAGGGGGUGGGCCAGUGGGCCACAAGCCCUGGCUCCGCCACCACCCCCUGGUGGCGGUGGGCAGGCUUGUGGGGCCCACACGGCUGUGCCGCCCCCAACCUUAGGUCUAUAAGUUCACUUUCGUCCCAGAAAAAAUAAAAAUAGAAGUUUUCGUCGCGUUUGCGAUACGGAGCCGCCGCCACCACGUGUUCUUCAUCUGGAGGGCAGAUUUGGAGUCCGUCUUGGGCUUCGGAGAGGGGAAAUCAUCGCCAUCGUCAUCAUCAACCUUCUCCCCUCUCCAAUUCCAUGAAGCUCUUCGUUGUUCGUGAGUAAUCUAUUCGUAGGCUCGCUGAGCGGUGAUGAGUAGGAUGAGAUCUAUCAUGUAAUCGAGUUAGUUUUGAUGGGGAUUGAUCCAUAGCAUCCACUAUCUUCUGAGAUUGAUGUUUCUACUACUUUGCCAUGCUUAAUGCUUGUCACUAGGGCCCGAGUGCCAUGAUUUCAGAUCUGAAAUUAUUAUGUUGUCACCAAUAUAUGUGUGUUUUAGAUCCGAUCUUGCAAGUUGUAGUUACCUACUAUGUGUUAUGAUCCGGCAACCCUGGAGUGACAAUAACCAGAACCACUCCCGAUGAUGACCAUAGUUUGAGGAGUUCAUGUGUUCACCAUGUGCUAAUGCGUUGGUCCGGUUCUUUAUUAAAAGGAGAACCUCAAUAUCCCGUAGUUUCCUUUUGGACCCCGCUGCCACGGGACGGAUGGACAAUAGAUGUCAUGCAAGUUUUUUUCCCUAAGCACGUAUGACGACACACGGAAUGCAUGCAUACAUCACAUUGACGAACGAGAGCUAGCGACAUAUCUCUCCGUGUUAUAACUAUUGCAUGAUGAAUAUCAUCCAAACAAAUCACCGACCCAUUGCCUACGAGUUUGUCCUACUGCUGCUGUUACUUGUCUUGCUCUGCUGCUGUUACUACUGCUGCUACUGCUGUUACUUGUCUUGCUCUGCUGCUACCGUUGCUACUACUGUCGCUUGCUACUGCUGUCACUACUGCUUUUCCUUGCCGCUACUAUUACUCGUUACACUGCUGUUACCUGCUACAAUUUUGGUUCGCUGGUCGUUGACGGGAACUGACAACUUCCGUCAACGAGGCAACUUGGCGCCAUUGAUACAAUCGUUAGGAAUAGUCUACCGUCAACAGAUCGUUUCUGACAUCGUUGUUAUCAUACUACUUUGCUACUGAUACUUUGCUUGCAGAUACUAAUCUUUCAGGUGUGGUUGAAUCUGACAUAUUCAGCUGCUAAUACUUGAGAGUAUCCUCUCACCUCCUAUAGGCGUAUGAACAAAUUUGGGUUGAAUAAUCUACCCUCGAAAACUGCUACGAUCCCACGCGCUUGUGGGCCGUCAACAACAUUCUUCUAGUUUCGAUUGCCGGAGAGUGCUAGCAGAAUUCUUCUGGUGCCGUUGCAAGGGGAAGAAUAGUUGACAUCAAGACCACAAUGGAAUGUGGAUCCGAGGUGACCUCAACCAUCUAGGGUGCUCAAAUACCCAAGAGUAAUAAGAUCCGCAAGGGAUUAGUGGGGGCAAUCAAAUAUCUCUUGGUGGAAGUGUAGAUCAUGGCCUUCUCAACCAAUCCCUAGGAAAUCAACAAGUUUGAUUGGUUAGGGAGAGAGAUCGGGCGAAAAUGAGCUUUGGAGCAACAAUGGAGCUUGGGGAGGUGAGAGGUACCUUCUUGAGGAAGAAGAUCCUGUUAUAUAGUGGGGGAAAGAAUCCAACCGUUAACCCCACUCACAGCCCGAGCAGAGCGGGACUACCGCUGCUAGGAGCAGUACUACUGCUGCCAGGAGCGGUACUACUGCACGGUAGGUUCACCAACCACGGUAGUAAACAAUUACCACCGUGCCUACCACCGUAGAGGCUGAGGUGGUGAAAAAAGUCUGAGGGAGCGGUAGUAAAAAAUUACUAGCGCCCAGAGAGCGGUACUACCGCUGUUCCUUUUGCACAGACAGGGAGAAACACGCUGGAGAUCCAUGGAAGCAAGGGAAAGGUGGUGCAAUAGAGAUGUGUACGUGUUGAUUCCACCCUAACCUUUCCUAAGCGGACCCCCUCUUAAUAGUAAGGCUUUCCUAUGACUCAAAUCCACCAAAGAGAAAUGUAGAAAGCAACCAUCUUUGAAAGACUCCGAGGGGCACUAAAUCAUCUUGUGCCUAGUCAUGAAUUAUCUGAAAUGCUCAAUGCACACGAUUAGUCCGCACACGCAUUGUCAUCAAUCACCAAACCCACUUAGGGAGAAAUAUGCCCUAACAAAGGUCUUGUUGCAGAAAAAAAAGAAACACCACAAACAACUCCAUCAGUAGAUCACCUCACUCGUGAGGCAAAUGUCAUCACAAAAAAAGGAAGUUUCUGCAACGCGACCGUUGUUUCUGCGACGCAACCGUUGUUUCUGCAAUGCGACCAUUGUUUCUGCAACGCGAUGUAGGAUCCGAAGUAUGUCUAGAGGGGGUGAUUAGAUGAGUUGACCAAAUAAAAACCUAGCCUUUUGACAAUUUUAGUUGUGGGCAAAUUUUAGCAAUUGUACUAAGUCAAGCACACCUACACAUGCAAUUCUAAGAGUAUAGCAGCGGAAAGUAAAAACAUGCACAUGUAAAUAGAGGGUAGGGAUAGGAAGAUCAAACACAAAGAUUGGUACAUAGAUUUUUGGCGUGGUUCUGAUAGAUGGCACUAUCGUACGCCCACGUUGAUGGAUACUUCAACCAACGAAGGGUAACAUCCGCGCGAGUCCAUGGAUGGCUCAACCCAUAAAGGGUUCACGAAGAAGCAACCUUGUCUAUUCCACCAUGACUUACGUCCAUGAAGGACUAGCCAUACUCGGGAUAGAUCUUCACAAAGUAGGUGAUCUCCUUACCCUUACAAACUUCUUGGUUCAACUCCAAAACACAAAGUUGGAGGCUCCCAAGCGACACCUAACCAAUCUAGGAGACACCACUCUCAAAAAGGUAAUAGAUGUGGUAGUAUGAUGAACUCCUUGCUUUUGUGCUUCCAAAGAUAGUCUCCUCGACACUCAAUCACUCUCUCACAUAUUUGGCUUGGGUAGAAGAGAUUGAUUGGGUGGAAACUUGGAAAGACAAGAAAUCAAUAUUCAUAUGGUAGGAAUGGAAUAUCUUGAUCUCAACACAUGAAUAGGUGGCUCUCUCUUAGAAAAAUGGAUGGGGCAAGUGUUGGUUCAUUCUGAGUGCUUCCUGUGCGAAUGAGAGGAGGUCGAGGGGUAUAUAUAUGCAUGUCUAAAAAUUCAACCGUUACAACAUUAUUACCCAACUCAGUGAAACCGGAGUAAAACUCGGUUGCACUGACUAGUGCAAAAUGUGGCAACUUUUGGAGUUUCGGUGAGACCGAUAUAAGAAUCUCGGUGGGUGUGAUUUUGGCUCGCCUAGGCAGUUUCCAGACUCGGUGGCACCGAUUCCCAAAUCUCGGAAAUUCCAAUUCUUAGAAAUAGGUAGACAGAGAGUUGGUCGCUAAUUCUCGGUCAGACGGAAACCGAACUUGGUGUCACCGAGAUGCUAGGGUUUGGCAUAUGAUCUGUUUGAGGCAAAACUUUAUAGGGCCGAAUGGAAAUUGUUGGUGGCACCAAAUUUUGGAUUUUUAGGAUUCUCGACCUAAUUUUUGUGGGAGAAGUUCAUGAGUAUUUUUGGUGGCUAAUCUCUAAGCACUUGAGCAACCAGAUUGUCAUAGUCACCUCAUCCCCUUUUAAUAGUAUUGGCUUUUCUAUGGACUCAAGUGUGAUUUCUCACAAAAUAUAAAAUGUAGAGUCUUCAAGCUUGUUGCCAAUAGAUGUUCCUUGCAUCUAGGGUUUCUCGUCACAAUCUUUAGCCAAUGCAUCAUUGAACUUUUCGUGAAAUUUACUAGAUAAAACCAUUAGUCCAGUGACAUAUAUGUUGUUAUUAAUUACUAAAACCACCUUAGGGAGAAGUUAUGCUUUCAAUCUCCCCCUUUUUGGUAAUUGAUGACAACAUAUAGGUCAAAGCUUCAACAAAAGAUAUAAUCAGUGAAUAGCAUUGUCGCUUUGAGAAGUAUGUGAUAAGAAAGAGCUCCCCUUAAAUUUAUGCAUUAUUUUAAGUUUGCGUUUGAAUGCAAAUGCACAAUUGAUUAGGAUCAUGGGUCACUUUUCCAUGUCACAUACAUCUUGGUGAUGCACAUAGAUGAUGUGAAUGAAUUAUAAUGCACAUAACACCAAACAAUGGUUGACUGAUCAUCAAAUAGAUAUCAUAAGGACAAACAUAGUAGCACCAAGCAUCAAUAAUAAAAGCGUAUGAUCAAACACAACAAAGUUUAAGACAUCCAAAAGAUGAACCAAAUGUUUUAGAAACCAAAGAGAGCAACACAAAUAACACACACACACAGACUCUCUCUCUCUCUCUCGAAGCCCUAUUAUUCUAUACACUUCUCCCCACUUGGUAACACUUACCAAAAGGUUCAAAGAUAUAGAGCUAAGCGCCGCUCUAGGCUCGGUCUCCUGUGGUAGUUGUUGAAGGAGUCGAUAGAAGAUCGUUGGUGAAGGCUUCAACAGAUGUCCUCUAAGGUGGUGGAGUAUACACUGAAGGUGUAGGAGAUGAUGGAGCUAAUGUUGGGGCUAAUGAAGAAGGUCUUGAUUCUAGAACUGCCAUAGUUGCAGAUCUAGCACGAGUCUUGAACUGAGUGUAAGUUGGAAGAGAAGGACCAUCAUCAUCAUCACUGCUAGAGUUGGGAGCGGGCGCUGCAUUGACCUCCUGCUUAAACUGGUUGAUUGUUGUAGCCAACUCAGUCACCUUAAUGUCGAGGUCAUGGAACUUGGUUUCCACGAUCCCCUCAAGACUCUUCUGAUUUAGCAAAAUAUCUUUGAUGUUCCUCUCCAUUCCUUGGAUGGUGCUGAUAAGAUAUGCCAUUUGAUCUCCUUUGGAUCUCAUCACUGGAGCACUAGUGGCUCUGGGUUUCUCUGACUAGGCCCCACCCUCUACCUCAGCAUGUGCAGUUGCUGAAGUGGAAUGACUUGGAUCCAUCACCACCUCUGGCAGGUGUUGACGAUCAAGCAGGUACACACUCUUCCCAAUCUUGGAUUUGAUUAACAUUUGAAUGUAGGGUGCGUAUCCACAAGAUCUCUUCUGGGAGCAGUAGUCCUUUUGAUUAUCUCUACAAUGAGGUCCAUCACCCUGAUCCUGGUGUGGGUGUCUACAUGGUGCAGCAUGUUGAUGGAAUACCCCCUAAUUAUCUUGUCAUCACCUGAUUUGAGCAUCAAGGUGUACCUCAUAAUUGUGUUGGUGGUGGAUAGUCUUGCUUGCACAAUGUAUACUAAGCCUAGCUUAUGGGUCUUUAGAUAUUCCUUAGGCACUAGGUUAUACAUGUUGGCCAUGGAGUUGUGGUUCAUUUUAUCCUAAGUAUAAACAUCCAGAUCUCUCUCUUGCACCUCGGGCCUCCUAAGAUGGUAGCCCACUCUUCAAUAGUGGAUUGGUACCUGGAUCCUUCUAUCAUCCAUACAAUUCUACCAUCUGGAUAGAAGUGAGCUGUGAAGUAGAAUUGCAUGAUCAUCUCAUCAUUCCAUGCUGUCAUCUUUCUGCCAACAAGGUCUUCAAUGUCUAUGGCCCUGAAAUUUUCUUGCACAUGAGGGAAGUACUCUUCAUUCUCCUUGAUGCAGUCCCAAUCUACAUACCUCAUGUCACUAACAGCUGGACUCUUGUCCAAUAGGAUAGACUCGUAAAAGUUUUGAUGUUCCUUAGUAUGGAAGUGAGCAUCAACUCCAGUCCUCCUCUUGAUAGCAUAUGGACCAGCUGCUCCCCACUUCCUGAUCCCUUGAUACUUCCUUUCCUUCAUGCUCUCUGCAAUGGGGUGUUCAGGCAGGUGAGGUCUCAGCUUCCUCAAUACAACAAGUUUCUCUUCCUCUGUAGCAGAGUCCCUUGAUGCAUAACUCUUGUUCUUCUCACCUGCAGGUAUGUCUCUUGUAGUCAUCUUUAGCUUAAAAGCUACAUGCUUCAUAGCCUUGGGAGCAAAUGCAUUGGCUUUUGUUGCAAGCUACAUGAUUCUAAGAAGGUGGAUUAGUUGGUUCCUCUUCCUCUUCUUCCUCAACAUAAGUUGGAUCUUCAUACAUAGAGGUUGGCCUUCCAACAACAUGAAAAAUUCUCUUCCUAACUCUCUUCUUUACAGGCUUCUCAGCUUUCUUGGAGGUGGUAGGAGUUGUAGGAUCCGAUGUAUGUCUAGAGGGGAGUGAUUAGACUACUUGACCAAAUAAAAACUUCCUUUUUCCAAAUUUAAGUUGUGGGAAAGUUUUAGUAGUUGUUGCAUGUAAAGCACACCCUACACAUGCAUGUCUAAGAGUAUAGCAGAGGAAAGUAAUGACAUGUACAUAUAAGUAGAGGGUAGGGAUAGGAAGAUCAAACGGAAGGGUUGACAUGAGCUUUUUGGUGUGGUUCCGAUAGGUGGUGCUAUCGUACGUCUAUGUUGAUGGAGACUUCAACCCACAGAGGGUAACGGUCGUGCGAGUCCACAGAAGGCUCAACCCACAGAGUGUUCGCGGAGAAGAAACCUUGUCUAUUCCAUCAUGGAUUACGUCCACGAAGGACUAGCCUCACUCGGGGUAGAUCUUCACGAAGUAGGCGAUCUCCUUGCCCUUACAAACUUCUUGGUUCAACUCCACAACACUAAGUAGGAGACUCCCAAGCGACAACUAACCAAUCUAGGAGGCACCACCCUCCAAAAGGUAAUAGAUGUGGUAGAACGACGAACUCCUUGUUCUUGUGCUUCAAAAGAUAGUCUCGUGAACACUCAAUCACUCUCUCAUAGAUUUGGCAUUGGUAAAAGAGAUUGAUUGGCUCGAAAGCAACUUGGGAAGCUAGAUAUCAAGUUUCAAAUGGAUGGAUUGGAAUACCUUGAUCUCAAGCAUGAGUAGGUGUCUCUCUCUCAGAAAAAUGGAUAUGGCAUGUGUAUGUGUGUUCUGAGUGCUUCCUCUACGAAUGAGAGAUAGUGGAUGGGUAUAUAUAGGCAUCUCCCAAAAUCUAACUAUUACAACAUUAUUGCCCAACUCGGUGAAACCAAAGUGAAUCUCGGUGGCACCGAUUUGCACAAUAUGUGGCAUCUUUUGAAUUCUCGGUGAGACAGGUCUAGUAAUCUCGGUGGUACCGAUAUGGUGACCUAGGGCAGUUUCCAAAUCUCGGUGAGACCGAUUCCAAGACUCAAAAAUUCUGAUUCUUGAAAACUACAUACCAAAAACAUGGUCACUCGUUUUCGGUGGCAGCGAAUGGAAUGUUGGUGGUACCGAGAUUCCAGGGUUUGGCAAAGGUUCUGUCUGUAGAAAAUCGGUAGGGCCGAAUGGAAAAACACGGUGACACUGAUUUUGAUGUUUAGGCUUUGGACAAAGAACUUUUUUGGGAUAAUGGCUGAGUAUUUUUUGGUGGCUAUAUUUAACCACUUGAGUAACCAAUUCAUCAUAGAUACCUCACCCCCUUUUAAUAGUAUAGGCUUUCCUAUGGACUCAAAUGUGAUUUCUCAAAAAUAUAAAAUGCAGAGUCUUGUAGCUUGAAGCUUGGCCAAUCUUAUUCAUUUCCCUGUAUCUAGGGGUUCUCCUCACAAUCCUUUAGCCAAUGGAUCUUUGAACUUUUCUGAAAUAUACUUGGAUAAGACCAUUAGUUCUAUGACACAUAUGUUGUGAUUAAUUACCAAAACCACCUUAGGGAGAAGUUGUGCUUUCAGUCUCCCCCUUUUUGGUAAUUGAUGACAACAUAUAGAUCAAGGCUUCGACGAAAGAUAUAAUCAAUGAUCAGCAUGGUCGCUUUGAGAAGUAUGUGAAAAGCAAGAGCAGCCCGCUAAAUUUGUGCACUAUUUGAUAUUUGCGCUUGAAUGCAAAUGCACAAUCGGUUUGGAUCAUGGGUCACUCUUCCAUGUCACAUACAUCUUGGCGGUGCACAUAAAUGAUAUGAAUUGAUAGUAAUGCACAUUACACCAAAUAAUGAGUGAAUGAUCAUCAUGUAGAUAGCUCAAAGGUAGGAGAUAGUAGCAUCAACAAUCAAAGUGUAUGAUCAAACACAACNNNNNNNNNNNNNNNNNNNNNNNNNNNNNNNNNNNNNNNNNNNNNNNNNNNNNNNNNNNNNNNNNNNNNNNNNNNNNNNNNNNNNNNNNNNNNNNNNNNNNNNNNNNNNNNNNNNNNNNNNNNNNNNNNNNNNNNNNNNNNNNNNNNNNNNNNNNNNNNNNNNNNNNNNNNNNNNNNNNNNNNNNNNNNNNNNNNNNNNNNNNNNNNNNNNNNNNNNNNNNNNNNNNNNNNNNNNNNNNNNNNNNNNNNNNNNNNNNNNNNNNNNNNNNNCCCUUUGGCAACAAGUUACCAUAAAGUUCAAAGGUCUAGAACUAAGCGUCACUCUGGGCUCUAUCUCCUCUGGUAGCAGUUCCUGGAGUCGAUAGUAGAGCGUCAGGGAAGGCUUCAGCGAAUGUCCACUAAGGUGGAGCUGUUGACACUAGAGGUGCAGGAGUUGGUGGAGCUGAAGGUGCUCAUGCUUGGGCUAAUGAAGAUGGUCUAGCUUCCAGAACUAACACAACUGCAAAUCUGGUCUGAGUCCUGAACUGAGUGGUAGUGGUAAGAGAUGUAUCAUCAUCAACUUCCCGUUUUAGCUAUUCAACAGUGGCAGUCAACUCCAUCACUUUGAUAUACAUGUCAUGCAAUCUUGUAUGCACUAUUCUCUCAAGACACUUUUGGUUCAGCAUUUUUUUUGAAAUAUUUUUCACCAUCGCUUGGAUGGUGCUGACAAGAUAAGACAUUUGCUCCUCUCUCGUCCUCAACUGUGGUGCUGGAGCUGCUCUGGCUGCCUUUGCCUCUUAUGUUGCCUCUGCGUGAACACGAGGUGAAGCUAAACUAGGAUGGUUGGGGUCCAUCACUACCUCAUUGUCAUCAAACUCUAUCUAUAGUGGCACGUGUGGACGAUCUAGUAGAUAUGCAUGCUUCCCAAUCUUAGCAUUGAUCAACAUUUGAAUGUAAGGAGCAUAUCCACAGGAUCUCUUUCGAUCACCAGUUGUCCUCUUGACAGUCUCAACUAUUAGAUCCAUCACUCUAAUCCCGGUGUGAGUGUAAAUGUGGUGCAUCAUGUUGAUGGAAUACCCUAUGAUCAUCUUAUCAUAUCCUAACUUAGGCAUCACGGUGUACCUCAUGAUGGUAUUUGUGGUAGGUAUCCCAGCUUGCAAAAAGUAGACACAACCAAGCUUGUGGGUCUUCAAGUACUAGUGGGGCAUUGGAUUGUACAUCUGAGCCACAGAGUUGUGAUUCAUUUUCUGCUCAGAAUAUAUGUCUGAUACGUCUCAAACGUAUCUAUAAUUUUUGAUGGUUUCAUGCUGUUAUCUUGUCAUCUUUGGAUGUUUUAUGUACCUUUUAUAUCUUUUUUGGGACUAACUUAUUAAUUCAGUGCCAAGUGCCAGUUCCUGUUUUUUCUGUGUUUUUGACUCUUUUCAUAUCUGAUUUUGGAACGGAGUCCAAACGGAAUAAAAACCCUGAAAUGAUUUUUUCCCGAACGGAAGAAGAUCAGGGGGCCUCUGGGCCAAGCCAGGUGGGCUCCAGGGAGCCCACAAUCUCCCACUCCGCCACCAGGGGGGAGGCGGCGGUGUCAGGGCUUGUGGCCUCCCUGGCCGCCCCCUGACCUAGAUCCUUGUCCUAUAUAUUCCCAAAAAUUCAGCAAAAAAUCAGGGGAGCCUCGAAAAUACUUUUCCGCCGCCGCAAGCUUCCAUUUCCGCGAGAUCUCAUCUGGAGACCCUUCCCCGCGCCCUGCCGGAGGGGACUUUGGAGUUGGAGGGCUUCUUCAUCAUCAUCAUUGGCCCUCCAAUGACUCGUGAGUAGUUCACUUCAGACCUACGGGUCCGUAGUUAGUAGCUAGAUGGCUUCUUCUCUCUCUUGGAUCUUCAAUACAAAGUUCUCCAUGAUCUUCAUGGAGAUCUAUCCGAUGUAAUCUUCUUUGGCGGUGUGUUUGUCGAGAUCCGAUGAAUUGUGGAUUUGUGAUCAAAUUAUCUAUGAUAUAUAUUUGAGUCUUUGCUGAUUUCUUAUAUGCAUGAUUUGAUAUCCUUGUAAGUCUCUCCGAGUCUUGGGUUUUGUUUGGCCAACUAGAUCUAUGAUUCUUGCAAUGGGAGAAGUGCUUGGUUUUGGGUUCUACCAUGUGGUGACCUUUCCCAGUGACAGUAGGGGCAGCAAGGCACACAUUAAGUAGUUGCCAUCAAGGGUAAAAAGAUGGGGUUUUCGUCAUUGGUUUGAGAUUAUCCCUCUACAUCAUGUCAUCUUGCUUAAGGCGUUACUCUGUUCUUAUGGACUUAAUACACUAGAUGCAUGCUGGAUAGCGGUUGACGUGUGGAGUAAUAGUAGUAGAUGCAGAAAGUAUCGGUCUACUUGUUUUGGACGUGAUGCCUAUAGAUAUAAUCAUUGCCAUAGAUAUUGUCACGACUUUGCGCGGUUCUAUCAAUUGCUUGAUAGUAAUUUGUUCACCCACCGUCUACUUGCUUUCAUGAGAGAAGCCACUAGUAAACACUACAGCCCCCGGGUCUAUUCACAUCCAUCGUUUACACCUCCGCUUUUACUUUGCUUUGUUACUUUGUUGCUUUCAGUUCUCACUUGGCAAACAAUCUAUAAGGGAUUGACAACCCCUUCAUAGCGUUGGGAGCAAGCUUUUUGUGUUUGUGCAGGCUCUUGUGAUACUCCUCUACUGGAUCGAUACCUUGGUUCUCAAACUGAGGGAAAUACUUACCACCGCUACGCUACAUCACCCUUUCCGCUUCGAGGGAACACCAACGCAAGGCUCCAAGGCCAUGGGGGAAAUCCUUUGCANNNNNNNNNNNNNNNNNNNNNNNNNNNNNNNNNNNNNNNNNNNNNNNNNNNNNNNNNNNNNNNNNNNNNNNNNNNNNNNNNNNNNNNNNNNNNNNNNNNNNNNNNNNNNNNNNNNNNNNNNNNNNNNNNNNNNNNNNNNNNNNNNNNNNNNNNNNNNNNNNNNNNNNNNNNNNNNNNNNGGGGAAAUCCUUUGCAUACUUGCCUAGGAAGUCCCUUAAGGCGUAGCCGCAACAGAAGGAUCAAGCCAAGUAUUCUCCUGUCAACGUGCCUAUUUCUGGCGCCAUUGGAAGGUCUUCUCUUGCAGUAGCAGAAGUAUUUCUGCGCCGUUUACGGGGAGGAGAAAUCAAGAUCUAUCCAAGUAGGUCUCACAAACUCAUCUCUUGCAUUUACUUUUGUUGCCAGUUGCCUCUCGUUUUCCUCUCCCCCACUUCACAUUUGCCGUUUCCAUUUGCCUUUCUCCUUUGCCGUUUUCUUUUGCCUUUGCCGUUUCCCUUUGCCGGUUUUCUCGCUUGCUUGUGUGCUUGUUUGUUUGUUGAAGUCAUCAUGGCUGAAAACACCAAACUUUGUGACUUCUCGAGCACUAAUAAUAAUGAUUUUAUUAGUACUCCAAUUGCUCCCGCCACUAGUGCGGAAUCGUAUGAAAUCAACGCAGCUUUGCUGAAUCUUGUUAUGAAAGAGCAAUUCUCUGGCCUUCCUAGUGAAGAUGCCGCAUCCCAUCUCAAUAUCUUCAUUGAGCUUUGUGACAUGCAGAAGAAAAGAGAUGUGGAUAAUGACAUGAUUAAGUUGAAACUUUUUCCUUUCUUGUUGCGAGAUCGCGCAAAAACUUGGUUUUCUUCUUUGCCUAAAAAUAGUAUCGGUUCUUGGGAUAAGUGCAAAGAUGCUUACAUAUCCAAGUAUUUUCCACCGGCUAAGAUCAUCUCCUUACGUAACGAUAUCAUGAAUUUCAAGCAACUUGAUCAUGAACACGUUGCACAAUCUUGGGAGAGGAUGAAGCUUAUGAUUAGAAAUUGUCCCGCUCAUGGCUUGAGUUUGUGGAUGAUUAUACAAAUCUUUUACGCUGUCUUGAAUUUCGUUUCUCGCAAUAUCUUGGACUCCGCCUCAGGUGGAACAUUCAUGGAAAUCACGUUAGGAGACGCUACAAAACUCCUAGACAAUAUCAUGACCAACUACUCUCAGUGGCACACUGAAAGGUCGCCUGCUAGCAAAAAGGUGCACACUAUAGAAGAGAUUAACUCGCUUAGUGCUAAGAUGGACGAGUUGAUGAAUUUGGUUGCUAGUAGAAACGCUACCGUAGAUCCUAAUGACAUGCCACUAUCUUCUUUGAUUGAGAGUAGCAACGCUAGUUUGGACGUGAAUUUUGUUGGUAGGAACAAUUUUGGCAAUAAUAAUGCUUUUAGAGGAAACUAUGUUCCUAGGCCUUUUCCUAGUAACUCCUCUAACAAUUAUGGCAAUUCCUACGGCAACACUUAUGGAAAUCACAACAAAUUACCCUCUGAUCUAGAGAGUAAUAUCAAAGAGUUCAUCAACUCUCAAAAGAUUUUCAAUGCGUCCAUAGAGGAAAAACUACUCUAAAUAGACGAUUUGGCUAAAAGCGUUGAUAGGAUGUCUUGUGAUAUUGAUGCUUUGAAAGUUAGAUGCGCUCCUCCCAAGGUCAACUUGGAUGAAACUUUGAAAGUUAUGCGUAUCUCCAUGAAUGAGAGCAAAGAAAGAACCACCCAAAUUCGCGCUAGACAUGAAUGGUUUAAAAGGGUGCGUUCUAGUGAUGCAAAUCACGAAGAUCUUAAAGUGCUUGGUGUGUCUCCUCUUGCGUCUUUGUUUUCGCGUGUCAAACCUACUUAUGGAGGGGCUGGAUAUGAAUCCACUUUGGUUGAAAAACGCCCCAAUGAUUCGGAGUCCACCUAACUUGAUGAUAAAGGUGUGGAGAGUGGAGUAGAAGAAGUCAAAAUUUUGGGUAGUAAUGAAACUCCCACUUUGGAUUUCAAGGAAUUCAAUUAUGAUAAUUUCUCCUUGUUUGAAUGCAUUUCUUUGAUGCAAUCCAUUGCAAACUCUCCACAUGCUUAUAGCCAAAGCAAAGCCUUUACCGCGCAUAUCGUAGAUGGUAUGAUGAAAUCUCUUGAAGAGAAGCUCGAACUAGAAGUCUCUAUACCUAGAAAACUUCAUGAUGAGUGGGAACCUACUAUCAAAAUCAAGAUCAAAAACUAUGAGUGCAAUACUUUGUGUGAUUUGGGUGCUAGUGUUUCCGCGAUUCCAAAGUCUUUAUGUGAUAUUCUUGGUUUUCAUGAGAUUGAAGAGUGUUCUCUUAAUUUGCAUCUUGAGGAUUCUACUGUCAAGAAACCCAUGGGGAGGAUCGAUGAUGUUCUUAUUGUUGCAAAUAAGAACUAUGUACCCGUGGAUUUCAUUGUACUUGACAUAGAUUGCAAUCCUUCAUGUCCCAUUAUUCUUGGUAGACCUUUCCUAAGGACUAUUGGUGCUAUCAUCGAUAUGAAGGAAGGGAAUAUUAGAUUUCAAUUUCCUUUAAAAAGGGCAUGGAGCACUUUCCUAGAAAGAAAAUAAGAUUGCCUUAUGAAUCUAUGAUGAGGGCUACCUAUGGUUUGAGCACCAAAGAUGACUAUACGUGAUUCCAUCACUUUUUGCCUAGCUAAGGGCAUUAAACAAAAGCGCUUGUUGGGAGGAAACCCAACAAAUCUAUCCUUUUUCUUUCUAUUUUGUGUUUUCCACACUUUCAUAAUUCUGUUAUGAUUGUGCUUUUUGUGUUUCUUUUUGCGUUUGUGCCAAGCAAAACUGUUAUGAUUAGUCUUGGGGAUGAUCGUUUGGUCAUGCGGGAAAAGACAGAAACUUUCUGUAAACGAAAAGAAUUUUCAUUUUUUUUCUGUAAGAGAUUUUGAGCUGAUUCAUUUUUCUGCUGAUUUCUACGCAAAUUCUUCAGACUACCAUAAUUUUUCAGAAUUUUUGAAGUACCAUAGGUAUAGGAAAUAUACAGAUUGCUACAGACUGGUCUGAUGUUAACAGAUUCUGUUUUUGUUGUGUUGGUUGCUUAUUUUUAUGAAACUAUGGAUAGUAUCGGGGGGUAUUAUGCAUGGAAUAUUGAAAGUACAGUAACCCAACAUCAGCACAAGUAGAAUUUAAGUUUGCUACAGUACCUAAGGAAGUGGUGGUUUGCUUUCUUGUACUAAUGUUAUCACGAGUUUCUGUUUAAGUUUCGUGUUGUGAAGUUUUCAAGUUUUGGUUGAAGUUCUUAUGGACAAAGAGAUAAAGAGUGGAAAGAGCUUAAGCUGGGAUGCCCAAGGCACCCCAUGAGAUUCAAGGAUGCCAUAAAAGCCUAAGCUUGGGGAUGCCCCGGGAAGGCAUCCCCUCUCUCGUCUUCAAUCCAUCGGUAACAUUACUUGGGGCUAUAUUUUUAUUCACCACAUGUUAUGUGUUUUUGCUUGGAGCAUCUUGUAUCGUAGGAGUCUUUUAUUUUUGUUGUGUCACAAUCAUCCUUUCUGCACACCUAGAUAGAGAGACAUGCACACAUCGUGAUUUUGUCGAGCUUCACUUAUAUCUUUUGGUAGACAAUUCAGCUCACAUGUGCUUCACUUAUAUCUUUUGAGCUAGAUACUUUUUCUCUAUGUGCUUCACUUAUAUCUUUUAGAGCGCAGAGGCACGUGGCUUGGUAGUUGAUCUAUGAUUUGAAAGUAGUCUCAAAAGGGGUAGUUAUCCAAAGGGAUACGAAAACUUCCACCUCCAUGUGCAUUGAAUAGUUAGAGAAAUUUGAUUCAUCUCAAUUAGUUUUGAGUUGUGGUUAUGGUAAUAUUGAAGUCAUGCUAGUAAGGUGUUGUGGAUCUAGAAAUACUUGUGUUGAAGUUAGUGAUUCCCGUAGCAUGCACGUAUGGUGAACCGCUAUGUGAUGAAAUCUGAGCAUGAUUAGUAUAUUGAUUGUCAUCCUUUGCGUGGCGGUCGGGAUCACGCGAUGGUUUAUACCUACCAACCCUUCCCCUAGGAGUAUGCGUUGAAUGCUUUGUUUCGAUUACUAAUAAAACUUUUGCAACAAGUAUAUGAGUUCUUCAUGACUAAUGUUGAGUCCAUGGUUUAGAUGCACUUUCACCUACCACCAUCACUAUCUUCUUAGUGCCGUGCAACUUUCGCCGGUGCACAAAACCCGCCAUUAGCCUCCCUCAAAACAGCCACCAUACCUACCUACUAUGGAUUUUUCAAAGUCAUUCCGAGAUAUACUGCCAUGCAACUACCACCAUGACAUGUGCCACCACGUCUACAUUGCCAUUGCAUGAUCGUAAGAUAGCUAGGAUGAUGUUUCCGUUGAUGUCUAUGCCAUGCUAGAUCAUUGCCACAGUACACUACCGAAGGCAUUCCAUAUAGAGUCAUAGUUGCUCUAAGUUUUGAGUUGAAAGUGUGAUGAUCAUCAUUAAUGGAGCAUUGUCCCAUAUGAGGAAAUAAAAGAGGCCAAAGAAGCCCACAAAAAAAAGAGAGGCCAAAGAGCCCACCAAAAAAAUGAGAGAAAAAGAGAGAAGGGACAAUGCUACCACUUUUUCCACACUUGUGCAUAUUAAGCACCAUGAUCUUCAUGAUUGAGAGUCUCUCGUUUUGUCACCACCAUAUAGCUAGUGGGAAAUUUUCAUUAUAUAACUUGGCUUGUAUAUUCCAAUGAUAGGCUUCCUCAAAAUUGCCUUAGGUCUUCGUGAGCAAGCAAGUUGGAUGCACACCCACUAGUUUUCUUUAAGAGCUUUCACAUACUCGUAGCUCUAGUGCAUCAUUUGUAUGGCAAUCCCUACUCAUUCACAUUGAUAUCUAUUGAUGAGCAUCUCCAUAGCUCAUUGAUAUGCCUAGUUAAUGUGACUAUCUUCUCCUUUUUUCUCUUGCAACCUCCACCACAUCCCACACCAUAUAUAGUGCUAUAACCAUGGCUCACGCUCAUGUAUUGCGUGAGAGUUGAAAAGGUUUGAGAAAGUAAAGGUGUGAAACAAUUACUUGGCCAAUACCGGGGUUGUGCAUGAUUUAAAUUCGUUGUGCAAUGAUGAUUUUCUUUUGUCCUUGUUAUUUUGAAAGUUCAUGAUUACCUUGCUAGUUUGCUUGAAUUAUUAUUGUUUCCACGUCAAUAGCAAACUAUUGUUUUGAAUGUAAUGGAUCUGAACAUUCACGUCACAUAAGAGGAAUUACAAAGGACACCUAUGCUAGGUAGCAUGAAAGCAUCAAAAAUCCAUUCUUUAUCACUUCCCUACUCGAGGACGAGCAGGAGUUAAGCUUGGGGAUGCUUGAUACGUCUCAAACGUAUCUAUAAUUUUUGAUGGUUUCAUGCUCUUAUCUUGUCAUCUUUGGAUGUUUUAUGUACCUUUUAUAUAUUUUUUGAGACUAACUUAUUAAUUCAGUGCCAAGUGCCAGUUCCUGUUUUUCUGUGUUUUUGACUCUUUUCAGAUCUGAUUUUGGAACGGAGUCCAAACGGAAUAAAAACCCCUAAAUGAUUUUUUCCCGAAGGGAAGAAGAUCAGGGGGCCUCUGGGCCAAGCCAGGUGGGCUCCAGGGAGCCCACAAGCUCCCACUCCUCCACCAGGUGGGAGGCGGCGGUGUCAGGGCUUGUGGCCUCCCUGGCCGCCCCCUGACCUAGAUCCUUGGCCUAUAUAUUCCCAAAAAUUCAGAAAAAAAUCAGGGAGCCUCGAAAAUACUUUUCCGCCGCCGCAAGCUUCCGUUUCCACGAGAUCUCAUCUGGAGACCCUUCCCGGCGCCCUGCCGGAGGGGACUUUGGAGUUGGAGGGCUUCUUCAUCAUCAUCAUCGCCCCUCCAAUGACUCGUGAGUAGUUCACUUCAGACCUACGGGUCCGUAGUUAGUAGCUAGAUGGCUUCUUCUCUCUCUUGGAUCUUCAAUACAAAGUUCUCCAUGAUCUUCAUGGAGAUCUAUCCGAUGUAAUCUUCUUUGGCGGUGUGUUUGUCGAGAUCCGAUGAAUUGUGGAUUUGUGAUCAAAUUAUCUAUGAUAUAUAUUUGAGUCUUUGCUGAUUUCUUAUAUGCAUGAUUUGAUAUCCUUGUAAGUCUCUCCGAGUCUUGGGUUUUGUUUGGCCAACUAGAUCUAUGAUUCUUGCAAUGGGAGAAGUGCUUGGUUUUGGGUUCUACCAUGUGGUGACCUUUCCCGGUGACAGUAGGGGCAGCAAGGCACACAUUAAGUAGUUGCCAUCAAGGGUAAAAAGAUGGGGUUUUCAUCAUUGGUUUGAGAUUUUCCCUCUACAUCAUGUCAUGUUGCUUAAGGCGUUACUCUGUUCUUAUGGACUUAAUACACUAGAUGCAUGCUGGAUAGCGGUCGACGUGUGGAGUAAUAGUAGUAGAUGCAGAAAGUAUCGGUCUACUUGCUUUGGAUGUGAUGCCUAUAGAUAUAAUCAUUGCCAUAGAUAUCGUCACGACUUUGCACGGUUCUAUCAAUUGCUCGACAGUAAUUUGUUCACCCACCGUCUACUUGCUUUCAUGAGAGAAGCCACUAGUAAACACUACGGCCCCCGGGUCUAUUCACAUCCAUCGUUUACACCUCCGCUUUUACUUUGCUUUGUUACUUUGUUGCUUUCAGUUCUCACUUGGCAAACAAUCUAUAAGGGAUUGACAACCCCUUCAUAGCGUUGGGAGCAAGCUUUUUGUGUUUGUGCAGGCUCUUGUGAUACUCCUCCACUAGAUCGAUACCUUGGUUCUCGAACUGAGGGAAAUACUUACCACCGCUACGCUACAUCACCCUUUCUGCUUUGAGGGAACACCAACGCAAGGCUCCAAGGCCACGGGGGAAAUCCUUUGCACACUUGCCUAGGAAGUCCCUUAAGGCGUAGCUGCAGCAGAAGGAUCAAGCCAAGUAUUCUCCCGUCAACGUGCCUAUUUCUGGCGCCAUUGGAAGGUCUUUUGUUGCAGUAGCAAUGUCCAAGUCACUCACAAGUGCCUUAGGAGCACUUAUGAUAGUUGCCCACUCCUCAACAGUUGACUCGUAUGUGUGACCUUCACUCAUACACACAAUUCCACCAUCUGGAUAGAAAUGUGCAGUGGAGUAGAACCGCAUGAUCAUCUCGUCGUUCCAAGCAGUCAUCUCUUUCCCAACAAAAUCCUCUAUGUCAAUAGCCGUGGAAUUUUCUCUUACAUGAGGAAAGAAGUCCUCAUGCUUCUUGAUGCAGUCCCAGUCUACAUACCUCAUAUUGCUCACAGCUGGACUCUUGUCCAAAAGCACAGUCUCAUAGAAGUCUUGUUGUUCCUUGGUGUGAAAGCGACCAUCAACAAUUGUUCUCCUCCUAAUAUCAUAAGGAUCUGCUUCUCACCACAGUCUUGGUCCUUGAUCUCUUCUCUUCUUCAUGUCAUCAGCGACAUGAUGAGCAUCAUUAUGCUAUAGGAGUUGAGCUCUCAUAGCAUGUGAGCUGACAUACUGUUUUCUCAUAGUUUUCUUGACCGUGACCCUCUCCUUCUACUCGUGGGAGAUGCUUUCUUCAGGAAUAAAGUCAUCAUCCUCCUCAUCAGAAUUAAGCUUCUUCCUGGACCUGGUAUAAGCCUUUGGCAUAUCAUGAGAACUUGGUGUUCCUCGGUCUGAAGAAGUCUUCUCAUGACUAGUGUGUGAGUCUACAUCCAUGCUUUGCUCCCUAAAGUCAUUCUGGCUAUCCUCAGAACCUGAAAUGUUGAUAAGCUGACAAGCAAACAAGUUGAUCCUGUGAAUAGUUAUAGAAUACUAGGAAUGGAUGAGCAUUACAAAACCCAAACAUUUUCAAAAAAUGAACUUAAAAUUUUAGUUGUACGUAUCACUUUUUAUGUGUUUCGAUUCCACCGAGAUGAAAAACAAGGAGCUUCCGAGACUGGCCAUCUGCUUUACAGAGACUUGACCACACUUUUCGGUAGCACCGAAAAGUGAGACUUGGUAUCACCGAGAUUGUUCUCAGAAACCCUAGANNNNNNNNNNNNNNNNNNNNNNNNNNNNNNNNNNNNNNNNNNNNNNNNNNNNNNNNNNNNNNNNNNNNNNNNNNNNNNNNNNNNNNNNNNNNNNNNNNNNNNNNNNNNNNNNNNNNNNNNNNNNNNNNNNNNNNNNNNNNNNNNNNNNNNNNNNNNNNNNNNNNNNNNNNNNNNNNNNNNNUCUCAGAAACCCUAGAACAGGAAUUAGUGACACUGAUCCAGUUAAUUUGGUGACUCCGAAACACAGAAAAUGGAGACCUAACCCUAAAAUUUAUCGUCCGUCUAUGCUACGGGAUAUGAUUUGUGGACGAUUCAAUCUCAUAUUGUGGAAAGAUUUGGAAUAAUCCUAAUGCGCAUGAACAUGAUAGGGGGGGGGGGGNNNNNNNNNNNNNNNNNNNNNNNNNNNNNNNNNNNNNNNNNNNNNNNNNNNNNNNNNNNNNNNNNNNNNNNNNNNNNNNNNNNNNNNNNNNNNNNNNNNNNNNNNNNNNNNNNNNNNNNNNNNNNNNNNNNNNNNNNNNNNNNNNNNNNNNNNNNNNNNNNNNGGGGGGGGGGGGGAAGGGGCGAGAUCUUUACCCUAAUCUUGGUGAAGAUCUCCUACGGCGGUGACGACAUGAGAGAAUGCAGUCGUCGGCGAGGACUCCAGCGGUGAGGGCGUACGGGAGAUGAACGACGAUGUCCUGGAGACACGAGCACGACAACUUGGGCUUGCAGGAGACGGUGUUUGAGAGUGAAUUUCAAAAGGUGGGUCUGCUGGAUAUAUAUAUCCCCUAGUUUUCGGUGACACCGGUUCGAAAAUGUUGGUGCCACCGAGUUUCGUAAAUGUCAGGUGACAGUGAAACUAGGUAAGGCCGAGAUUUGCAAAUCGUUGGUACCGAGAUUCUCAAAACAUAUCGACCCUAGUGCUUCCAUGGGACCGAGAUUUUGUGGUUGGUCACACCGAGUGGCACUUGGGAGGUUUUGGAAGUUAGCUCUUGUCAAGACGGAUCUCCGAGGGCUCCUCACACAGUGUCCCUAAAGNNNNNNNNNNNNNNNNNNNNNNNNNNNNNNNNNNNNNNNNNNNNNNNNNNNNNNNNNNNNNNNNNNNNNNNNNNNNNNNNNNNNNNNNNNNNNNNNNNNNNNNNNNNNNNNNNNNNNNNNNNNNNNNNNNNNNNNNNNNNNNNNNNNNNNNNNNNNNNNNNNNNNNNNNNNNNNGCUUUCUCAAAUUUUGUGAUAUAGCAUGAAUAUAAUUUGGUAUGAUAAAGCAUAUAUAGCUAGAGAGGGGGUACUUAGGCAUUCUUGUAUAUCCAAUUGGCCAAAUAAAGAUGGAAAAGCCAAAUAACAACAAUUGGAUAUCCUCGAAUGAGCAAAGAUAUGCAUAUCAACAUGCUCACACAAUAAGAUGUCAAAUAAAACAUGGCAAACAUGCAUAACCACUCAGUAUCUACGAAGCACUUUGGCGAUGACAAUUGUUAGAGCAUAUUNNNNNNNNNNNNNNNNNNNNNNNNNNNNNNNNNNNNNNNNNNNNNNNNNNNNNNNNNNNNNNNNNNNNNNNNNNNNNNNNNNNNNNNNNNNNNNNNNNNNNNNNNNNNNNNNNNNNNNNNNNNNNNNNNNNNNNNNNNNNNNNNNNNNNNNNNNNNNNNNNNNNNNNNNNNNNNNNNNNNNNNNNNNNNNNNNNNNNNNNNNNNNNNNNNNNNNNNNNNNNAUGGACUAAUGGUUGCUGAUACAUCCAAAAUGCAUCACUAUUUUGUAUCAUAAUUUGUCUCUAUUCAUUGAUAUAUUUCACUUUAUGAUGGUGUACUUAUAGUGUUUUGGCUUAUUUUACACAGUUUACAACUUUCCGGUGCCGAAACAGCAGACGCAGGAUUCAGCAGAGAAAAUAGCACGAAGAGUUGCAAUAUCAGAAACAUCUCCAAUUGCGCUAAAAUUUUGAGGGAAGAAGUUUUCGAACGGAUCCCGAAGACAGGCGAAAGAAGGGCCGGAGGGGGGACACAGGUCACCCAGGCGACCUGCUGGCGCAGCCCCCCUAGGCCGCGCCAGGAGGCCGCCUGGGUGAUGGGCCCCACCUCCGGUGCUCUCCUUUGGCCUAUAUGUUCCUCUUGACCUAAAAGUUUUGGGGACAUAAGAGUUUUCGCGAUUCCGCCGCCGCUCCGUGAUGGAAACCUACAGAGAAGAAAAGACCUUUCCGGCGGGAAGAUUCCACCGGGGAGAACUCCUCCCGGAAGGGGAGAUCGUCCUCAUCGUCAUCACCAUCGUCAUGGGCAUCAUCGAGAUCAUCAUCACCAUCAUCACCAACACCAGCAUCACCAGCAUCAUCACCAUCAUCACCAUCAUCACCAACACCAGCAUCACCACCAUCAUCACCAACACCAGCAUCACGGGCAUCAUCGAGAUUAUCAACACCAUCAUCACCAUCGUCACGGGCAACAUGUGGAUUGCCAUAAGGUAAUGAUAGGGUGAGUAGUGGAGAUCAAUGCAAUGAUGAUAGUGGGCUUAUUAUUGAUGAUCCUUCAUCACUAUAUUAUUGCAAUGCUUCAUCUUUGGGCGUUAACACUUUGAGCACUCUAAAUGUUUUACAUGAUUAUGGUGAUAAUCCAUGCAUAUCAUGUAAAAUAUGCUUGACUAAAUCUCACGAUGAUAUGCUUUCUAUAUCUUGUUGCCAUGAUAAAAAUGUAUCUAUUUCCUCGAGUUGUUGUGCUAACAAUGUAGAGGAAAUCCAUCACUCCAUGGAACAAGAUGUGGCCUUAAAGGAUGCUUCAUGGGAUCCACAUCAUCAUCUAUUGUUUCUCACUUUUGCCUUAUGGCUAAGGCUUCAAAGGUAUCUCCCACUUUGAAUCCCAAUAUAUCUCAUGAUGAUGAUGUUGAUGAUAAUGAGGAUGAGGAUAAAGAUGACGAGAGUGAUGAUAUUGCAUCCUUAAAAAUUAAGGGUGAAAUGAUUUUUAAAUCUCUUUAUAAGAAUAAACUUGCUUGUUCCAACUUCAUGGAAAUCAUGUCUAUUGCCACUGAGGGCAAGAAAUAUAUUGAGGAGUUGGAAGCUCAUCUCUAGGAGCAUGAGGCCACCAUUGAGAGAAUGGAAGGUCAUGAGUAUGAUUACGCUAAUGAGAUCGCGGAGCUAUCUCAAGCUCUUGAAGAAGAACGAACCACCAAGGAAUCUCUUGAGGAUACCUUUGCUCUAGAAUUAUCUAGAUUAAAUGAAUCUCAUAAUAGAGCGCUCGAGGUCGCUAAUGAUUUUAGAACUAAAAAUGAUAAGCUUGAAGUUGCACAUGCUAAACUCCUUGAGGACUAUGAGCACCUCUAAAAUGGCUCAAGGGCUAUUAAGAGUUCUCUGAUCUAACUCAUCAAGUCUCAUGCUCAACUUGAAGCGCAUAUGCUAAAGAUCUUGCCAAGUUGCCUUCUCCUCUUAUUUUAAUAAUGAUGCUUGUGCUACUAACUCUAUUUAUUGUGAAGCAUAUACUUCAAAGGAGAAUGUUGAGCUAAGGGCUCAACUUGAGUUGCUAUCUAGCAAUUAUGGGAAAUUAGAAGAAAGUCAUGCAAUGCUCACAAGCUCUCAUGAUGAUCUUCUAGUAUCCCAUAAUGUGCUAAAAUUAGCUCAUGAGGCUACUACUACCAAGAUAACAUCAAGUAAGCCUCAUGUGGACAUUAGCACUACUUCUAGUCAAAAUGCUAUAUUGCCAUGUGCUAGUCCUCGUAAUUCAUCUACUCACAAUGUUGCUACAUCUUGUGAUGAAUUACUUAUCUUGCCUUGUUGCUCUAACAAUGAAGCUUAUACUUCCUCUAGUACUUGUGUUUAUACUAACCAUGUAGAGGAAAUCGAAGAGCUCAAGGCCCAAGUCGCUUCAUUGAAUAAAGAUUUGGAAAAGAGUCAGGAAGGGAUGUCCACACUCAACAAUGUCUUGUGUGGGCAAAAAUCCCCAAUUGACAAAGGUGGACCUGGGUUCAAUUCUAACAAGAAGAACAAGUCCAAAAACUUCAAGAAGAAGGGCCAAGAACAAAUCAAGAAUUCUGCCAAGAUUGUUUGCUUCUAGUGCGAAAUUGAAGGGCGCCAUGUUAGACCUUGCCCAUUAAAUAAGAAGCCCCAAAGUCACAAGCAACAAGGGAAGCGGCCACAAGUUCAAUCACAUACUCAACUUCAAGUUGAAGAAAGGCCUCUUCCCAAGAAGACCCAAUCCAACAUUCCUCAAGUUGAGAAAUCAAUUGGGAAGAAAUUAAAGGGUAGAUGUUGCUACUUAUGUCGUGAGAAGGGUCACUUCGGCUCUUCUUGCACGAGAGGUAAUUUAUCCAACCCAAUCAUUAUUAAUGAUAUCUAUUCUCUUGGUAAGGAUAAGGUUGGCAAUGUGUUUGCCAAGUUUGUUGGUACUCAAAGUGGUGUCAAGAAAAGAACCAUUUGGGUAGCCAAGCCUAUUGUGACUAACUUCUUAGGACCCAACGUGGUUGGGGACCAACAAGCUCAAACUUGAUCAAUAUGUGAUCGUGGAGGACAUUGGAGACUUGGUUUCAUCUUGAAGAAUUAAUGGACCUUCAUAAUUCAUAUUAUCUCAAGUCAAGUCAUUUGGAUUAUCAAGUUUCUAUCUUAUAUCCAAUGUGCCUCCUUACGGCAACUUGCACUUAAAUUGGUUACAUUGUUUGUUACUUUCCCCUUUGCAUAAUGUGGUUUUGUACCAUGCAUAUGUUUGUAUAUGUUGUGCUUCCAACUUACUUAUCUUGAGUAAUCAAGUAUGUGUAUAUUGGUUUGCACAUCAUGUACAUGUGAGUCUUGUAUUGAGCCUCUUUGCAUCUUGUUUGUAUCUUUGUUGGCUCUUUUGAGAGAUUAAUGGAUUAUACCAUUGUGGGGGAGUGAUGUUCUCUGUGCACCUCACAAUCCUAUAAAUGUGUAUACAUGAGUAAUACCACUUAGUAUUGAUAUUACAAGUUUAUCUAGUCUCUAGCUGGUAUCUCCUGCUCAUGAGAAAUUCAUAUUCUAAAUGGUCCAUUAAUUAUCUCUUGUUGGGUUUCAUUUGCCACUUGUUAAUAAUGUUAGGUUAUCACAUUAUGGGGGAGUAAUAUGCUAUGUGCAUAUUACAAGCCUAGAAAAUGUGUAUAUUUGAGUUAUUGCCACUUAGUGUUGAUAUUGUAAAUUAUCUUGUUCCUAGGUGGCAUGUUAUCUCUACAAGUGCCAUUUGCUUGCAUUUUAGGAGUAAAGUUGAUGUUGGAUAUUUUUGCAAUCUACCAAUGGAAAUUGUUUCCAAGUACUUCUUGUCCUUUGACAAUUGGUAUUCUUUUCAUGUGGUAGAAAUUGCUAAUCAUCUUUACAUUGGAUUUUAUGUAUCAUUUGUCUUCCUUGUCUCUUGUGGAUUGGUUUGAACAUGUCUUGUGUUUCUACAUAUAUAGAGAAAGUGAUGAUACCAUCUUGUGCAUUUUGUAUUCAAAUGGAAAUUCUAUAUAAUGCACAUCCCUUGGGGGAGCUAUCCUAUUUUCUUUGGAACACGCUCUUUAUACGUCUAUCGUAAAAUCUUUUGAUCCCUUGGGGGAGCUAUCCUAUUUUCUUUGGAACACGCUCUUUAUACAUCUAUCAUAAAAUCUUUUGAUCCAUUGGGGGAGCUAUCCUAUUUUCUUUGGAACACUCUCUUUAUACGUCUAUCAUAAAAUCUUUUAUCCCCAUCAAGUGUGUGUUGAUGGGAGGCAAGUCUUGCUCUUUAUGAUGUUUUGUGCCAUCAUGAAAAUUUAUAGAGGGUUUGGUUUGUUUGGAACCUAGCUCUUUUGGAAACUAGAUACCUCGUGUUUGUUUUCCUUCAAUUGGUAUUUUGUUUCCUUUUGUCUGGCAUGUGUCAAUGGAUAUCAUUCUUUGAUGUAUCUUUUAAUUGGUAUCCUUCAAGUGAUAAUUUUUUGUUUGGUAUUUUAUUUUCACUUGAUACCUUGUCUUUUGGUGUCUUAUCAACUACGUGUUGAUUUGAUUUUUGAAUGCCUUGAGCAUGCAUAUUUACUAUAUACAUAUAGUUUCUUUUGCAUGCUUUCUUUCGUUGACCCAAUAUAUAGGGGAAACUCCACCUUGUCAUAAAUUGGCUAAAGUGUGCAUGAAAUUCAAAUUCAUAUCUAUAUGCACAUAUUUAUGUGGAAUUUGUCCUAUGUAUUGUUGGUUUUCUAACUCUUUCGUCCCAAUGAGUUUGGGCACCAUUUUGUUUGUUUUGUUGUUCUAGGAACAAUUGGGGAGGCAUUGGAUGCUCGGCUCACCUACAAGGAAGGUGUUAACACCAUGUGCUUAUUGGAGCCAAGUUAGGAUGAUCAACAAACAACUAUCUACUACAUCAAUCGAGUGCUAUCUCGGUAACAAGUAUCUACUUUAUGCAUACAUUUCUUGCAUUCAACCUUUCGUAGGUUGCAUCAUGGCAUGAAUUUCUUUAUUCGUUCUUGUGUUAUUUGUUUCCUUCCUCAAAGUAUUCGAACGAUGAUGUCUUAUUGCUAGUUGGGAUGUCUUUGAUGUUUAUAAGUUGGAAGUUCAUAUUGCACAAUAAGAAAAUAUUAGGCCAUGUGCUAUGCUUUCAAGCAAAGAUCUUAUUGGUAUAUUUAUGACUUCCUUUUGGAUAUCUUGUUUGUUCCUUCUUGUAACCAUUUCGUGUGUACAUCUUUCUUUAUGGAUAUAUAUCAUCAUGAUUUUCUUCUACCUAGAAUAUUUUACACAUGAGAGAAGUUACAUCUCUAGUUGAUAUCCUCUUUUCUUUCACGUCCACCGUUGCAUUUCUUUUUUCAGUUUUUGGUGGCUUCAUGAAAGGAUUUGUCUUGAGUGCGGAUAUUUUAUCCUUGCAUCUUGAUGCACUCGUUGGUGGUGAAGAUUAUUUUUCCUCAUACAUGUCUUGACAAGGGUGUUGACAUUUUGGUUGGUAUCCCUCUCUUGACAAGUUUAUUAUUUCCUUUCUUCACCAUGGGUUGUCACAAGUGUUGGUUCUCAAUUUGUUUAUUAGUAGGCUUGUGAACCUAUUUGCUAGUAGUGUGUGUGUGGGAAGGAUAUGUCUUGCACUUUGUUAUUAUUUCUUCAAGACUAUAUUGAUGAGUAAUGCUCAUCCUCACCUUAGUCUUCUCAAGUGCCUUGCCAUGACUCACACACAUCAUUUUGGUUGAGCCUACUAUUAAGUUGCCUCUUUUACAUGUUGCUCAACCAUAUAUUUUGUGCAAGUGAUAUACUUAUUGUCUCAUCUAUUUCUUUGCACUUUUUGUGUGCUUUUAUUAAUUUUUGGGGAGCAACAAUCCUAUUUUGUGCACUUUUAUCAAAUACAAAAAAAAAGUUCUUAUUAGUGCACAAAUCAUGGGGAGCUUCUCUAGUUUUGAUAAAACACACUAUUGUCCUUAUCAUAAUAUAUUUUAUUCAUGUGGUUCGAAGGACCAUAUGAUUGCUUGUUCCUAUUGGUAUCUUUUGAUUGUGUGCUUCUCUCGUUUGUAUGUCUUUGUGACAUACAUCCUUCUUGCAAUCUUUGGAUCCUCGAUAUAGCUUGUUUUCCUCCAACGUUUAUCAUUGUAUUUGUGUAUUUCUUUGCACUAUUGUUGAGAAGUACACACUUUUUGGAGGACCACCUACUAUAUUGGCUUUCUAAACUUUUUGUCCAUUUUGGCAAUCCAUGCCAAUGGGGGAGAAGUUUAGAGAGUUUAGUUUGGUGAUGCAUAGAGGGUUUUGCUUUUAUUGCUUAAGCAUUUACAUCUUGUAUGCAUGCAUUAUAGCUUUGUAUGUGUGCGCUUGAUUAUGCUUAUUUCCUUAUAUAAACUCUCUUAUACUGAUUGUCAUCAAUUACCAAAAUGGGGGAGAUUGUUAGAGCAUAUUUCUCCAUAUGUGGUUUUGGUAAUUGAUGACAAUCCCUAUGGACUAAUGGUUGCCUUAAGUUAUAUUCGAAGGACUUGUCCAUAUGCACUUCUUGAAGUCCAUCUGUUGGUGUCAAGGAGUUUAUAUGAUGACCAAGGUGGUAUUCAAGGUACUAUCCAAAGAUUGGUCAUAAAGAUACAAGGUUGAUCAAGACUAACCAAAGAGUAAAUCAAGAUGAUCAACACACAAAGUGUACAAGAUGUACCGAGAAGGACCAAGUGAUCCCAUGGUAUAGUAAGUAUUGUCCAUAACGCUUUUGUGUACUAACCCAUGGUCCUUGUGAGAGUUCUAUGUGGGGUUAGGUGUGUCUCCAUGGGUUUGCAUCAAGAGGACGAUCUCAUUCAACCUAUGAAGGAUGACAUCAAGUCGUGAUCGUCAUCAAGAUUGUGGUGUGCAAGUUCAAGUGGAGCAUCACGAAGAUAUCAUGCUUGAAGCUUGCCGUCCAUUGUGGUGGCAAUGGACUUGUGAAGAUGUGCUGAAGAGUGGCUCACCCAUAGUGAGUAUGGGGGAGAAAUCAACUAGCCUUCGUCAAACCAAGGCAAUCAAGAAAGGUGGUCCAUCUUGAGAAAGCCAAGAUCAUCAUCAUCUAGCUCAAGAGGACUAGGUGCAAGGUAUAGGUUUGGACUUGAUAGGUUUUCUACUUUAGGAUAGAUUGUCGUACUGCCAAGGGGGGCUCUCAAGUGAGUAGCUUGAUCGUAUCGUUCGUUGAGAGCUCAAACCAUGUGCAUUCCUUGCAUCAUAUUUCUUGGCUCUUGUUUGGUGUUUCUCUUUGUGAGUUUUAGAGCUUAUGACCAUCUUCAUGACAAGCUCGAGUUCAUUGAAAAUGGAGUCCAUAUGCAUCUUCUAUGAUGUUUUUGAUGUUCGAAGUUUUUGCCGGUUCUCCAUUCAUAGAGGUCUCACUUCUCUAUAUAAUUGGCAUUUUGUAACAUAAUUUUCUUAAUAUUUUAUGUCGCUGUUGGAUAGCUCUUGUCGUUGUGAAUUCAACAAGCUUGAGUUUGCUCGAUUCGGAGUUCAUAUGCUAAAGUUAGAGCAGUUUCAGUAUCCAGCGUAGUACCGCUCCUGGUGCCAGUGGUAGUACCGCCCCCGGAGUGGUAGUAAUUUUUUACUACCGCUCCCGGGCGGUAGUACCGCUCCCUCAGACGUUCUGGGAGCGGUAGUACCGCUCCGAGCAGCGGUAGUAAUGCUCUAGUCGGGCUGUGAGUGGGGGUAACGGUUGGAUUCGUUCCCCCACUAUAUAAAGGAGGUCUUCUUCCCCAUUGGACCUUAUCUAUCCGUUGAGCUCAUGUUCUUCCCCCAUUGUUGACCUUUUUAGAGCUUGCUAACUCUCAAUCCCUCCAAUGGUUCUUGCUAGUUCUUGAGGGAAAAGAGAGAGGAGAACUAGAUCCACAUCUCCACCAAUCACUUUCUCCUCUAUGUGAGGGGAACCCCUUGGAUCUUGAUCCUGGAGUUCUUUGUGAGCUCCUUGUUCUUCCUCUCAUAUUUCUCCAUAGCUUUUGUUGUUGUGGAGAGAUUUGAGUGUGAGGGACUUGACACUUCGUGUGUUCUUGCCAUUACAUUAGUUGCAUCGGUUUGAGUUCUCCGCACUGAUAUGUGGAAGUGAGAAGUUGAUAAGCUUUUUACCCUUGGGUACUUGGUACCCCUAGAAGCUUGGUGGUGCCUCGGAGCUCAAUCAUUGUGGUGUAAAGCUCCGGGCAAGCGUCGGGGUCUCCAAUUAAGUUGUGGAUAUUGCCCCGAGCAUUUGUGGUCACCUCGAAGCCAUAUGCCAUUAUGGUGAAGGUUCGUGGUCUUUUUGGGAGCCUCUGAUUAAUAUGUGGAGAUUGCCCCAACCUUGUUUGUACGGGUUCGGUGACCGCCCUCAAGGGUCCCUUAGUGGAAUCACGACAUCUAGCGUUGUGCGAGGGCGUGAGGAGAUUACGCUGGACUUAGUGGCAUCAUGGGGAGCAUUGUGUCUCCACACCGCUCCAAACGGAGAUUAGCAUCCGCAAGGGUGUGAACUUCGGGAUACAUCGCCGUCUCUGCGUGCCUCGGUUAUCUCUUACCUGAACCCUUACUUAUGCACUUUACUUUGUGAUAGCCAUAUUGUUUCUUGUCAUAUAUCUUGCUAUCACUUAGUUGUUUAUCUUGCUUAGCAUAAGUUGUUGGUGCACAUAGGUGAGCCUAGUUGUUUUAGGUUUUGUGCUUGACAAAUUAAACGUUAGUUUUAUUCCGCAUUUGUUCAAGCCUAAAACGAAAUUAUUUUAAAGCGCCUAUUCACCCCCUCUAGGCCACAUCCACGUCCUUUCAACAAUGUCAUCUAUAUAUAAGUAUAUUAACUUAGGAGUCAAGCAAGAAUACUUGAUCAUAGGUCAUAUUCAUCAUUUAAGCACAAGUGGGGUUGCCACUUUUAUAUAAAGCUUUCAGUGUGUGUACACCUUAAGAGAUGCUUUAACUCAAAUCUUAGAGUAAAGCUCCCCCUUGAUGUGUCAUACCCCUGAUAGGGAUAAACUAACCUUGGGUUUUGUCGUACAAGACUUCAUGUAGGUGUAGUAGUGGUGGAUGCUCACUGCCGAUGAAGAUCAUCUUGAGUUGGGAGCAGUUCUUGUUGUUCCUUACUCUUCUUACCUACAUGGGUUAGUACCAUUCACAAGGAACAAAUACAAGGAUAUCUAUGGAUAUGGAAUGAAGUUCAUAUGAGAUGAUGUCCAUUGAUAAAUUAAUUACCUUAUCCCUUGCUUACCUUUGAGGGAAUGUGUGACUCCUUGAGCUAAUGCAUAAGGUUGGGGUUGAUUUCAACUACUUCUUUCCAAAAUGAAUAAGAGUGAAUUUCAUUGGCGGAGUCGCCCCUCAAGAAAUUCUCUAGUUCUUAUUCUUGGGGACCCGUUCUUAUUCUUGGGGACCCGCAUCAACUUGAUGGGGAUCCUUGGAGUUGAGGUAGCACUUUAUGAAGUAGAGCUAGUAGUGGACUUGGGAAUCCACUUGACCAUGGCUUGGUGAUACGUCCCAAACGUAUCUAUAAUUUCUGCUUGUUCCAUGAUCUUUUGGGUGACAUUGUUAUAUGUUUUGCUACAGUUUUAUCUCAUUUUACACAUAUUUGGACUAACCUACUAACUCAGUGCACCCAGUGCCAAUUUCUAUCUACUGAUGUCUAUUUUGCAGGGGCUUUUACCAAAUUUUCCGAAACCCAAAAAAUUCCAGAAAAAAUAUAUAAAAAAUCAGCGAAACAGAAGCUUCCCGAUCACCGAAGGAGGGCCAGAGGGGGGCCAGGGGCCUCCCAGGCGGCCUGCUGGUGCGGCCAGACCCUAGGUCACGCCAGGAGGUUGCCUGGGUGGGUCCCACCUCCUCCGGUGCCCUCCUUUUGCCUAUAUUUAGAGUCCCGAGAGGAAACCCUCGCGGACUUUCUGGAAUCGCGAGUUUCUCCAUCGUUCCGCCGUCGUAGCACUUCAGAGAUCGGGAGCGCCAGGAGACCUCUUCCCGGCACCCUGUCGGAGGGAGGAUUGACAUCCGGGAGCUUAUCCACCGCCAUGGAUGCUUCUCGGACGUGUUGUGAGUAGUCCUCCUUGGACCAUGAGUCCAUCACCAGUAGCUAUGUGAUGUCUUCUCUCCAAUCUUGUGCUUCAAUGGUUAGUCCUUGUGAGCUGCCCUACAUGAUCAAGGAAUCUAUGUAAUUCUCUUGCUAUUGCUAUGCUCGUUUUGUUGGGAUCCGAUGGAUUAUGAGAUUAUGUUCAGAUUGUUAUGAGUUAUAUAUUUGAUUAUCAUUUUAUGUUAUGUUCCUUAGUGAUUCAUGCAUGUUCUCCGUUGCUUUUUAUUGCUUUGGUCAAGUAGUAGAUUGUAACUCCAAGAGGGAGCAUUAAGCAUGAUUGUGGGUUCAUGUCCCUCGAUGUCCAACUUGAGUGACAAAAACAUGAGACUAGGGCAUGUUCUUGUUGCCACCAGGGGGAAAACAACGAUGCUUGUGACAACGGUUGCAAGGAUUGUUUACCUUACGCAUGGUUCGUUAAUGUAGUUGUCCGUUGCUUUGAUUUUACACUUUGGGUGGGGCUCGCAACUUAAUACCGGAGAGAUGUUCUGGAUAGAUAUCUCAAAGUGGAUGGUUAGUAAGUACAUGCUGGUGAAUAAACGGUCUACUUGUCUUGGCAUACCGCCCAUUAAUAUUGAACCUCUAACUAUCAAGUAGCAUAAUGAGCAUUGCGGUGCGAUCAUAAUUCUGUCAAUUGCCCAACUGUGAUUUGGUUACCCUAGCAUAGUUGUUUAUCGUCUUUUGGGAGAGAGACAUCACUAGUGAACAUCAUGUGAUUCCGGUCCAUAUCACCAUCAUUGCUUACACCUCUAUCAUUUACCGCUUUCAUUUACUUUUCCGUCGCAAUCACUAUUACUUUCCCGCUUGUGUUUUGAUCCUUUGCAAACUACAAGGCCGGAGAGAUUGACAACCUCUGUGUACUUGUUGGGAGCAAAGUUAUUUGUUGUGUGUGCAGUUUCACGUCUUCUGCUAGCGCAGGGUGGAAGACACCUACUUGUUGAGCCUAGGAGUCCUCUUGGUUCGAUAAACGUUACAGUCUCCGUGUAAGGGAAAUCUGUUGCUGACUACAUCUCCACCUUCCACUUGGGGUAACCAAUGAGGGGCGAGAAGUAUAUCCAUCAACUCGUCAUCAAGCAAAUUUUUGGCGCCGUUGCCGGGGUCUCCAGUCUUCAAGAUAGGGGAGUUGCACGCUAUCUUUUACCUUUUCUUUUUAGUCUUGUUAGUUUGCUUGUUAGUUUUUUCUUUAGAGUCUUAUACCAAAAACCACAAAAAGUUAGUUGCUUUGUUCUUGCUUGUUACCGCUGCUAUGGGUUCCACCGAGAACACUGAGUUGUGUGACUUCACUAGUGAGGCUUAUGGAAAACUAAACUCUUAGUUCACUGCUUGGGGAAGGCCGCUUUACCACACCCAUUGUAGAGAAGUCUCCUCCACCUACUGAAUGUAUCCCAUUCAAAAUACCACUUGGGAUAAUUGAAAUAAUUAGGAAUGAUUGUUAUGCAGGAGAUGUAACAGUUAAUCCUAGUAUUCAUUUGUUGAAACUUACAGAACUUUGUGAGUUGUUUAAGAUUUCAGGUUUGACAAGUGUCACACCCUAUUUUCACCACAAGUAUUUUAUGUUGCAAAAAUCAGAGCUUGUUAAAACCUUUUCAAAUAAUGAUGUGAGUGCAAUGUGAACCCUUGUAUGAGUGAAUGCUUGCUUGUCUGAUGACUUAAUCCCAUGAAAACUUAUUAUUUUUCUUUCUUCAAAACCCCUUUUUCCUUUAUAUCAAGAUCACCUUCACCAUGUUGGGAUACACUACUAGCUCAUGAAGCCAAGUGGCACUUCCAACCAAAGUUGGUGAUCUGAUCCAAAUAUUAUUUCCAUUCAUUAAAAACAUUAAUUGGUGAUUUAAAAUAUUAUUUUCCGAUUUUAUAUCUAUGUUUGUUUCUAAGGCCAGUAAUGAUAUUCCCACAAGGAAAAUUGCUUUCCUGCCUUAGAAAAUUCUGAGUAAAUUCAUGGAAGCUUAGAAGGACAUAUAUUUUUCAUAUAUAAGAUUUUAAACCCUAUUUUAUAUUAAUAUUAUUUGAGUAAAACCCUGAAAACCAUUUCUGUCUGUUUUAGCUUUUUGAGAUGUUUCCAAAGGAAAUUAUCUCAAUAAAUUCCCAUAAAAUUACAGGAGCCCUCCCAAGCCAUAUUAGGUGCUCACCUAAAAUCUCACCUUGAUCCAAGGUGGGGAAAUGCACCUAAUGAGCCCAAAACCCUCUUUGUCCAGAGAAGAGUUGGAACAACUCAACAUUGCAAAGAUUCUCCAAUGGAGCUGAAACUUUGGAGAGGUGUUUGACACCCCAAAUGAGGACUCCACACAAAAGAUGGGAUUUGUGAGACUCUGUUUGGCCACGCUUCCUUUGUAAAGGACAGUACUGGUCAUUUUGAGGCAUUUUCAAGUUUACAAAGCCAAACUGGUUCAAUGGAGCUCAAAUUUNAGCCCUUACGAGUUUCCGCUACUCGAUGUAUCUGUUUAAUUUGGCCUUAGGCCUCGCUCUUGAACCCGACCUUCUGGUCGUUUGAUGUAAUAAUUUCGGUACUUGGAUGUAAGACUCUAUUAUUCAGUAUCUGUGUUCAGUGAACAUUGAUCCUUGGGGUCACUGGGCACGGCGAACUCGACUUGCUAGUCGGGGUCCCCACUUAACUGGUAUCAGAGCCAUCCUGACUACAGGAAGCCUUAGAUAGCAUGGACGUUAGCCGAGAACGUUAGAACGCCAGCCUUGCACAAGACUUUUGCGCAUACAACCUUCUGACUUCUCUCCUAUGCCUUGUAGAUGGCUGCCGUACCUGAGACGCUUCUGGAGACCGGCUUUCCACUACUUUUGGUGGAUUGUCUCGAGAAGUGCCACGUAUGUCGCACACCCAUCUUCCUCUACCACAAGCACUGGGUCAACGCCGACACUAAGGAAUAUCACGUGGACGUGAUAGUGAAGGCUAAUGACUCCCCGUCUAGUUGGUUCUUCGAAGGACCACAGAUGGGAGAACUGAUGUUGGCAGUGGAGAUGGCUGCACGAGAGGCGCUCGUGCAACUCCGCAGCAUCCUCCCCGAGAUGGCUAAUGAGCCUGUCACUCGUCACCUACCUUUCAUUAAGGAAGGAGUGGAUGGGAGUUGGACACUCACCCCAGCCACGGAGGAUGGGAUGCCAUUAAGGUUUCAGACCUACUUCAAUAUCUCGUCGGACACCCUGACGCACUUCCUAGUUAAGGAAUCAGUCAAGCUUCGCCAAGAGCUGCACCUAGUCAAGGGCCUGCUCCACACUGAGAAGAUGCAGAUCCAUAAGCUAAAGAAGGCAGGCGCACCUGAAGGGAGGACAGCUGUUGCCACUAGGGGUGGCGUGUUACCCAUCCAGGCAGUCCCUCUUCGGAGUCGCCGCCUGACAGCGGAAGAGUACACUAAGAUCUUCGCCGCCUCGCCUAAGAGACGCCUGAUGUGCGGAUUCUUUCUUCCACUCCUAUAAAGGAGGAAGAUGUUGAUGAAGAUGAGGAUCCUGUUGAGUCCGCCUUGAGACCGAGCAGUCCGCCGCGUAGGAUUUAGCAUAGGCAAUUAGGAGUACCCCGAGCAUAGGGUAUCCAUGUAUCCGUUUCUAAUUUGCGUAUGUGUGCAUGAUGUAAGUCACAUAUUGCCUUAGGCAGCCUGUAAGUGACUACAUCACCUAGUUUUUAUGAAUGCAAUUUCCAGUUUGUCAAAAACUUUGGUUUUGAAAACUUGGCACAUGCAUGUAUUGGACCCCCUCUUACUAGGAGCGAAUCCUUGUAUUCCCGAGCAAGGUGGCAUUUUGACCUGUUUGUUUCUAUGAAAGGAUGGUGAACGCAACCCGCAACAACACCUUCGGCAACCCCGGCGCUGGCUCCUCAGGGACGCCGCAGGGAACCGAAGGAGAAGCUCACGCUGGAGGUCACCACGAGCAGCCUAGAGACCUUCUGCCACCACCUCCUCCUGAGAACUUGACGAUGGCUCAGUUCCUUCAAGCUCUUCGGGAGGAGCAUCAAGCCAGCAAUGCCGCUAUUCAGCAGCUGACUCAAGUCUUGGUGGACAACCCGCCGCGGAAUGUGAAUGGCGGUGGUCGCUCUACUCUUUCUGAGUUCAUGCGGACUACACCCCCCAUAUUCACGGAGUCGAUGGAACCACUGGACGCCGAUGACUGGAUUCGCACCAUUGAAGACCUCCUUACGUUGGUCAAGUGCACCGACGAUCAUGAGAAGGUCCUUUAUGCUUCUCACUGUCUCGGAGGCACUGCCAGGGCAUGGUGGGAUGGAUUCCAGAUCAUGCGGGCAGGGAAAGUCAUCACUUGGGUGAUGUUCAAGGAAGGAUUUCGCGCGGCUCAUAUUCCACCUGGACUGAUGACCAUUAAGAAUCGGGAAUUCCGAGCCUUAAGGCAGGGCAGUGGAACUGUUAAGGAGUACCUAUAGAAGUUUAACCUCUUGUCGAGGUAUGCGCCCGAAGAUGUUAACACUGAGGCCGCUAAGGUGGAACGCUUCAUGGAAGGGUUACAUCAGUCCCUGCAAUACCAGCUGGUGGUUUGCGACUGCCAGACUUUCAGCGAGCUGGUUAACAAGGCGCUUAUGCUGGAAGACAAGUGUCGUGCGAUGGACGACAUCCGCAAGCGCAAACUGAUAGGCAGUGGGGGACCCAGUAACGCAAGACCAAGACCAUGGCAGUCAGCACCUGCAAGACCCAACUUUCAACAGCAGCAGUACAAGUAUCCGGUGUUCCGCCAGAAUUAUCAGCCUCAGGAGCAAGCCAAGCCAGCGGUCAACCCGCCGAACAACGGUGGAAUCAAGACCAACCCUCCGGGGCAAGUCACCUGCUUUGGGUGUGGUCAGACCGGGCACUAUUCCAGGCAGUGCCCCAACAAGAAGCCCGACGCACCGCGUCCCAAUGCACCCAACCCCGGUCAAGGUGCACCAGGAAGGAACCAGGCCCCCCGCAACCAGCAGUUCAAUGGCAGGGGCCGGAUCAAUCACAUCACUACAGAGGAGGCGCACGAAGACCCGGACUGCAUUCUGGGUACGUUCCUCGUGAGCUCAACUCCAGCAACAGUGUUGUUUGAUUGUGGUGCCUCGCAUUCUUUUGUUACUCAAGGGUUUGCAGAUAAGUGUGGCUUAAAACCCACUCUACUCCGUGGGCAGAUGGCAAUUCAAACCCCGGGAGCAGUAUUGCGAACCAACCUAGGGUGUAGAAGGGUCGAGAUAGUUAUCAAUGGGACGAGCUUCUUGGCAGACCUCAUUGUGCUUAAAUCGCAAGGUGUAGAAGUAAUCCUCAGCAUGGAUUGGUUGGCCAAGCACCAGAGUCUUUUGGACUGUGCCAACAGGGCUAUUACAAUGACAAGCAACCAAGGGGUCAAUGUCAAGUUUGUCUCUGAGCCAGUAUCGGCUCAAGUGCCUCGAGUCAACAGUCUAUCCGAGGUAGAACUUGAUCAAGUGCCUAUAGUUUGUGAAUACCCGGAUGUCUUUCCUGACGAGCUACUCGGAAUGCCUCCUGACCGAGACAUCGAGUUCCUCAUUGGGCUCAUGCCCGGAUCAAGGCCUAUAUAUAAAAAGCCUUACAGGAUGGGUUCCAAAGAGCUGGCAGAGCUGAAGAAGCAGCUGGAUGAGCAACUCAGGAAAGGGUUCAUCCGUCCGAGUGCAUCACCUUGGGGAUCACCUGUUCUAUUUGUUUCAAAGAAGGAUGGUACCAUUCGACUCUGCGUCGAUUACCAUUCUCUUAAUGAAGUCAAAAUUGAGAACAAGUACCCGCUCCCCAAGAUCGAAGACCUGUUUGACCAGUUAAACGGGGCCAAGGUAUUUUCCAAAAUCGAUCUUUGAUCGGGAUACUACUAGUUGAAGAUCCGACCUAAAGAUAUACCCAAGACUGCAUUCGUGACCCGGUACGGUCUAUAUGAAUGCACGGUCAUGCCCUUCGGUUUGACUAAUGCCCCAGCCUACUUCAUGUACCUGAUGAACAAGGUCUUCAUGGAAUAUUUGGACAAGUUUGUCGUCGUGUUCAUUGAUGACAUAUUAAUCUUCUCCAAGUCCGAAGAGGAGCAUGAGCAACACCUGAGGCUAGUUCUGGGAAACCUUCGAGAGCACCAACUUUAGGCCAAAUUCAGCAAGUGUCAGUUCUGGCUGAACGAAGUUGGAUUUCUGGGUCAUACCCUGACGGCACGCGGUUUGGCCGUAGAUCAGUCCAAGAUUACUACAGUGACCAACUGGGAAUCACCAAAGGACGUGAAGGAUGCCAGGAGUUUCCUCAGGCUCGCGGGAUACUACCGCAAGUUCGUAGAAGGAUUCUCCAGCAUCGUUCGACCUAUGACUCAGCUCUUGAGGAAAGGUCGGAAGUUCGAAUGGACACCGGCGUGUGAAGCAAGCUUCCAGGAGCUGAAGAAGAGGCUAACUACCGCCUCGAUAUUGGCUACCCCAGACAUCAACAAGGAAUUCGUGAUAUAUUGUGAUGCCUCUGGAACCGGGCUCGGUGGAGUCCUGAUGCAAGAUGGCAGGGUCGUGGCGUACUUGUCACGGCAACUGCGACCGCAUGAGGAGAACUACGCCACCCAUGAUCUCGAGCUAGCAGCUGUAGUGCAUGCUGUGAAGACGUGGCGACAUUACCUUCUGGGGAAGCGAUGUGAGAUAUAUACAGACCACAAAAGUCUGAAAUAUAUCUUCACUCAGAGGGAGCUGAAUAUGAGGCAGCGGAGAUGGCUUGAGUUAAUCAAGGAUUACGACCUCAGCAUUCAGUAUCAUCCCGGCAAGGCGAACGUGGUAGCCGAUGCCUUAAGCCGGAAGGCAGGCUCCUUGAAUGUCACGCUCAAGGAAAGGUUACCCGUCUUGUAUGAAGAGAUGGAAGACUUCGGGCUUGAGAUAGUCGAACUAGGGUACUUGGCCAACCUCGAGGUCAAGCCUACUCUGGCAGACGACAUCAAGGAAGCCCAGAAGGGGCACAAGAGUAUCGAAGGCCUCAAGAGGAAGGUGCGAGAAGGCAAAGCCCCAGGAUUCUCGAUUGAUGAGCAAGGAGUACUGUGGUACGGGAAGCGCUUGUGCGUGCCUAACAAGGCCGAACUUAAGGACUUGAUCCUGCAAGAGGCUCAUGACACACCGUACUCUAUCCAUCCAGGUGGUACCAAGAUGUACCAAGACAUCCGAGAACGAUUCUGGUGGCAUGGCAUGAAGAGAGAAAUUGGCUCCUAUGUCGCUAAAUGCGAUGUAUGCCAGCGAGUCAAGGCUGAACACCAGGGACCUGCUGGAUUGCUGCAACCUCUUCAAGUGCCAGAAUGGAAGUGGGAUAAAGUCGGCAUGGACUUCAUCAUCGGGUUGCCCCGGUCGAAUAAGGGUCAUAACUCCAUUUGGGUCAUAGUCGAUCAUUUGACCAAGGUGGCCCAUUUCAUCCCCGUUAACACCACCUACGAUGGCAGCGAGCUGGCCAGUCUGUACAUUCAUCGAGUGGUGAGUCUCCAUGGAGUUCCCAAAGAGACCGUGUCCGACCGCGGCACGCAAUUCACCUCAAGAUUCUGGAAGAAGUUUCAAGAAGCCCUCGGAACCAAACUCUCCUUCAGUACGGCUUUCCACCCGCAGACAGGCGGACAGACCGAGAGGGUGAACCAGAUACUUGAGGACAUGCUCCGCGCUUGUGUUUUGGCUCACGGUGCCAAGUGGGAAGACUGCCUGCCGUUUGCUGAGUUUUCUUACAACAACAGCUACCAGUCCAGUCUUCAGAUGGCCCCAUUCGAAGCGUUAUAUGGGCGGAAGUGCCGCACCCCGCUCAAUUGGUCCGAAACCGGUGAAGGACUAGUUUUCGGACCAGAAGCACUGCAGGAAGCAGGGGACAAGGUUCAGCUUGUCCGAGAAAACUUGGAGGCAUCUAAGUCAAGGCAGAAGAGCUAUGCGAACCCUCGCCGCAGAAACGUGGAGUUUGUUCCCGGAGACCAAGUGUACUUGCGAGUCACGCCUCUCAAGGGGACCAAGCGUUUCCACGUCAAGGGGAAGCUAGCUCCAAGGUUCAUUGGACCCUUCAAGAUCACGGCAAGGCGCGGGGAAGUAGCUUAUUAGUUGGAGCUACCUCCUGAGCUUUCGGGUGUGCACAACGUGUUUCACAUGUCAUAGCUUCGGAAGUGCUUGCAAGUGCCGAACCGUCCCGAUCUUUACAAGGACAUUGAUCAUCAAGCUAUUGACCUUCAACCGGAUCUUACCUACCGCGAGAGACCGAUCCGCAUUUUAGAUGAAGCCGAGCGUUGCACCAGAAGCCGCACCAUCAAGUUUUUCAAGGUUCAGUGGAGCAACCAUACCGAAGCAGAAGCCACAUGGGAACGUGAAGACUAUCUCCGAUCAGAAUUUCCCAAGCUAUUUAACGCUUAGCUUAGGAAUCUCGGGGACGAGAUUCUUGUAAGAGGGAUAGGUCUAUCACACCCUGUUUUUCACCACAAGUAUUUUAUGUUGCAAAAAUCAGAGCUUGUUAAAACUUUUUCAAAUAAUGUUGUGAGUGCAAUGUGAACCCUUGUAUGAGUGAAUGCUUGCUUGUCUGAUGACUCAAACCCAUGAAGACUUAUUAUUUUGCUUUCUUCAAAAACCCUUUUUCCUUUAUAUCAAGAUCACCUUCACCAUGUUGGGAUACACUACUAGCUCAUGAAGCCAAGUGGCACUUCCAACCAAAGUUGGUGAUCUGAUCCAAAUAUUAUUUCCAUUCAUUAAAAACAUUAAUUGGUGAUUUAAAAUAUUAUUUUCCGAUUUUAUAUCUAUGUUUGUUUCUAAGGCCAGUAAUGAUAUUCCCACAAGGAAAAUUGCUUUCCUGCCUUAGAAAAUUCUGAGUAAAUUCAUGGAAGCUUAGAAGGACAUAUAUUUUCCAUAUAUAAGAUUUUCAACCCUAUUUUAUAUUAAUAUUAUUUGAGUAAAACCCUGAAAACCAUUUCUGUCUGUUUUAGCUUUUUGAUAUGUUUCCAAAGGAAAUUAUCUCAAUAAAUUCCCAUAAAAUUACAGGAGCCCUCCCAAGCCAUAUUAGGUGCUCACCUAAAAUCGCACCUUGAUCCAAGGUGGGGAAGUGCACCUAAUGAGCCCAAAACCCUCUCUGUCCAGAGAAGAGUUGGAACAACUCUACAUUGCAAAGUUUCUCCAAUGGAGCUGAAACUUUGCAGAGGUGUUUGACACCCCAAAUGAGGACUCCACACCAAAGAUGGGAUUUGUGAGACUCUGUUUGGCCACACUUCCUUUGUAAAGGACAAUACUGGUCAUUUUGAGGCAUUUUCAAGUUUACAAAGCCAAACUGGUUGAAUGGAGCUCAAAUUUNNNNNNNNNNNNNNNNNNNNNNNNNNNNNNNNNNNNNNNNNNNNNNNNNNNNNNNNNNNNNNNNNNNNNNNNNNNNNNNNNNNNNNNNNNNNNNNNNNNNCGAUGUUACCCAACAGCUUCGACACAGAUCCGGAUGACUCUAAGUCACAGACCGGAUACGUAUAUGUGUUGAAUGGUGGGGCAGUGAGCUGGUGCAGCAGCAAGCAAGAAGUCGUGGCAGCAUCUACAUGUGAAGCGGAGUACAUAGCUGCUUCAGAAGCGGCUCAUGAAGGAAUUUGGAUGAAGGAGCUCAUCACCCACCUUGGAGUGGUUCCAAGCGCGUCGGGUCCAAUGACACUCUUGUGUGAUAACACUGGGGCCAUUGCCAUAGCCAAGGAGCCCAGGUUUCACCAGAAGACGAAGCACAUCAAACGCCUCUACAACUCCAUCCAGGACCAUGUCCAGAGUGGAGUGAUAGAUAUUUGUAAAGUACACACGGAUCUGAAUAUUGCAGACCCGUUGAGUAAACCUCUUACACGAGCAAAACAUGAUCAACACCAUAAUGCUAUGGGUGUUCGAUACAUCACAAUGUAACUAGAUUAUUGACUCUAGUGCAAGUGGGAGACUGUUGGAAAUAUGCCCUAGAGGCAAUAAUAAAAUGGUUAUUAUCAUAUUUCCUUGUUCAUGAUAAUCGUCUACUGUUCAUGCUAUAAUUGUAUUAACAGGAAACAGUAAUACAUGUGUGAAUAAAUAGAUCACAAUGUGUCCCUAGCAAGCCUCUAGUUGGCUAGCUCGUUAGUCAAUAGAUGAUCAUGGUUUCCUGAUCAUGGGCAUUAGAUGUCAUUGAUAACGGGAUCACAUCAUUGGGAGAAUGAUGUGAUGGACAAGACCCAAUCCUAAGCAUAGCACUAGAUCGUGUUGUUCGUAUGCUAAAGCUUUUCUAAUGUCAAGUGUCUUUUCCUUCGACCGUGAGAUUGUGCAACUCCCGGAUACCAUAGGAGUGCUUUGGUUGUAUCAAACGUCACAACGUAACUGGGUGACUAUAAAGGUGCACUACGGGUACCUCUGAAAGUGUUUGUUGGGUUGGUACGACUCAAGAUCGGGAUUUGUCACUCCGUGUGACGGAGAGGUAUCUCUGGGCCCACUCGGUAGAACAUCAUCAUGAGAUCAAUGUGACUAAGGAGUUAGUCACACAAUGAUGUGCUACGGAACGAGUAAAGAGACUUACCGGUAACGAGAUUGAACAAGGUAUUGGUAUACCGACGAUCGAAUCUCGGGCAAGUUCUAUACCGACAGACAAAGGGAAUCGUAUACGGGAUUGAUUGAAUCCUUGACAUCAUGGUUCAUACGAUGAGAUUAUCGUGGAGCAAGUGGGAGCCACCAUGGGUAUCCAUACCCCGCUGAUGGUUAUUGGCCAGAGAGGUGUCUCGGUCAUGUCUGCCUGUCUCCCGAACCCGUAGGGUCUACACACUUAAGGUUCGAUGACGCUAGGGUUAUAGGGAAUUGUUAUACGAGGUUACUGAAAGUUGUUCGGAGUCCCGGAUGAGAUCCUGGACGUCACGAGGAGCUCCGAAAUGGUCCGGAGGUAAAGAUUGAUAUAUAGGACGGAUGGUUUCGGACACCGGAAGUGUUUCGGGCAUCACUGGUAACGUACCGGGACCACCGGGACCACCGGAGGUGGCCUCGGGGGUCCACCAAAAGGGGGCAACGACCCCGGGAGGUAAGAUGGGCCAAGUGGGGGAGGGAACCAGCCCCUAGGUGGGAUGGUGCGCCUCCCCACUCAGCCCAAUGCGCGGGGGAGAGGGAAAGGGGGGCAAACCCUAAGCCAGGUGGGCCUAAGGCCCACCAGGGGUGCGCACCACCCCUCCUCCCUGCCUUGGCCUCCGCCCCUCUCCCAUCUGGUGGCUGCCGCACCACCUAAGGGGGAACCCUAGGGGUGGCGCACCCCCUCCCCCCUCCUCCUAUAAAUAGAGAGGGGUUUUGGCCCUUGGGAGAUAGACUUCUCCCUCUCCCUCGGCGCAACCCUGCCCUUCUUCCUCCUCCUCUCUGUCGGUGCUUGGCGAAGCCCUGCCGGGAGACCUCGUCUCUCCAUCGACACCACGUCGUCGUGCUGCUGGAGUUCUUCCCCAACCUCUCCCUCCUCCUUGCUGGAUCAAGGUGCGGGAGACGUCACUGGGCUACACGUGUGUUGAACGCGGAGGUGUCGUAGUUCGGCACUAGAUCGGAAUCACACCGCGAUCUGAAUCGCCGCGAGUACGACUCCAUCAACCGCGUUCUAGCAAUGCUUCCGCUUAGCAAUCUUCAAAGGUAUGAAGAUGCUCUUACCCCUCUCUCGUUGCUGGUCUCUCCAUAGGAAGAUCUGAAUAUGGUGUAGGAAAAUUUUGAAUUUAUGCUACGUUCUCCAACACCAUCACCUUCACUAGUCCCACACGCUUCCGAAGAACAAAGUGAAGGCCCUCAACCCGUUGAAUAAGAUCAAGGACAAGAUCAACCUCAUGAGGAUGGUGUUGCACCAAAUGAUGUCCAAGAUCAUGCUCAAGACUCCGAGUUUUCUCAAGAUCAAUUGCAUCCACAAGAUCAAGGGAAAAGUAGUGAGCAAGCUCAAGACGGUGCUCAAGAUGGUCAAAAUGACGUUCCUCAAUUACCUAGUAAGGAACUCCUAGAGCAUCGCGCUGCCAAAGUGGCUUCCAAGCUCCGGGUUCGACAUCUUCUCUUGGAGAAUGUGCUUGGAAGCUUCAAUAAGGGGGUAACUACUCGUCAACAAUUAUAAUUUUUUUGUUUGCAUCGCUCGUUUGUUUUGUGUGUUGAACCCCAAAAGGUACAUGAAACGCUCGAUGUUGAGGAUUGGCUUGAAGCCAUGCAUGAUGAACUUAACAACUUCGAGCGCAAUCAAGUUUGGGAAUUAGUGCCAAGGCCAAUGGGGAACAUAAUGUUAUUCGAACCAAAUGGAUCUUCAAGAACAAGCAAGAUGCAAAUGGUGUUCUUGUUCAAAACAAGGCAAGAUUGGUGGCUCAAGGCUACUCCCAAGUCGAGGGUAUCGACUACGGUGAAACCUUUGCCCCUGUUGCUCGUCUUGAAUCUAUUCACAUGUUGCUUGCAUUUGCUUCUCAUCAUGAUUUCAAAUUGCAACAAAUGGAUGUGAAGAGUGCAUUUCUUAAUGGUCCCUUAAAUGAGUUGGUAUAUGUCAAACAACCUCCGGGAUUCGAGGACCCCAAGUUCCCCACUCAUGUAUACAAACUCAAGAAGGCACUCUACGGCCUUAAACAAGCCCCAUGUGUGUGGUAUGAGUUCCUUACCGAGUUGUUGCAAGAUCGUGGGUUGGAAAUUUGGAAAAUUGAUCCCACCCUUUUUACCAAAAAGGUCAAAGGGGAAUUGUUCAUCUGCCAACUAUAUGUUGUUGAUAUUAUAUUUGGUUCUCCUAACAAAUCUUUCAGUGAAGAGUUUGCUACACUAAUGACCGAGAAGUUUGAGAUGUCUGUGAUGGGAGAGUUGAAGUUCUUUCUUGGGUUCGAAAUCAAAAAAGGAAGAUAAGGAACGUUCAUCAAACAAGCCAAGUACACCCAGGACAUGCUCAAGACCUUCAAGCUAGAGGACGUCAAGCCGGUCAACUUUCCCAUGCCAACCAAAUGCAAGCUUGACAAUGAUCCCAACGGUAAAGCAGUGGAUCAAAAGGUGGUGGCUCCACGCGCUUGAACCCAUCUCGGGAUACCGGUUCCAAGCGCCUUCGCAAUCCAGAUGCACCCGAGGGAUCCAAGGCUCUGAAGUGCAACUUCAAGAGGCCCGCUCACAAGAACAAAGAGAACACUGUCGAUUGUGAUGCUAUGUGAUAAACCACAAGUAUAGGGGAUCGCAACAGUUUUCGAGGGUAGAGUAUUCAACCCAAAUUUGUUGAUUCGACACAAGGGGAAGCCAAAGAAUAUUCUCAAAUAUUAGCAGUUGAGUUGUCAGUUCAACCACACCUGAACGACUUAGUAUCUGCAACAAAGUAUCAGAAGCAAGGUAGUGUGAUAGCAACAGUAGCAAUGGUAAUAGUAGCAGCAGUGACAGCAAUAGCGACAGAGUAACAGUAGCAGCAGUGAAAGCAGUAGCGGCAAAGUAACAUAGCAAGGACCAGUAGGAAAAACGCGUAGGCAUUGGAUCGGUGAUGGAUAAUUAUGCCGGAUGAUAUUCAUCAUGCAACAGUUAUAACACGGAGAGAUAUGUAACUAGCUCCAGUUCGUCAAUGUAAUGUAGGCAUGUAUUUCGUAUGUAGUCAUACGUGCUUAGGGAAAAGAACUUGCAUGACAUCUAUUGUCCAUCCCUCCCGUGGCAGCGGGGUCCUAAUGGAAACUACGGGAUAUUAAGGUUCUCCUUUUAAUAGAGAACUGGAACAAAGCAUUAGCACUUAGUGAAUACAUGAACUCCUCAUACUAUGGUCAUCUCCGGGAGUGGUUCCGGCUAUUUUCACUCCGGGGUUGCCGGGUGAUAACACAUAGUAGGUGACUACAGGUUGCAAGAUAGGAUCAAGAACACACAUAUAUUGACGAGAACAUAAUAGGUUCAGAUCUGAAAUCAUGGCACUCGGGCCCUAGUGACAAGCAUCAAGCAUGGCAAACUAGUAGCAACAUCAAUCUCAGAACAUAGUGGAUACUAGGGAUCAAUCCCCGUCAAAACUAACUCGAUUACAUGAUAGAUCUCAUCCAACCCAUCACCGUCCAGCAAGCCUACGAUGAGAUUACUCAUGAACGGUGAAGAGCAUCAUGGAAUUGGCGAUGAAGGAAGGUUGGUGAUGACGAUGGCGACGAUCUCCCCUCUCCGGAGCCCGGAACGGACUCCAGAUCAGCCCUCCAGAGGAAGAACAGGUGGUGGCGGCGCCUCCGUAUCGUAAAACGCGAUGAACUCUUCUCCUUGAUUUUUUUCCGGAUGAAAGGGACUAAAUAGAGUUGGAGUUGGAGGCGGCGGAGCUCCGUGGGCCCCACAAGCCUGCUAGGCGCGGCGGGGGGGGGCCUGGUGGGCUUGUGGGCUCCACGCUCCACUUCUUCGGUCGAUUCUUGCGCCAGUAUUUUUUAUAUAUUCCACAAAAAAUCCUCGUAAAUUUCUAGGUCAUUUCGAGAACUUUUAUUUCUGCACAAAAACAACACCAUGGCAAUUCUGCUGAAAACAUCGUUAGUCCGGGUUAGUUCCAUUCAAAUCAUGCAAAUUAGAGUCCAAAACAAGGGCAAAAGAGUUUGGAAAAGUAGAUACGACAGAGACGUAUCAACUACCCCAAGCUUAAAGCCUUGCUUGUCCUCAAGCAAUUCAGUUGACAAACUGAAAGAUACUAAAGAAAAAAAUUUACGAACUCUGUUUGAUCUUGUUGUUGCAAUUAUGUCUAACUCAUAUUUAGAUUUUCAACAAGAUCGUAAGCUAAGCACAUAAGCAAUGACAUUUAGGUCUCAUGGCAAACUCAUAUCAAUGGCAUAAUCAACUAGCAAGCAAUAAUAAUGAAUUUUAAACAUCAACACUUCAAUCAAAAUAAUCAUGAAGCAGUUCGAAUAGAUGGUAUCUCGCUAGCUGUUUCUGAGACCGCAAAACAUAAAUGCAGAGCACCUUCAAAGACCAAGGGCUGACUGAACAUUGUAAUUCAUGGCAAAGAAGAUCCAGUCACAGUCAUACUCAAUGACAAUUAAAAGCAAAGCAUAGAAAUGACAGAGGUGCUCUCUAAUUGGUGCUUUUAUAAGGAGAGGAUGACUCAAUAGAAACAUAAAUAGACAGGCCCUUCGUAGAGGGAAGCAUUGAUUUGCAGAGGUGCCGGAGCUCAAGCUUUGAAGACAAAGAUAAAUAAUUUUGGGUGUCAUGCUUUCAUUGUCAACGCAAUGACCAAGAGUUUUCACCAUCUUCCAUGCUACACAUACUAUAGGCGGUUCCCAAACAGAAAAGUAAAGUUUUGACUCCCCCACCACCGAUCAAUCACACUCCACGACUAGCCGAAUACUCGGGUGCCGUCCAUACCAACAUCAAUCCAGGGGGAGUUUUGUUUGCAAUCAUCUUUUCGAUUUGAGCAUGGAACUGGGCAUUCCAAUUACCGGCCCCUUUCUCGUGAAUGAUAGUGAAUAAACACAUAUCGAGGAUAACACGCCUAGCAUGGAAGAUACUGACCGCCCCUUGUCACCACAUGAGCGGUUCGGGCAUGCAAAACAAAUUAUUUCUUGAAGGUUUAGAGAGUGGCACAUGCAAAUUUACUUGGAACGACAGGUAGAUACCGCAUAUAGGUAGGUAUGGUGGACUCAUAUGGAACAACUUUGGGUUUAUAGAAGUGGAUGCACAAGCAGUAUUCCCGCUUAGUACAAGUGAAGGCUAGCAGAAGACUGGGAAGUGACCUACUAGAGAGCGACAACAUUCAUCAAAAUGCAUUGAGAUUAACCAUCAUUGAGUGCAAGCAUGAGUAGGACAUAAAUCACCAUGAACAUGAAUAUCAUAGAGGCUAUGUUCCUUUGUUUCAACUACAUGCGUGAACAUGCGCCAAGUCAAGCCACUUGAAUCAUUUAAAGGAGGAUACCAUCCUAUCAUACUACAUCAUAAUCAUCUCAGAAUUCAUGUUGGCAUCCAAGACAAACCAUUAUAAGCUCCUAGCUAAUUAAGCAUGGCAUCAGAAACUAUGAUCUCUAAAUUGUCAUUGCAAACAUGUCUCUCUCACAACAAAGCUGAACUAGAAACGAUGAGCUAGUCAUAUUUACAAAAACAAAAUAGAUCGAGUUCAUACCAGCUUUUCCAGGCUCAGUCACUUCAUCAUAUAUCGUCAUUAUUGCCUUUCACUUGCACGACCGAACGAUGUGAACAAUAAUAAGAGUGCUCGUGCAUUGGACUAAGCUGGAAUCUGCAAGCAAACGCAAAGAAGAAGACAAAGUAAUAUGGCUUUUUGACAGAUAAACAGAUAUGCAUGCGAGAGCCACUAAACAUUGUAACCAUGGUCUUCUACCUUGACCCAAAGAAAAAGAAAACUAUUUACACGGGAAAGCUCCCAACAAGCAAAAGAAGAACAAGAAAUAUUUUUGGAUUUCUCAAACUAGACAAACACACGAGAAGAAAGCGAGAAAAAGAAACAAACUAGCAUGGAUGAUACAAUGGCAAGGUGUGAACACCGACUAUCAAAGUGAAAGUGUGAGCAAGAAUAUAAAGUCGGUGAGAAACACGUACUCCCCCAAGCUUAGGCUUUUGGCCUAAGUUGGUCUACUCCCAUUGAUGGUCCGGGUGAUACCCAAAAUCAUAAUGGGGGUUGUACGGGAGCGCUGCUGCUACCGCCUGAAUAGCUGCCUCACGGAGGCGAGUAGCCUUUGCCUCCUUCUCAUACUCCUCUGCCUCUCCUCUGGUUAUGUAAUAUCUCCGUUUUACCUGAAAGUCAAAGAAGGCAGGAGCAGGAAGGGUAAUAUGGAAAACACGUUGUCGGUUAAAUAUUAACCGGUAUAGGAGGGAUUCAUUAUCCCUCUCAAGGAACUGAUAGCGUGUCAUAGCGGCGUGAUAAAGGAAAGUUGUAUGGAGCGGGGGAUCUCCUUCGCGUAUGGGUACUCCAAGAAAAUUUGCUAUGCGAGUGGCAUAGAUCCCACCAAAGAAAUCCCCUUCAUUCGCAUUAUUAUUCAGCCUCCUCGCAAUUAUAGCUCCCAUGUUAAAACUUCUAUCACCCGUUACUGCGCUCUUAAGAAUACUAAGGUCAGGUGCGCAGAGGUGACAAUGCUCAAUCUUGUCGUUAAUGCAUCUACCUAUGAAGAGGGCAAAGUAAUGCAAGGCAGGAAAAUGAAUUCUCCCCAUGGUAGCCUAUGUAAUAUCUCUAGUUUCUCCAACAGUUAUACUAGAGAAAAAAUCUCUAACCGAAGAUUUAGGAGGAUCAUUGAGACUACCCCAAAUAGGUAUCUUGCAAAUUCUAUUGAAAUCCUCUAAAUCCAUGGUAUACGAUUUGUCAUAGAGAUCGAACAGUACGGAUGUGUCACGGCCAGCUGAAAAUUUGAAUCUACGAACAAAAGAGGCAAUGAGAGUAGUAUAUUGUUCACAUUUAUCGGAGAUGAAUUCUUCGAGUCCGACGUUGUGAACAAGUGUAUCAAACUCGUCUUUGAAACCUGCCUCAAUCAUGAAUUCAUCAGAAGGCCAUUCACAUGGUUGUACCUGUGCGUUCCUCUGUUGGUAAGGACCGGGCUCCCGAAUCGCGAGACGGGGACCCUUCUUGCUUGAGGAACCACCAUGAUAGUUUCUCCUGAACAUCUUCCUUUUCUGAAAUUUUCAGUGACUCAAAGAAAAAGUGAACAAGGCCCAAGGAAACUCGUAGCAACUACUCCGACAAGUGCCUAGAGGCCAUAUCACACAUCAAAACUACUUGGGACCAGCUAAAAUUAGCAUGCAAAGCUCAAGAACGGGGUCACCAAGGUAGCAAAAAUACGCGACGUAUAAGGCACUAGAGCAAAAACUAAUUGGACCAAUGGAGGAGUCACAUACCAAGGAACAAUUUCCCCAAAACAGUUUGGUGAAUGGGGCUUUUCACAAGGAGAUCGAAAAUCGCAGCAAGAAGAACAAGAACACGGGUUUGAGCUGCGAAACGAUUUUUUCUGGAGGUAGGAGAAGGAGAUGGGAGCUAGAAUAAGUGGAGGGGGACACGUGGACCCCACAUGCCUGGUAGGCGCGGCCAGGGGGGUGCCCGCGCCUCCAGGGUUUGUGGCCCACUGGUGCAUCCCCCUGACUAGCUCUUCGUCUCAGAAUUUUUCAAAAAUUCCAGAAAAAAACAUACUUGAUUUUCACAACAUUCAAAGAACUUUUAUUUUCGGGACACUUUUCCACGUGACGCAAAAAGCAGAAAACAGGGAAAACUAAAGCUAAAUCUAUCAUUUUUCUUCUAAGCAACCAAAGGUGAAAGCUUGGAAUAGAGGGUUGUGACUCCUCGAUUCAUCCAUCCCAUGGUCAUCGAAAGAAAUCCGUGAAUGAGGUUGAUCAAGUCUCCUUGACAAACUUUUUCGAAUCGCAUAAAAAAGAACGGAGAAUUUUCGAAUAGUCACUAGGUUACCUCAAUGGGAUGUGCAUAUCCCCAACAAGCAAAUUAUACUUCAUCUUGACAGUAGGUAUAGGGCAUUCAAAGCUCCCAAUAAGAAUCGAUGAAGUUUUUUCGAUAGCAUUGAUGCAAUGUACUCGAUAUUGUUUCUUCGAAAGUGCACCAUAUGCUCAUUACCGUUGACAUGGAAAGUAACAUUGCCUUUGUUGCAAUCAAUAACAACCCCUGCUGUGUUUAAAAAGGGUCUUCCAAGGAUGACCGCCAUGGCAUCAUCCUCGGGAAUAUCCAGAAUAACAAAGUCUGUUAAGAUAGUAACGUUCGCAACCACAACAGGCACAUCCUCGCAAAUGCUGAUAGGGAAAGCAGUUGAUUUGUCGGCCAUUUGUAGAGAGAUUUCAGUGGGUGUCAACUUAUCCAGUUCAAGUCUAUGAUAAAGAGAGAGAGGCAUAACACUAACACCGGCUCCAAGGGCGCAUAAAGCAGUUCUAACGUAGUUGCCUUUAAUAGAGCAAUGUAUAGUGGGCACUCUGGGAUCACCUAGUUUAUCAGGAGUUCCACCCUUGAAGGUGUAAUUAGCGAGCAUGGUGGAAAUCUCAACCUCAGGUAUCCUCCUCUUAUUAGUCACAAUAUCCUUCAUGUACUUAGCAUACGGAGACAUUUUGAGCAUGUCUAUCAAACGCAUUUGCAGGAAGACAAGUCUAAUCAUUUCAACAAAGCGCUCAAAAUCCCGAUCAUCCUUUUUCUUGGAUGGUUUAGGAGGAAAGGGCAUGGGUUUGUGAACCCAUGGUUCCCUUUCUUUACCAUGCUUCCUAGCAGUGAAGUCAUUCUUAUCGUAUCUCCUAUUCUUAGGUUGUGGGUUAUCAAGAUCAACAGGUUCAAUCUCCACAUCCUUAUCAUUGCUAGGUUGAGCAUCAUCAUGAACAUAACUAUCUGUUAGAGCAUAUAUCUCCAUAUGUGGUUUUGGUAAUUGAUGACAAUUCCUAUGGACUAAUGGUUGCCUUAAGUUAUAUUUAUAGGAUUUGUCCAUAGGCACUUCUUGAAGUCCAUCUGUUGGGUUCAAGGAGUUUAUAUGAUGACCAAGGUGGUAUUCAAGGUAUUAUCCAAAGAAUGGUCAUAGAGACACAAGGUUGAUCAAGAUCGUCAUACAAAGAGUAAAUCAAGAUGAUCAACACACAAAGCGUACAAGAUGUACCGAGAGGGAUCAAGUGAUCCCAUGGUAUGGUAAGCAUUGUCCAGUACGUAUUUUUGUACUAACCCAUGGUCUUUGUGAGAGUUCUAUGUGGGGGUUAGGUGUGUUUCCAUGGGCUUGCGUCUAGAGGAAGAUCUCAUACAACCCAUGAAGGAUGACGUCAAGUGGUGAUCAUCAUCAAGAUUGCGGUGUGCAAGAUCAAGUGGAUCAACACGAAGAUAUCAUGCUUGAAGCCUGCCGUCCAUUGUGGUGGCAAUGGACUUGUGAAAGUAUGCUGAAGAGUGGCUCACCCAUAGUGAGUAUGGGGGAGCAAUCAACUAGUCUUCAUCAAGCCAACGCAAUCAAGAAAGGUGGUCCAUCUUGAGGAAGCCAAGAUCAUCAUCAUGUAGCUCAAGAGGUCAAGGUGCAAGGUAUAGGUUUGCCCUUGAUAGGUUUUCUGUUUAGGAUAGAAUGUUGUACUGUCAAGGGUGGAGGGCUUUCAAGUGAUUAGCUUGAUCGUAUCGUUCGUUGAGAGCUCAAACCAUUUGCAUCCUUGCAUCAUACUUCUUGGUUCUUAUUUGGUGUUUCUCUUUGUGAGUUUUAGAGCUUAUGGUCAUCUUCAUGACAAGCUCGAGUUCAUAAAAAACGGAGUCCAUAUGUAACUACUAUGAUGUUUUCGAUGUUGUAGUUUUUGUCGGUUCUUCAUACAUAGAGGUCUCACAUCUCUAGAUCAUUGGCAUUUUCAUAUCAGCUUUGGAUUGCUCUUGUCGUCCUGAAUCCAACAAGCUUGGGUUUGCUCGAUUCGGAGCUCGUAUGCGAAAGUUAUGGAUGUUUCAGUGGCAAGCGGUAGUACCGCUGGACCUAGCGGUAGUACCGCUGGCCCUAGCGGUGGUACCACUAGAGCUGGCGGUAGUACCGCUGGCCCUAGCGGUAGUACCAUUAGAGCUUGCGGUAGUACUGCUGGCCCAGUGAUAGUACCACCUCUGGUCAGCGGUAGUACCACUCCAGGACUUUAGUACUGUCAUCUUUGCGGUUGUACUGCAUCGGACUUUUUGUGAAGACUUUCUUGGCGGUGGUUGGCCCGGUAGUAUCUUUGCGCUACCAUGGGCUCAGCGGCAGUACCGCUGCAGCCAGCGGUAGUACCGUUGGAGGGUCAGCAGUAGUACCGCUGCAGCCAGCGGUAGUACCGCCGGAGGGUCAGCGGUAGUACCGCUGGAGCCAGCGGUAGUACCGCUGGGCUCGGGCUGUAAGUGGGGGUAACGGUCCGAUUCCUUCCCCCAUUAUAUAAAGGGGGUCUUCUUCCCCCUUGGACUUAUCCAUCCGUUGAGCUCUUGUUCUACCUCCAUUGUUGACAUUCUUAGAGCUUGCUAACUCUCAACCCCUCCAAUGAUCCUUGCUUGUUCUUGAGGGAAAAGAGAGAGGAGAUCUAGAUCCACAUCUCCACCAAUCACUUUCUCCUCUAUGUGAGGGGAACCCCUUGGAUCUAGAUCUUGGAGUUCUUUGUGAGCUCCUUGUUCUUCCUCUCAUAUUUCUCCAUAGCUUUCGUUGUUGUGGAGGGAUUUGAGUGUGAGGGACUUGACCACUUCGUGUGUUCUUGCCAUUGCAUUAGUUGCAUCGGUUUGAGUUCUCCACGGUGAUACGUGGAAGUGAGAAGUUGAGAAGCUUACUACCUUUGGUACUUAGUACCCUAGAUAUUGUUCUUCGUGGAUGCUUUGGCGUCCUAGAAGCUUGGUGGUGUCUCGGAGCUUAAUCAUUGUGGUGUGAAGCUCCAGGCAAGCGUCGGGGUCUCCAAUUAGGUUGUGGAGAUUGCCCCGAGAAAUUUGUACGGGUACCAGUAACCGCCCCCAAGGGUUGCCACGUGUACGGGUUCGGUGACCGCCCCCAAGGUUUUCCAUUUGUACGGGUUCGGUGACCGCCCUCAAGGGUCCCUUAGUGGAAUCACGGCAUCUUGCAUUGUGCGAGGGCGUGAGGAGAUUACGGUGGCCUUAGUGGCAUCUUGGGGAGCAUUGUGCCUCCACACCGCUCCAAUGGAGAUUAGCAUCCGCAAGGGUGUGAACUUCGGGAUACAUCAUCGUCUCCCCGUGCCUCGGUUAUCUCUUACCCGAACCCUUUACUUAUGCACUUUACUUUUUGAUAGACAUAUUGUUUAUUGUAAUAUAUCUUGCUAUCACUUAGUUUUUUAUCUUGCUUAGCAUAAGUUGUUGGUGCACAUAGGUGAGCCUAGUUGUUUGUAGGUUUUGUGCUUGACAAAUUAAACGUUAGUUUUAUUCCGCAUUUGCUCAAGCCUAAACCUUAAUUAUUUUAAAGCGCCUAUUCACCUCCCCCCUCUAGGCGACAUCCACGUCCUUUCACUAUCGAUAUUAUCAUUAGGCUCAUGUUCAUCACCAGAUUGCGUUUCGACAUCAGAAAUAGAGACAUCGUUUGGACUCUCGGGUGUAACAGCAACAGGGUUGCUAGCGUGCAAGUUCCUAUCAUCUUUCUUCUUCCUAGGAUGACUAGGUGCAUCAGUGCUAACUCCUUGAGAAUCUUGUUCAAUUCUCUUAGGAUGAUCCUCAGGAUACAAAGGUUCCUGGGUCAUUCUACCGCCUCUAGUGACGACUCUAACAGAAUUGUCAUUCAACUCAUUGAGCAAGUCAUUCUGAGCCUUAAGUACUUGCUCUACCUGAGUAGUAACCAUAGAUGCAUGUUUACUCAAGAGCUUAAGAUCAUUGACAUUUCUGUCCACACAAGCACUUAAAUGACUAAGCAUGCGAGCAUUCUGUUCCAAUUGUCUGCUAACAUAAUCAUUGAAACUUUGUUGUUUGGCAACAAAGUCAUCAAAUUCAUCCAGACAUAAGCUAGCAGGUUUAUCAAAAGGAAUAUCACUCUCAUCGAAUCUACGAAGAGAAUUUACCUCUACCACCUGUAUCGGGUUAUCAAGACCAUGGAUCUCUUCGGUAGGUGGUAGAUUUUUUACAUCUUCAGAUGUAAUGCCUUUCUCUUUCAUAGAUUUCUUAGCUUCUUGCAUAUCUUCAGGACUGAGGAAUAGGAUACCUCUUUUCUUGGGAGUUGGCUUUGGAGGUGGUUCGGGAAUAGUCCAAGCAUUCUCAUUGCACAAGAUAUUAUUCAAUAGGAUCUCAGCUUGUUCUACAGUUCGUUCCCUAAAAACACAACCGGCACAACUAUCUAGGUGGUCCUUAGAAGCAUCGGUUAGUCCAUUAUAGAAGAUAUCAAGUAUUUCAUUCUUCUCAAGAGGGUGAUCAGGCAAAGCAUUAAGUAGCUGGACGAGCCUCCCCCAACUUGUGGGAGACUCUCUUCUUCAACUUGCUCAAAGUUGUAUAUUUCCGGCAAGGCAGCUUGCUUCUUAUGGGCAGGGAAAUAUUUUUCAGAGAAGUAGUAGAUCAUAUCCUGGGGACUACACACACAACCAGGAGCAAGAGAGGUGAACCAAGUUUUAGCGUCAUCCUUUAGCGAGAAAGGAAACAACUUAAGGAUAUAGUAGUGGCGGAUCUUUUCCUCACUCGUGAAUAGAGUGGCUAUAUCGUGCAGUUUGGUAAGAUGUGCUACAACCGUUUUAGACUCAUAACCGUGAAAAGGAUCAGAUUCGACCAGAGUGAUUAACUCAGGGUCGAUAGAGAAUUCAUAAACAGGGGCGGGCCCAAGAAUUAGAGACUGUGUAUUCAAAUUUUGAAAACCUUUUUAGAUAAUAGCAGCAUAUUGUACUUGUUUUAAAAUAAAUAAAAAAUAUUACUUCCUCUGUCAAGUGUCUCAAGCAUAGUACAAUUUUGUACUAGAGUUAGUAUAAAGUUGAGACAUUUAUUUUGGAACGGAGGGAGUACAUGAUAUAUUACAUUCAUCAAAUAUUUAUAACUUGGAAUUGUUCAACCUGUGGAAGUAAUAAUUGUUCAACAAUCCAUGGCAAAACUUAAGAUGUAUAGAGGGUAGAAAAGUAGCAAAUGGUCAGAAAACUUACAAAUUAUACACGAUAACUUUGCAAUUGUUGAUGCUUUGAAAAUGAGUGAUGAUGUCCUCAUCUGUAGCCUGCAAGAAGAAUUCGUUUUAAGUGAAUGUGGCCAAGCAAUCAUUCAAGUAUUACCUUGCAAAUUAUCUUGUUUGAACAAUCUAGAAUUGACUGCAAACAAGUCUAGAAAUUUAUUACAUUUAAUAAAUAGAAAGACAAGUGGUUAGACUAACUUGCUUAAACUUGUACGUCUGUACUAUAGCCUGCUCCCUGCUGGACGCUGGAUAGUGCAAGAAGAAAAUUGUGUAUGUGAGAGCAGUGAUAGAUGGAUUCAGUUCGACUAAGGAUUGGCAUGAGAGUAGAGAUCCCAACUUCAGAAGUUGAAGGAUUAAUAUAUCGAUGUAAUUAGUACUCAUACCUUGGAUAGAUGAAUCUGUGGGUUGUGGCUUUGAAAUUGGAUCGAUCAAUGCUGCCCGUGGGAGACUUCGGUGAUCAGAAGUUCAGAACCAAAGGGAGGGGAUUAGUCACGCCAUUUUCGCCACCAUGCGCACGUCCGAUCCCUGAUCAGUCGAUGGCAAUAGACCCAUGGCGGCUCGCAUGGAAGAGAAGUGGGGAACAUAGAAAAGGGAGGUGCCAGCGGUUAACUCUCCUAAGUCCUGUUGCGUUUGAUCGAUGGGCCUAUUUUCUAGACGACAAUGGAUGUGUAAGUGACGUGCGUACAACCUGCAUCGAUGGGCUAAGUCAUGGUGGGGAGGGAAAAUAGACGUGCGUACAACCUGCAGCAAUGGGCUGAAUUGCCUUUUUCACGGUUUCGUUUUUCCUUGUACAUACACUGUAUAUAUACAACAUAUACCUAGUCUUUUGCCAAAAAUAAUGGGUAUUCAACUGAAUACCCAUGAAUUGAGGUGGCCCCGCUCCUGUUCAUAAUCCUUAUCAGUCACAAAGAUAGGCGAAGUAGCAAACUUCGGGCCGUAUUUCAUCCUAGCGUUCAAAGCUUUUUCUUUCCACUUGCGCAGUAAGUUCUCAAGAUCAUAGCUAUCCUUACAAGAAAGAAAGUCCUCAUCUAUCUCUCCCUCCAUAACAUAACCCUCAGGCAUAUCAGGCAAUUCAUAUCUAGGAGAGCUAGUUCUAACAGGCGAAAUAGCAGGUUCUACUUCAAUAAUCUCAACAGUUUCAGAAGUAUCAUCACAUCUAGCAGCAACUCUAGCAAUUUGUGCAUCAAGGAAUGCACCUAGUGGCAAAGCAGUAUCAAGCAUAGCAUCAUCACAAGCAUCAUGGACAGCAGAAAUAGCAUCAUCAAGCACAUGCGACACUUCAAAAUUUCUAGCAGGAGGUGGUGUCGCAAACUUAAUCAUAACUAAAGGUGAAUCAAGUGCAGAGCUAGAUGGCAGUUCCUUACCUGUCCUCGUAGUUGAGGGCAAGACUUUAGUUUUUGGAUCUCUCGGAUUCCUUAUAGUGAUCAGCAGACGUAAAUCCCAGAAUAGUGUUAUGCCUCCCUGGCAACGGCGCCGGAAAAUAGUCUUGAUAACCCACAAGUAUAGGGGAUCGCAACAGUUUUCGAGGGUAGAGUAUUCAACCCAAAUUUGUUGAUUCGGCACAAGGGGGAGCCAAAGAAUAUUCUCAAGUAUUAGCAGUUGAGUUGUCAAUUCAACCACACCUGAAAAACUUAGUAUCCGCAGCAAAGUAUCACUAGCAAGGUAGUGUGAUAGCAACAGUAGCAACGGUAAUAGUAGCAGCAGCGACAACAAUAGCGAUAGAGUAACAGUAGCAGCAGUGACAGCAAUAGCGGCAAAGUAACGUAGAAAGGACCAGUAGGAAAAACUCGUAGGCAUUGGAUAGGUGAUGGAUAAUUAUGCCGGAUGAUAUUCAUCAUGCAACAGUUAUAACACGGAGAGAUAUGUAACUAGCUCCAGUUCGUCAAUGUAAUGUAGGCAUGUAUUCCGUAUGUAGUCAUACGUGCUUAGGGAAAAGAACUUGCAUGACAUCUAUUGUCCAUCCCUCCCGUGGCAACGGGUUCCUAAUGGAAACUACGGGAUAUUAAGGUUCUCCUUUUAAUAGAGAACCAGAACAAAGCAUUAGCACUUAGUGAAUACAUGAACUCCUCAUACUAUGGUCAUCUCCGGGAGUGGUUCCGGCUAUUGUCACUCCGGGGUUGCCGGGUCAUAACACAUAGUAGGUGACUACAACUUGCAAGAUAGGAUCAAGAACACACAUAUAUUAACGAGAACAUAAUAGGUUCAGAUCUGAAAUCAUGGCACUCGGGCCCUAGUGACAAGCAUUAAGCAUGGCAAAGUAGCAACAUCAAUCUCAGAACAUAGUGGAUACUAGGGAUCAAUCCCCGCCAAAACUAACUCGAUUACAUGAUAGAUCUCAUCCAACCCAUCACUGUCCAGCAAGCCUACGAUGAGAUUACUCACGAAUGGUGAAGAGCAUCAUGGAAUUGGCGAUGAAGGAAGGUUGGUGAUGACGAUGGCGACAAUCUCCCCUCUCCGGAGCCCAGAACGGACUCCGGAUCAGCCCUCCAGAGGAAGAACAGGUGGUGGCGGCGCCUCCUAUCGUAAAAUGCGAUGAACUCUUCUCCUUGAUUUUUUUUCCGGACGAAAGGGACUAAAUAGAGUUGGAGUUGGAGGCGGCGGAGCUCCGUGGGCCCCACAAGCCUGCUAGGCGCGGCGGGGGGGGGCCUGGUGGGCUUGUGGGCUCCACGCUCCACUUCUCCGGUCGAUUCUUGUGCCAGUAUUUUUUAUAUAUUCCACAAAAAAUCCUCGUAAAUUUCCAGGUCAUUCCGAUAACUUUUAUUUCUGCGCAAAAACAACACCAUGGCAAUUCUGCUAAAAACAACGUUAGUCCGGGUUAGUUCCAUUCAAAUCAUGCAAAUUAGAGUCCAAAACAAGGGCAAAAGAGUUUGGAAAAGUAGAUACGACAGAGACGUAUCACUAUGCCGCAAGCUGAGUUUUUGAUUCGCCGGAAGAUCAACCCCUAUGUCAUCGAUACGGUUCAUCUCCAGGGAUGUGAACUGUUCUGGUCCAAGCAACAGGCUCUCAUUUAUGAAGAUGUGAUCAAGACCAAGAAGAAUAUCUAUGUACCGGUUCAGUGGAUUGACAUGGAUCAUCUCAAGAAGGACCCGCAUACUUUGGUGAACCUCUGGCCAUGGUGCAACAACUUGGGAUUGAGGAGCUCAUCUCGUUUCACCUUGACUUUGAUCCUGAGAUUGUGGCUCAGUUCUUUGUUACAGUCCACUUCCACACUGAUGCGGAGCGCACUAUGACUUGGAUGACCAAUGGAGAGAGGUUGUCUGCUACUUGGAAGGAGUUUAUGGAUCUUCUGAACAUUCAUGACGAGGGGCUUGAGAACCCAGUUGGUUUGCGCCCACACGCCAAGCCAUCUGCUAGACCUAAGGAAAAGUUGGUGCCCUACUUUAUUGAGAAGGCGUCCUCAUCUGGUGAGAGCUCCCACGUACUGAACCCAUUCCUUGAUGUCAUGCACCGAAUCUUUCGCAACACUCUGUUUUUGCGCGUUGGCAACAAGGACCAGGUGCAUUCAUAUCUGGUGGAUAUGCUUUUGAUGUGUCAGAAAGAGCGGGCUCGUGCUUCUGGACCACUUGAUGUGUCUCACAUCAUGUGGAGUGAGCUUCAAUCGGCAGUUUUUCACCGUAAGGUUCCCAUCUAUGGAUCUUAUUUAUAUUACUUGAUACGGGAUAAGUGGUCGGUGGCCUUUCCAGAAAUAGAGUUUCAUGCUCCCGGCUGGAUCCGCCAUGACCCUAUUAAGCUGUGUCAAAAGAACAAGUGGGCCAACACUACCACUACCCCUGCUGCUGCCACCAUGGAUACUGAUGAGGAUAAGGAUGAGGCUGAGGAUGAGGGCAUUCCAAAGACACAUGUGCCUUCCUCUGCCAAGCCAUCUUGGGUCCAGAAGCUCUAGGGCCGGAUGAAGACUUUAUUUUGCAUGCAUGCAAAGGGAUAGUAUAUGACUCAUGUCGCUCAGAAGGAGAGCCGCCAGCACGACAAGCUGAUUCUGAGGAAGCUCGACAUGCACAUCUCCAGUGGGUCUGAGCAAGACAUUACUCCUGAAGCUGCCUGGAUGGAAAAGAAGAAUCUUUAGUUGGCUGAGUCUGAUUAGGAGUCUGAUGAGGAGACCGAUGAGGAGUCUGAUGAGGAGUCCGAUGGAUGAUUCCUCUACAUUUCGAGAUACCACCUGUGUCUUAGGUGACCUCUCUGCCUUUUUGGUGCCCCGAUGACAAAGGGGGAGGGAGUGUAGGAUUUGCUAGUUUCUUCGUUUUCUGUGUCGCUUUGUUCGUUGAACUUCCGUUGCUACUUUGGCUGGUUUUGUUUUGUGUGUGAGACCAGGAGACGUCGUAAUCUAUCAUAUGGUGUGAGACAUAUGCUAUCACUCCUCUAUCUUUAUUAUCUCAUUAUUAUCCAGUAUGUUAGUAGCUUGUGAGUCUAAUUAUUAUGUGUCCUUAUCUUCAUGCUCACAUGCUAUGCUUUGCUUCUAUGCUUAGUGUUUAUUCAGUUUGUUGCAAGGAAUGCCUCGUCUAUAAAAUCUAGGGGGAGUGCUAUUCCUUGGUUGUGUGCUGUACAGACCAUGUCCUUUAUCUAAAGUAUGCACACAUCCAGGGGGACCUUAUCUCUAGUUUAUAGAUUUUGGGUUUGCAUAUGUUAUUUUUAUAUCCUCUAGUGCAAAUCCUGUAUUGUCAUCAAUUCACCAAAAUGGAGGAGAUUGUUAAGGCAUAUUUCUCCCUAAGUGGUUUUGGUGAUUGAUGAUAAUGCGUGUGCGGACUAAUCGUGUGCAUUGAGCAUUUCAGAUAAUCCAUGACUAAGCAUAAGACGAUUCGGUGCCCAUCGGAGUCUCUCAAAGACGGUUGCUUUAUACGUUUCUCUUUGGUGGAUUUGAGUCGUAGGAAAGCCGUACUAUUAAGAGGUGGUCCGCUUCGGAAAGGUUAGGGUGGAAUCAACACGUACACAUUUCUAUUGCACCACCUUUCCCUUGCUUUAAUGGAGCUCCAACAUGUUUCUCCCUGUCUGUGCAAAAGGACUAGCGGUAGUACCGCUUUCUCGAGGUAGUAGUUUUUUACUACCGCUUCCUCGGACUUUUUUCGCAACCUCAGCCUGUGCGGUGGUAGGCACGGUACUAAUUUUUUACUACCGUGGUUGGUGAACCUACCGUGCGGUAGUACCGCUUUGCUCGGGCUGUGAGUGGGGUUAACGAUUGGAUUCUUUCCCCCAUUAUAUAGAGGGGUCUUCUUCCUCAAUAAGGUGACCUCUCACCUUCCCAAGCUCCAUUGUUGCUCCAAAGCUCAUUUUCGCCCGAUCUCUCUCCCUAGCCAAUCAAACUUGUUGAUUUUCUAGGUAUUGGUUGAGAAGGUCCUGACCUACACUUUCAUCAAGAGAUAUUUGAUUGCCACCACUAAUCCCAUGCGGAUCUUGUUACUGUUGGGCACUUGAGCACCCUAGACGUCUGAGGUCAUCUCGGAGCCACAUUUCAUUGUGGUGAAGCUUCGUGGUUUUGUUGAGAGCCUUCAAGUUUUGUAUGAAGAUUGCCCCAACCUUGUUUGUAAAGUUUUGUGUAAAAAAAAUUAAUUUUUUUUAUGACAUAUUCGACCGCUUGCACAUUCGUACAAUAAUUUUUUGAUCCAUGUUAUAAAAAUUACGACAUCUUCAACCGCUCACGGUCGUCAUUUAUUGUCACCGUUCUAUAAUAAUAGCCCGUUCUAUAAUACAGCAAUACAUUUGUUGUGAAGAUAGAUAACAGAGGUAAGUGAAGACGGCGGCGGAUGCCUCGCACCAGAUCGGUCGGCUGAACAUAAUUCUUUUCCUUUUUCAGACGGGUUUAACCAAAAACCCUUGCACGAACCGCAAGCCCACCCCGGCCCAGAGGGAGAGGCGGCGCCGAUCCGAGCCCCCAGCCAUGUCGCCGCAGCUCCUCCUCCGCCGCUUCCCCUCCGCCGGCGCCCACCUCUGCCGCUACCAGGGGCACGGCCACCGCCAUCGCUGCCUCAGCUCGGCGUCGGAGGCGGCGGGAAGCUCCGGCUGGCGGCGGCAGCACGAGGAGGAGAGCAAGGCGGUCAAGGUGUCGGUGUGGUGGGACUUCGAGAACUGCCACGUCCCCCAGAACGUCAACGUUUGCCGCGUCGCCCAGCGCGUCUCCGCCGCGCUCCGCGCUGCCGGCGUCCGCGGCCCGCUCUCCAUCACCGCCUUCGGGGACGUCCUCCAGCUCUCCCGCGCCGCGCAGGAGGCGCUCGUCGCCACCGGCGUCGUCAUCUCCCACGUCCCAAGCAGUUGCGUCCUCCCGCCCCAUCUCAUUUCCGUUACAUUCCCUUCUGUCUGUGCGAUUCUCUAUUACAGUAUUUUGGGGAAAAAAAAUCCUGCGCAUUUCGCGUGUUGUGCUGCUCUGCUGGUGGUGGUUUGCGAUGCAUUGCCAUGUUUGGCCUUGUUAGUAUGCUUGAGUUGACGGUCAUGAAUUGCACGGUAUAGUUUUGUUUGUUUGUACUAAUAUUUCAUUCACAUAAUUCAAUACUACAAAUGAGUUACUUUGACAGGAUGGAGUUACACUGGGGUUGCCUAGAAUCGAAUUGAAUCAAUUUGAGACAGUCAGGGCCGGACCAUACAUAUUCGGGCCCUGGGGCGAGACGACAAAUGGGGCCCUUGUGGACAAAUAAAAAAACAGAAUAUAUUGUAUUUCCAAAGCAACUCAGUACAUAGCAUAGAUUGAUGGUCUUUGAACUAAGCAACACAUUCCACAAAUUAUUUGUUUGUACGGUCCAAAGAAUUACUCCCUCCGUUCCUAAAUACUCCCUCCGUCCCAAAAUUCUUGUCUUAAACUUGUCUAGAUAUGAAUGUAUCUAGUCACACUUUAGUAUUUAGAUACAUCUAUUUCUAGAUAAAGCUAAGACAAGAAUUUUGGGACGGAGGGAGUAUAAGUCUUUUUGAGGUUCCACUACAGAACUACAUACGGAUGUAUAUAGACAUGCUUUAGAGUGUAGAUUCACUCAUUUUGCUCCGUAUUUAGCCCCCCUAAUGAAAUCUCUUUAAAGACUUAUAUUUAGGAACGGAGGGAGUAUAUCAUAAUAGUAUGGAAGCAAUAUAGUUAUACAAAGAUCGCUCUUCUAAGUGGCACAAAGAGACUAUCAUCUCGCUUUUCUAAGUAUGGAAACCUUGUCAAAAUAGAUAGCAACUUGAAUCGUUUGUGUUAUCAUGAGACAUUUUUUAGAAGACAUGUCAGCAAACAAUUGCCAAAAAUCAGUCAAUACAGGGAACAAAAUCACCUGAAUAUGGGCAUAUGGCUUGAUGUCGAACUGUCUAUGUAGCUUCCCAGAUCUGCAAGGCUGAAACACUCAUUCCCCGUUCCCCUUGUCAUCCCCAGAUCCAAUGAAGCUUUAGAACAGGCCAACAGAAGAGUAGGAACUAGGAAGAGAAGAAUUGGAGAUGUAGAUGGAGCAAUCAGAUUAGCGAAUCAAAAGAGUAAUUAGGGGAAGGAUGGAUAUGUACCAUCUUUGAUGCGGUGAUGUCUCAAACGUCUACAUGAUGGGGAACAUUGAGGAUGCAAAGAGAGAUGAUUGGGGAAGGGAAUAUCACUGUUGAUCUCCAGUAAUGGAUGCACGGGAGCGGCGCCUCGAAUUUGGAUGUGCACGAGAGUGGCGCCGCUGUUCUUUGGGGUUGGAGAAUUUGGGGGAGGAGACGAGAAGACUAGAAGAGAUCGAUGGAGUGCUGCAGCUGCACAUCGAACUAGCGAUCGAUUCUUUUGGUCCGUGAGUGUUAGCUACGUGAUGGGCUUGGGCCUUCUUUUUCUUUCCUCUUAUUUUCCUGGACCUAAAGAAGAAAUGUCCCAAUAUGUAUAUUGUACUACUAACUGUGCCGGGGCCCCUACCUCCCAGGGGCCUAGGGUGGUCGCCCUGUUGCCCCAGCCUAUGGGCCGGCCCUGGAGACAGUUAGUAGUACAUCAGAGUUUUUGUGUUGGUGUUCAUACAGUGUAGCUUCCCCCGUGUGAAAUUUUAUGCCAGGAAGUAAUAUCAGCAUGGUACUACAUCAUAGCUAGCUAGCUAGCCUGCUACUUGGUUUUACACUUGCCUGCUCUGGAGUUAUGUUGCCUUGUCAAUAGUCAAGCAUAUUUGUAGACGGAUAAAAAGAGUAUCCUUCUACAGUGGAACAGAUUGCAGGGUGUUAAUGGACUGGAACAAGGAAACCAUGUGUGUAUGUGUAUGUGUUUUCUUUAUUACCAGAAAGGUUAAAACUUUGCUUUGAUAUUGCUUCAGAUUUGUGGGAAAUGUGCUUCAUUUUUAUAGCGUGAUAACAUUAGAAGACUCUGAGAAAUAAAUAUUUGAUUUACAAUCACUCGAUUUGAUAACAUCUUCACUGCUUGAUGCUCUUAUAGAAGUAUAAUCUAUAUGGAUUUUAUCAUUGGUUUCGUAAUCUGUAGUCAUUCCUUCAAAUUUUAUAGGGGAAAAUUCAUGAUGUUUUUUAUACAAAUUCUGGAUCGAUAAAAUAUUAGGCAGUGGUGUAGCCAUCUUUCCCCAAUUUUAGGCAACUCCGGUAUCAGGUGAUCAGAUGAUAUUGUUGUCGUAUCAGUCUGUUAAGACCUGAUUGAUAUGAUGGACUAGUAUUUGAAGCUUGGAUUGAGGUGCUAGGAGUUUGUUUGCUAACAAUUGUUAAGUACCAAUAUUAGCAUUCCUCAUUNNNNNNNNNNNNNNNNNNNNNNNNNNNNNNNNNNNNNNNNNNNNNNNNNNNNNNNNNNNNNNNNNNNNNNNNNNNNNNNNNNNNNNNNNNNNNNNNNNNNNNNNNNNNNNNNNNNNNNNNNNNNNNNNNNNNNNNNNNNNNNNNNNNNNNNNNNNNNNNNNNNNNNNNNNNNNAUUAGCAUUCCUCAUUGGCGCUCUCGAAUUUCUUCAAAUUUGGCAUUCUGUAUUAUCUUUGAUUCUUCGCUGAUGUGCUAUUGUGGUUUCUCUGGUAGUACUGACAAUGCUAUUUCAAUAAUGUAGGUGGAAAGAACAGUUCUGACCGGUCAUUUAUGGCUGAUCUUGUCUACUGGAUUGCUCAGAACCCGCCACCAGCUCAUUUUUUCCUCAUAUCUGGGGAUAAAGAUUUCGCCAACAUUUUGCAUCGGUUGCGAAUGAGCAACUAUAACNNNNNNNNNNNNNNNNNNNNNNNNNNNNNNNNNNNNNNNNNNNNNNNNNNNNNNNNNNNNNNNNNNNNNNNNNNNNNNNNNNNNNNNNNNNNNNNNNNNNNNNNNNNNNNNNNNNNNNNNNNNNNNNNNNNNNNNNNNNNNNNNNNNNNNNNNNNNNNNNNNNNNAAUGAGCAACUAUAACAUACUACUUGCUUGUCCUGGUAAAACUACUAGUGUACUAUGCAAUGCAGCGACGAUUAUGUGGCCUUGGGAAGCUUUAGUGAAAGGGGAAAGUUUCUCACCCAAGCAUUUUAACCACCCACCAGAUGGUUUAUCUGGAUCUUGGUAUGGUCACUACAAAGGAGCCCUUGACGACCCCUUCGUGGAGGCUGAAUCAGAAGAAACCAUUGCACCAUCAGCACCAUCUGAUAAAUUAUGCCGUAAUCCCAAAAAUGCAGUUACUGCAAUCCCCAAAGAUGUGGUUGAUGGGAUACGAGAGGCACUGAAUUCGUAUCCUAGUGGGGUCACGCUUUCGACUCUUCUUCGACAACUCAAAAACAACAAUGUGUCUCUUGGUAAUGAUUUCUUUGGCCACAAAAAGUUGUCUUGCCUUCUCCUAUCAAUGCCAGAUAUUGUGAAGUUUGUUACUCCUUCAACUGCUUUAGGCGAGCCGUGUGUAGUUGGGGUGAAGAAAAAAUUACUGGAAGNNNNNNNNNNNNNNNNNNNNNNNNNNNNNNNNNNNNNNNNNNNNNNNNNNNNNNNNNNNNNNNNNNNNNNNNNNNNNNNNNNNNNNNNNNNNNNNNNNNNNNNNNNNNNNNNNNNNNNNNNNNNNNNNNNNNNNNNNNNNNNNNNNNNNNNNNNNNNNNNNNNNNNNNNNNNNNNNNNNNNNNNNAUGUUUUGAGCCCCUGAGUUCUGUUGAAAGUGAUGUGAAGGACAAUAAUCGCGGUCAAGCAACACACAGUGAUAAGAAGCCUCCAUCCUCCGUGUCAACUUCUUUUCCUGAACAAAACUGUAAAACCGUAAGUUCUCAAAGUAUCAUCAGGGACAGAAGCUUCAAGCAGACUGUAAAUGAGAACCCAGCUGCAUCUGCUGUAUCAUCUUCCCCACAAGAUGUCUUACCUGAGGAUCAAAAGGUGUGCCCAGCAGUUGAUAUGAAUGCAAGGCCAGAAUCACCUGCCAACCACAAGGAAGUUGAUGCCCNNNNNNNNNNNNNNNNNNNNNNNNNNNNNNNNNNNNNNNNNNNNNNNNNNNNNNNNNNNNNNNNNNNNNNNNNNNNNNNNNNNNNNNNNNNNNNNNNNNNNNNNNNNNNNNNNNNNNNNNNNNNNNNNNNNNNNNNNNNNNNNNNNNNNNNNNNNNNNNNNNNNNNNNNNNNNNNNNNNNNNNNNNNNNNNUGGAAAAUACUGUUAACAGUGAUGGGCUAUUAAAAAGGCCAACCACAAGUCCAGAAUCACCUGACAACCAGAAGGAAGUUGAUGCCCCUGGAACUCCCUCUUCCUUAGGGUUGGAAAAUACUGUUAACAGUGAUGGGCUAUUAAAAAGGAUCUGGGUACUAUGGAAUGGCCCUGAGAGUGCUAAUCGUGAGGUUCCUCCAUGUCACGAAGGCACUUCUGCUGAAGUCGUUGAUUUGGGAACUCCUCAGCAAGAUCGCAGUACUGAUCAACGUAGCAGGCUUUUGAAUAGGAUCCAUAAGACCUCUUCCCAGAACAGAAGUUCAGAUGUAACAGAUGGCUCUGCAGCGAUGAUUGUUAACUUUUCAAUUUUGUCUGACCAUGACCAUUCUGAAAAACAUGCAGAAGAGGCAGAAAACUUAAAGAGGGAUCCACCUAUCCUCCAGAGCUCGAAGCCAUGUAGUGGACCUGCAUCUGUUCCAUUGUGUAAAGAUGGGGGUGAUGCCUCCAAGAUGAGCAAGGGCUUAUUUAGUUGGGUACCGCGGUGGUGGAAAUUUGGAAAAUUGGAUGGAGAUAAUGGUAUAGCCAUGAAAAAUGGCAUUGAUGAAGCAAAGACAGACAUAACCGAGGAAUCACAAUCUUUGAAGGCUUCAACUUGUGAAAAUGAGCAGCAAGUAGUUAAUAAAAUAUUCACAAGAUUUUACUUUUGGGAUGUUCUAGGGAAACAGCUAUCAAAGCCCAUUGGGUCUGAGCUUGUUUCGAAAGCGAAGACAAGGUAAAGCUUUUAACCCUGAUAAUUUUAUUUCAUGCCUUCUAGUGAUCUCAGUUCUUACGAAAGUGUUGAAGAUUUUAGCAGUAACUAAAGAUUGUGAAAUAUGAUGUCUUGCAUGUAACAUAUUUUUUAGAUUUAUAGUGUUUCUGUUUGUGUGUCUGAAGCAAUAUGACCGUAUGUAGAUUGUCCAGUUCAACUAAGGAGAAGGAAAUAGCAUUCAUUGCCAACAGGUUUAUAUUUUGUGCUGUCAACAAAUAUGCCCAUCUAUAGAUAGGUUUGCUUGCAUGAGAUCUUGUAGCCUGUUAACAUAGGUCUACAAUUUUGCCUUGCUGCUUUAAAACUUCGCAUUAAUUUGGUUGGAUGUGUUAUGAUCACGUUGCUCAAAUAGUUAGCUUAGUGCCGGGAACACCUAUAUCUUUCACGAGCAUGUGUUGUCCACUCCAGAACUAAUUACAGGCAAAAAAUGGAUCCAACCCAAACUCACAUAAGCUAAUGCUGCAAAUCAUGUUUGGCUCGAUCACUUUAAGAGAGAUUAUUCUUAUAUGAUUCUUUUAUUGGCAGGGAGGAGUUGGUACAUGGAUUGCAGAAUUUAGAGUGUUGGCCUCUCAGAGGCCUUGUCGAGAAAGAUGUCAGUCAUCUGGUUCAUUUGUUACUUUCAGAAAAGAAAUGGAUCGAGGAAACUCCUUCCAGCGAAUUUCCUUUCCGUCUUACACUCCCUCAAAAGAGAACAUGCACUCCACCAAAUUCNNNNNNNNNNNNNNNNNNNNNNNNNNNNNNNNNNNNNNNNNNNNNNNNNNNNNNNNNNNNNNNNNNNNNNNNNNNNNNNNNNNNNNNNNNNNNNNNNNNNNNNNNNNNNNNNNNNNNNNNNNNNNNNNNNNNNNNNNNNNNNNNNNNNNNNNNNNNNNNNNNNNNNNNNNNNNNNNNNNNNNNNNNNNNNNNNNNNNNNNNNNNNNNNNNNNNNNNNNNNNNNNNNCCAAAUUCUAGCACAACAUGCACUGCACCAAAUUCUAGUAAGUUUGAUCUGAGUACUCUGUUUAAUGUUAAGCCAUUGGAGCAGGGUAAAUAUGGUGGUGACAAAGGCAGGACAAACAGGACUCCGAAUAGGGAGGAAACAUUGUCUGAUUGCCACAAGCUAUUAAAGGACCUUCUCGUGCAAUACAAAUAUGGAUUUAACAUCAGCAUUUUCAAGCGUCAGUUUGCUCAGAAGCAUGGGUACGAGCUUGACCACCAGAAGCUGGGAUAUGCAGACAUUGAGUCACUGUUGCAGAUUAUGCCUGGUAUAAGAGUAAAAUUUCCAAGGGUUCUGCCUGCAGAAAGUGGGAAUGGCCAGGGUGGCAGCAAGGGCGAUGGAAAUCAAAGUAAUGGUGAUGAUUCCAUCUGGGGGGAACUUGGCCCUGUGUCUGCCACUGCCAAAACUGCUGAAGAGGGGGUUGAUAAAGGAGCAUGCUACCGGCCUCCCACCUGCUCAGAAGAUGAUUUCUCUGACGAUGAGAAUCAAGCAGACCAAGAGCCCAGAAGAGGCGUUGAGCAGAGCUCACUCCUCAAAAUCAUUGAUUCCUGGAACAGCAGCAAGGACGAUGGCUCUGGCAAGAAACCUCAAGAGAUUGACGGGGUCGUGGACUGUUCCAGGAGCAGUCUGGGUUAUCUUGACACUCUGAGGGCUGCAAGGCAGCAGCUGCAGCAGCCACAGAAGCAGUAUUCCUUUGUUUCAUCAGAAUCAGACUCGGAAGAGGAUAAAAGCAAGGAUAAGCUUGUGGACAGCGUCUUGGGCAGCCUGCAAAAAGCGCGGGGCGCAAAGGCGUCUAAUUGAUGAGCUGGUAAUCGCAGCAACGUCUGUUUUCCUUUUCUCUUUUGAGCGGCAAAUUGCAGCAGCGAUCCUGUUACCAUAGAGCUGGCGUGUUCCUCCUUCGUAUUAUGUUCAUCGUCAGCUCCUCGAAACAGCAGGACAUGUUGGGCGGCGUCCAUAUACAUUUCAUCUCCUUAGUUUAGAUUUUAGAAGGGUAUUUAUAUUUAUUUUUGUAAGGCUAACCAACGAGCUUCAUUUAGCAUGGCCUUUUUAUUCGGCUGAGGGUUGUUCACUAGUAUCGAAUAAACUGGAGCACUGCGAUUCGUUGGUAAGGCCUCCUUGGUACUACGUAUACUGAUAAGGCUGAGUUUCUACAUCAGGACUGUUAGGCUACACCGUCUUUACCGCAUGCACUCUGUAUAGCUAGAAUGCGGUAUGAGAGUGCAUAGCUAGCAUGCGGUAUGAGCCGAUCGUGGCUUAGGCUGUUCGAGUAGUGGCUGUUCGAGUGGUGGCUGAUCGUGGGUUAGUGGAGGUAGUAGUGGUGCAUGCAUGAUCAGCUCCUGGUCUGUCAACUGUAUAUAACACCCAGCCCAGAGCUUAAUCAGCUCCUGGUCUGUCAACUGUAUAUAACACCCAGCCCAGAGCUUAAUCAAAGUGCGUUGAAACCAAUCCUCUCUCUCGCACACCCCCACGAACUCCUGCUUGACGUCGCUCCAGAUUGCUCGCUUCUCCGCGUCUUUGGGUGCUUGUGCUACCCCAACAUCUCCUCCACGGCCAAACACAAGCUCGAGCCACGGUCUCUCGCCUGCGUUUUCCUUGGCUAUCCCUCCGAUCACCGCGGGUACCGUUGCUUUGAUCCCACCACACGACGCGUUUUUUCCCUUCGCCACACUCCCUGCACCUCGCCCCACCACACCACCAUCACCUCCCUUCGCGCCACCCAUUUUGCAGGUACCCGUGAUCGCGUCGAGUCCCUCCGCGUCCACCACUACCUCGCCCUCAGCUGAUAACCUCCGGCGCGCGCGGGCUGCGCGUUCAUCCUCCUCGAGCACGUCGGGCACACCCCCAAGCACGGCUGACGAGGCUGCGAGCUCCUCUGUCGCGAGUUCCAGCAGCUCCGCGGGGGCGUUCGCGCCACCGUCUCCAGCGGCUCAUGGUCACACACUCGCAAACGGGCAUCUUCCGCUCGAAUCGGCGUUACCACGGCAGCCUCGUCGCCACCACCGGCACUGCGGAGGUCUCGCCAGUAACCUCCUCGGUGCGUGUCGCCCUUCGCGACCCUCUCGCCGUGAUGCGCGACGAGUUCGACGCCCUCGUCCGCAACCGUACCUGGGAGCUGGUGCCUCGACCCCCCGGCGCCAACCUCAUCACCGGCAAAUGGGUGUUCAAACACAAGUACAAGGCCGACGGCUCCCUCGAGCGUCACAAGGCGCGAUGGGUCGUGCGCGGUUUCCGACAGCGCGCCGGCGUCAACUACGGCGAGACCUUCUCGCCUGUUGUCAAGCCACCACUGUCCGCGUCGUGCUGACUCUGACCGCAUCGCGCAACUGCCCGUUCACCAACUGGACGUGUCGAACGCGUUCCUGCACGACACGUUAGACGAAGAGGUAUACUGCCUUCAGCCCGCCAGCUUCGUCGCCGCCGCCAAACCUCAUCACGUCUGCCGCCUCUUCAAGUCCCUCUACGGUUUGAAGCAGGCUCUGUGUGCAUGAUUCCUGCGCUUCACCGGCUUCCUCCAGUCCAUCGGCUUCACCGUGACACGCUCCGACUCGUCGCUGUUCACGCGACGCCACGACCACGACAUCGCCUUCCUGCUUCUCUACGUCGACGAUAUCGUGCUCAUUGCGUCCUCGCCUGCCGCCCUCCGCCACGUCGUCACUCAGCUCACUGCGGAGUUCGCCAUGAAGGACCUCGGCCCCUUGCACUUCUUCCUUGGCAUCCGCGUCACGCGCACACUGGCUGGCUUCUUUCUCUGCCAGCAACAGUAUGCCGCCGACAUCCUGGAUUGCGCCAGCAUGGACACCUGCCGCUCGUCUCCCACGCCGAUCGACACCAAGGGCAAACUGCCGAUCGCCGAUGGGUCGCACGUCGACGAUCCCUUUGCCUACCGCAGCAUUGCCGGUGCGCUUCAGUACCUGAUGAUCGCGCGGCCGGAGAUUGCCUACGUUGUCCAGCAAAUCUGCCUCCACAUGCACGAUCCCCGUGAGUGUCACCCCGGGUUGAUCAAGCGUGUGCUCCGGUACGUGCGUGGCACGCCUGCUCUCGGUCUUCACCUUCGCGCCUCGCACACCCUUGACCUGCGGGCGUUCACUGAUGCCGACUGGGCGGGCUGCCCCGACACUCGCCGAUCUACCUCCGGUUUCUGCGUCUACCUCGGUGACGCGCUCAUCUCCUGGUCGUCCAAGCGCCAAGCCGUCGUCUCCCGCUCCAGCGCUGAGGCCGAGUACUGCGACGUCGUCAAUGCCGUUGCUGAGUGCGUCUGGCUCCGACAGCUCCUCGGCGAGCUGAUCUCCCCCGUCGCCAAGGCUACGCUGGUUUACUGCAAUAACGUCUCCGCAGCCUACUUGUCGGCCAACCCGGUUCACUACCGCCGCACCAAGCACGUCGAGCUGGACAUUCUCUUCGUGCGUGAACGGGUUGCUCUCGGCGAGUUCCGCGUUCUUCACAUCCCCACUCGUCAGCAGCUCGCCGACAUCAUUGACGAAAGGGCUCCCCUCGGGGUGUUCUCUAACUUCCGUUACAGUCUCUGCGUUGCUUCCGCCGACGUCACGACUGCAGGGGGUUGUGGUAAGCUACACCGUCUAUAUCGCAUGCAUCUGUGUAGCUAGCAUGCGGUAUGAGCCGAUCGUGGCUUAGGCUGUUCGAGUAGUGGCUAUUCGAGUGGUGGUGAUCGUGGGUUAGUGGAGGUAGUAGUGGCGCUGUAUAUAACACCCAGCCCAGAGCUUAAUCAAAGUGCGUUGAAACCAAUCCCCCCCUCUCUCUCGCUAAACAAGGACGAGACAAAUAAGUACUCCCUCCGUUCGAACAUUUUGUAAAAAAGAAGAAGAAAAAAAAACCUUUCUCUUAUCCCAACACAACCGGUAGUCCCCGUCCCUUCCUUGACCACACUCGUUGGUGCCACAGCUCUCCUGCAGUCCCUCUUCCCUUCUGUUGCGUUGCAGGUGUCCCGCACAGUCCCUCUUUUAUUCCCUCAUGAAGGUCAAGGAAUCCGUCUUCUGCCUUGCUGUAGCUCUCACGCAAAGCUCAAGGAUCAGCUUUUCUACUCCAUGACGAGUCGCUCGCCGUCGCUUUCCUUGUGUCCCCCGUCGUUGCCAUGGCGAGCUCGUCCAUGCCGCCUCGGCUUGCGGACAAUCCUCCUUCCUUCUCCAUGGCGUGCUCCUCCCUAUUGUCCCCAUACUUGCAUACCAUAGAGCAGGCCAUGAUGGCGGCCAGAUCCGCGCUUGCUUGUCAAGGUUCGACCGUGGUGAGUGCCGGCCCCGCGCUAGCGCCGCAGGAUUCAAGUUUUCCCUGUUUGAUUCAAGUUUUCCCUGCUCGUCAAGGUUCCCCUGCUUGAUUUAGGUUCAGAAAAUUUUGUGUACUGAACAUCUUGGACUACAUCUUUGCAGAAUCAUCAGUCGCCAUGGAGCUCCGAUCCCACAGUUGCCGCACCUCGACAAAAUCCCUGGAGGAUGAGCGCGUGAGGAUCCCAUAGCUGUCGCAACUCUGUUCAGAAUUCUUGAUUUUUCCCCUGUGAUUAGAGUGAGUAGAUGCUUCUGUGUUGAUGCAAUACCUGGAUUGAUUUGACUUUCACUUAUGCAAAUACCUCUAAAUAUCAUGCAAAUACAAUUUGCCUUUCAAUGAAUUAAGAAACAGGUGCUUACAGUAAUGUAGGAGUAUCUUAGUUGUGUCAUCACACAAGAAGUUGUAGUGCUUACAACUAAGGUGAUAAAGAUUAAGCAAAGCAAAUGAUGUUGGUGGUUAACUUUGUAGAAUGCCUAGUUUGCACUCUGGUUUCUAACAGGAGUAUCACCCACUCUUAUUAAGAAAAGAACUUCUCUUGGGACCUACAAGUUGUCAUUUCUUCUCUGAACUUCUGACUACAAGACAACAUGGUUCUCUAAAAAACAGACUUCAGAGCUUACUAGUUUAGCACAAGAAUGAUUCAAACUACUAAAAAAGCAUUUAGUACAGUAAGUGACUGCUAAUUUGUAAACAACAUAAUCCAAAUUCUAUCCCUGAAUUUGCAGAAUUCCAUUGUCUUGUAAUGCAGGUUGAUCACCUUAAGCGGUGGACAUGGUUUAGGAGAGCAAGGUCCUCAUGGAGAGCUGGGGAGGUAGAUAUCGUCAUUUCUUUCUUCUUACUCCAUGAGCUCAACAGUCAGUCAGUAGCAUGAGACAGUCUUUUGACAAUUAGAUGUGUGUGCGUGGUUUGUAGAAACCAAGAGAUUGUGCAUGAAAAAUGGAACUUUCAGAAUCAGAACCGGAUAGAGCGGUGCUUUUAAAUCAUCAAUUCUUUUAGGCAAAUUCAGUAGUCUAUGUUCAGACAAUUGCUUCUGAAUUUAUACUCUUAACUGAAUUUUGCCGAGGAGUAUACUCUUAACUGAAUUUAGAUAACUGCUGAAAAAAGAUGUGGCAAGCAUAGUCGAUUAAUUGAGGUGCCCACUGUCGAGUGCAUUGGGCUAAGCCUGCCUAGUAGAGUGCUAGUAGUUUCAUGUGCAAUUGAUUAUGCAAUCAACAUGUAAGCACAUCUAGUACCCCUUAGUGGUUUUGGUGUACUGAAGACUUAUAGGUUAAGGGACUAAUGUGUUUGUGAGUGUACACAUGCUCUAUAAGCCGUUGCGGAGUUUGAUAUAUUCGAAGAAUGUCGACCCCUAAAAAUGAAUGUCUUCAACUGAAAAAUUUGAUAUUUUCCUGAAAACUUUAGAAGUGAGGAAAUUGGUGUGUUCUUGAAGAUAUUGAUGCGAGGACUAUGAAGUGUGAAGACUUUUCUUUUUAUAGUUUCAUUUCUUUCUUUUGAGUCAUAGGAACACCAUACUAUUAAAAGGGGUCGAGGUAAUACUAAGGAAAAUUUCCAAGUGAUGCUCAUCUCAAAGCCUACACAUAACCAAUCCUUUGAGUGAAGCCUUUGGAAAUCUCUUGCAGUUCAGUCAAAUUCUUCAGUGACACAGACGGAGUUCUUUUGGUCUCUGAGGAAAUUGCACUGACUGAGGAGUUAAGAUUUCGCCAGUGCGACCUGCCUACAAGUGAAGAAUAUGAUAGCUGUGAGAAUUUUUCAUAGUUCAAAAUUCCAAGCGUUGUUUUGCUUCGCGCCCAUCUGCCCCCAAAACCUUAUCCACAAAACGGUCAUAUCAUUGGUAGCAUUUAAGUCAAAUCAUGUCGGGUUGCACCCUAACUAUAAAUAGAUGCCCCCAUAACCACUAAUUGGUUGGCUGCUCCGAGAGAGAACUUGGCACUUGUCAUCUGAGAGCAACCCAUCCUUUGAGGACUUUGACAGAAAAUCAUCAACGAGGAAAAACCCUAAACCCCAGAACCCCAAAACCAGAAACUCAAAGUGAUUAAGCAUCACUGAAGAGAUUGUUCCUAUGUGGAACCGACGCUUUUUACCUUUGAAGAUUAUGUAUCUUUCAGACGGUUAGAAUCACAUGGUGCAUUUUGUUUCCCUAUUAAAUUAUUAUAAAUAUGGUUAAUUCAUAUCUGGGCCAAUUUCAAAAUUAACAUAUGGGGUCGUUUCAGAAAUACUAUAAGUUGUUUCCGGCCUCAUUUAAAAAGCCUAGAUAAAUAGUUUAAUUACGCCUCACCUCUUGCCAUGCAUAAUAACAUUUAAACUUGUCGUGUCAUUAAAUGAGUGUGAACUAAAUAGUUGAAUGUGGAGUUUUGUCAAUAUGGAACCCGUUGCAUAUUGAGCUUCACUUAAUGUGUAGAAAUUGAUUGUUGUGCUUGGCCAUGUCAUGCAUAAUUAAAUGGACAUGCAUCAUAUUUGAUUGUGCGUCAUGUCAUGAAUAUGUUGUGGUGUUUAUCGUGUGUUGAUUGUUUGUUUCCGGAUUGUUUCUUCUCGAUGGAGUUCCCAAACCAAUUCAGAGUGUGAGGACUCGUUCGACUAUGUUGGUUCAUCUACUUCAUGGAUUCGUUCUUCUUCCAAGCGGGAUCACACGCAAGACGACUAUUUCCCUGGAUACCACUACUAUCAUUGUCAUGCUAGUUGUCUCGUUUCUUUUGCUAUGUCUCGUUGCCUACCACUUGAAUGUCAAGCCUCCUAACAUUGCCAUAAAAAGCCUCUAACCCCUUCACAUCCUAGCAAACCAUUGUUUGGCUAAGUUACCGCUUGCUCGACCCUUCUUAUAGCCUUGAUAGUUGCAGGUGCAGGUUGUUCCAUGUGACAACAUGGAUAUCUUUGGGAUAUCACAAUAUUAUUGCUAUUCAAUUCAAUGCACAUAUAUAC
rnacentral:lncRNA from 1 species